rnacentral:lncRNA from 1 species
CUAUUUCUACCCAAACAACUGAUUAUACAAAGGAAAGAAUGAACGAGAGAGAAGGAUAAAUCACUACUUCUUUGAUCUGUUUCUUUUAUUUCCACCUUUUUGAUUGAUCAUAGACAAAGCAUUAAAGGAGUUCUCCAUUGCCUCUUCCAUUCUCAUAACCAUGUUCUCGUUUUCAUCUAACCUAGGGAGAGGUCUCUGGAAUUAUCCUUUUACUUAAAUCACACAAAUUUGUACUAUCUUAUACUGGCAGCAUAUGAGAAAACAAAUUUAAGGUCACAAGGCUAAAUGACAUAGUGGCCUUCAUGAUCAAGGGAUUCCAUAAUUCGGGUCAGGCCACUUAGUAAGUAAAUUCAUCAGCUAUAGCUGAUUUGAUUAUCAUUUACACGGGUUACACCUCUAUGGACUUGCACGUGUGUAAUUAUACAAUGUUGCUUUGGUCUCGUUUGAGUAUCUUGCUCUUAUUUGUUCUCUCAAUUUUCAAGUACUAAGUUACGAAGACCGUAGGAAACUUCUCCUAAGCAAAACCAUUUUUUGACAGGCAACACCUAAACCAGUGGCAGUCGGAUUUGGCAUUUCAAAACCUGAACAUGUUAAGCAGGUCAGUUUCUCAAUUCCUUGGACGAGGUGGAAAGUGGUGAGAAAUGGUUUGUAUACAGUUUUACUGAUUUGCAUUAAUCAUGUGUUGCAGGUGGCAGAAUGGGGAGCUGAUGGUGUUAUUGUUGGUAGUGCAAUGGUAAGAAUUUUAGGUGAAGCAAAAUCACCUGAAGAAGGCUUGAAGGAAUUAGAGGUCUUCGCCACAUCUUUAAAGUCUGCACUCCCUUGAUCAGUUGUAGAGAGCAGCCCAGUGCACUAAAGCUUUUCGGCACUCCCUUGAUUAGUUGUAGAAUUGAUGAUUUUGUUGUCUCAAAGCUUUUCGGCCACCUCGAUUUUCAAACCUCAGUUCUUAGAAGCAAAGUGGAUCUUGAAAUAGAUUGUCUGAUUUAAGCUCUAGAGUUUGACAUUCUUACUCUAGCUUGUGUUCGAUGCAAAUUUGUUUUCUAUGGUAAUUCACCUUAUUGAGCAAAGGCAUAUGGGAGACUUUCAAAAUAACCUAAUUGAAGCAUAAAUAAGGCAACACUAGCCACAUUUUACAAAAUUACAAUUCAUAGCCAUUGUAUAAGCUGUAUUCAACCGACUAUAUUUAUAUAAAAUAUAAAUACAAUGAUUAAUUGUGUGCACCAAAAAUAUUUUCUUUAUUUUGUUAUCUGUUUGUAUCAUUGUAUUUAUAUCAACAAGUACAUACCUUCUUUUUCAUUUUUUCAUAUUUUGUUUUUUCAUUCUUCUCAUUUGUAUUUUUGCCUCUCUUUCUUUUUCAAAUGUAUUAAAUUUUUCAUUAGUAUUUUUAUAUUAACAAGUAUAUGCAUCAUUUGUAUUUGCUUGAAUCUAUCAUAUACAAAUACAAAUGUAUCAUUUUAUGCAAAUGUAUUAUUUGUAUUCGGAUGGUUCAAGUGUAUCAAUGAAUAAAAUUUGUACUUUAUAGAAACUUAUAGAUGCAAAAUGCAAAUCUAAUAAAAUAGAAAUACAAAUGUAGCAUGAGUAAAUACAUAUUGAUGCAUUUUUAUAUAAAUUUAACAAAUACAAAACUUGAAGUUUUUUUAUUUUAAAAGAAAAAAGAGCAGAUUUUCUAGCCAGCAAAUUCUUCUUUCCUCCUUGAUUAAGAAAAAUCAUUCACUUCUCAAGUACAUUCGUUUCAUUACUAAAAUAAAGUGUUAACACAAUGAACAAGAGUGUAUUCGUUCGAUUUCUUGGAAUAAUGAUCAAAAUCAUUCCUGGUCACAACUGUUUAACUGAAAGGUUGUCCCUUUAUUAACCUAAUGUAUGGUUUUCUCCUUUUGAAUUACCAAAAAGUUGUGCAAAUGGAAGUGUUUUAGCAAAAAAAAAAAAAAAAAUCAAGAUCAAGGUAGAAUUAAGAAGUGUAAGAAGAGAAAGUAAUUAAUUGAAACUUAGGAUAAAUAGAGACUUACAGGUGCUGCCUCAUGUAGUUUUUCAAGGCAUAUCCCCCACCUACAACAACAACAGCAAAAAAAAAAAAAAGUUGCAACACGAAGGAAUGAGCACCAACUACUUUCCUACUUGAUGGAUGAAAUGAAAAACUUAUAUCCUUUCAAUGAAAAGGGAAGGAUUCCGUGCACCCCAAAGAAAAGCUCCAUUAGGAAGUUCAUGACCAAAGAUUAUUCGGAAUUAAUAUGAAAAAAUCAUUUUUUAUUUUCGAUUUAUUAAACUUCAAAAAAAAAUAUUGGGAACAAAUUGAAUUUUUAGGAAAAUGUAUUAUUUUACUUGCAAAUGAUAACUUUUAAAUUUUGCAUCAAGUAUGGGUAAACGAAACUUAAUUACUAUGUCUAUUAAUUUAUGUACGUUUAUUGCUCGUAAUACUUGUUUCUACAUGAGUUAAGUUUCAAUUAAUUUUUGAUAAAACACAUUCAUUAGCACAUACUGUGUGUUUUUAUAUAUAACUUAGCCAGUUAACGGCCUAACAUGAAAUCAUAUUGUAUUAAGGGUCAGACAUCUAUAUUUAUUUAACUAGGUCACUACUAAACUGUAAAAUAUUUCAUGAUUUUAUCAAAUUAAUUACUAAAAAUUACAAACUAACACAACUUAUCUUUCAUUAAUUACAAAAAAUUUCAACUCCUCAAACUUAUUACAAAAAUUCCAAUUUUGGUGUUUCUCACUCUAAAAGCAAAUAUACAUAAGUAAGAUGAUUUCUUUCACCAUUUUUCACCCUUAAAACUCUCCUAAAAUCAAGCAUCGGUUACCAUUUUGAAUAUAACUGUACUUGACUCCAACUUACAGCAUUAAAUUUUAUCUUAAUCUCCAUUAAUUAUUCUGAUUUUUAAGUGUUGAGGUUAAUUUUUUUUUUUUCAUCAUUUACUGAACCGAUUUUUGGGGAUUUUUGAAUGAAGUAAUUGUUCAUGUUCUUAUUAAGUAUUUUUUGGGGUUUCUUCUUUAACAAAAUUUUCGAAAUCGUCCAUUUGAAGUACGAUAUUAACAACUUAGUACUUUGUUAAUGGAGCAUUCUCCUUAAUUCAGUUUUGGGUUUUUCGAAAGAACAAAUUGUUGCAUGUUCUUAUUAAGUAUUUUUUGGGGGUUUUAAUUUAACAAAAUUUGAUUGUUAUUGCAUUAUUGUUCCUUUUUUGUUCCAAAAUCUUCCAUUUGAAGUAGAAAUAAAUAUAUUUGUACUUUGUUAAUGGAGGAUUCUCCUUCUUUUAGCUUAGGAUUAACUCAGUUAGAUACAAAUUCGGUAGUUGGAUUUGUUUUCGGUGUUUUUGACUAUGAGGAACCUAACUUUGUUGAAAAAAGAUCUAAAUUUCGUAACGACUCCAAUAAGAUGAAAGAGAUUAGAAAAGCUGCUUCUGAGAAGUCGAAAAAAGCAGUUGAAAAAUCAUCAAGACUAUCCAAAAAAGCUGAUUCUGGACGUCCACGUCUUCCUAAGGUAUAUAUAAUUUUUUCGUUUUUGUAUAUGUUGGGUAUAUAAAUUUGUGGUGAGCUUUUUAUUUGAAAUACAGUGAUCUAUAUAAUUUAAUAUACAUAAAUAAAUAUUGGGUUUAUGUAAAUUCGUAUGUAUGUGUUAUACAUACAUUACUCAGCACAUAUACAUAAGUUAGUUUUUCCAUUACAUUAUGUCAUGUUAGUUUGAUGCACUGAACAUGAAAUGUGUAUAUGAAUAACAUAUACAUAAACUUCAAUGUGUUGUUAAUACUGCAUUAUGUACUUCAUACACAUCAUAUUUUCUGUGUAUAUGUGUAUAUUUUUUGAAGAGGUAUUUAAGGUAAUGGAUAUUAGGUAUGUAUAUGUUGACAUAUACAUCACUUCUGAUAUUUUGUUUGUUGUGUUUUUGAACCAAUAAUUCUCUCAAUUUAAUUUUAUGUAUAUGAUAGUAAUAUACAUAUACUUAGCAUUUAAUUUUACAACGCAUGCUCAUAUUGACAUAUAUAUGUUUUGUUAUUUUAGUGUUUUAUAUAGUUUGUGUUUUGUUAUUUUAGUUUGAUGCACGGAACAUGCCAUGUGUUUAUGAAUAAUAUAUACAUAAUCUUCAAUAUUUUGGUAGACUACUACUGUGAUGUGAACUGCAUAUACAUAAUGGAUAUCAACUAUGUAUAUGUUGACAUAUACAUCACUGAUGACAUUUUUUGUGUUUUAGAACCAAUACUUCUCACAAGUCAAUUUUAUGUAUAUGUUAGUAAUAUACAUAAGUUUAGUGUUGUUUUCAUUAAAAAACACAUACUCACAUAUCAUGUGUUGUUUCUUUCUCAAUAGGGUAUGAAAUACAGGAUAAGAAAGGUCCCUGCGCAUUUGUUGCAUUUCGAUAGUUAUUGCAAUCGAAAAUUUAGAGAAGAAAUAAAAAAUUAUCUUGGUGAACAAGUUGUAACUCUGUUCCGACAAAUAAUUUUUGGUUCAUUCCUAGAUAUCCCGAAUUGUAAUUAUCAGGGUCAAUUAUCCAAAUGCUUACUCAUGCUCGAGAUAGAACAAGACAAUUCAGAUGAAAUACACGUUUACGUGCAGGAAAUCACACUCAAGUUUACUAUUAUUGAGUAUGCCAUUAUAUCCGAUCUUAAAUAUUCAGGAAACACCGAGGAGCACCUCUUUUCUGUUACAUCAAAGUCCGCAUUAAUGACGACGUAUUUUUAAGGAUCUAAGAGUUCUGUCAAAAGGAGUCUCUUUAUAGAGCGUUUCAAGUUGGGCAACUUUAAAAACAAUUCUGAUGCUCUGAAAUGUCAGUAAUUUACUUCAUUCACACCUUUCUGUAUUCACAAGUACGUGAUUCUACAAUUAGCGAAUCGAAUUUUGUGAUGGUUGAGAAUGAUAGUUACGAAUAAUUUUCAUGGGGGAGGAGUUCAUUUGAAAAGCUUAUUGCAUUGUGGAGAUAAGAUUUUUUUGUUGCGAAACAGUUAUACUCGAUGGGGGGAAUGUCUCACGUGCUGAAUGUUUGGAUGUAUGAAUGCUGUUUUGAGGUAGACAGUACGAUAGCCAAGCGGGUAGGAAAUGUAAUUCCCCAAAUUUUCAACUGGCAGGUGGUUGGAAUCAAAGUUAAGUACGAGAAAUUUAUGGUUGGUAUGUUCAGCAAGGUAAGUAUGAUGUAUAUUAUUUCGAUCUUAGUUUUAAUUUUCAACGUGCUUACUUUAACAGACUGUUAAUGUUGCUAUUUUUUUAUUGUUUAAAAGUUUGUAUACAAUAAUAUACGACCAACUCAUGAAGAAGUACAAACUCUUGAUUUCCAAAUGAUUGAGGGAUUUCAAUUAAAAGAAGCUGAAAGUGAAUUUCCUCCAGAAAUUGCUGCAGAUUGUUCCGAUAAAAGACCUGCUGUCGACGUAUAGUCACAAGUGGACCUCGAUAUAUAAGGUUUUGAGGAAUUUGGUAAGGUCCCUCCUACAGAAAUUCUCAAGAAGGCAGGUUUGAUUACUGAUGCUUCAACAUCUCAUCUGACUAAGAAGCGAAAAAUAGUCCGUUUUGAUUCCACAACUGCUGAGGAGCAAGUUUGUCAGAAAAUAUCAUCUUUUGUUUCAACAAGAACUGUGCCAACCCAAAAAACAGCUUCUUCAGAUUCGUAGCGUGUUCAUGCCGAAAAGACAACUCCAUCAUCGUCACUCAAGUCAGUUUGUCAGGACAAUUUUGAUGAAAAGUGGAAUGAUAUAAAGUUAUUUUUACAAUCUUAUGUAAGUUCAUUCAUAUCUUAUAGUCAACUUUCUUCAGCUUUUGACAUGCUGGUAUACACAAAAUUCAACUUUCAUCAACAUGUAGUCUUAUGUAAGUUCAUUUUGACAUGCAAGUUGACACAAAAAUCAACUUUCUUCAUGAUCUAAUAGUCAAACAACAUCAAGACUCAAACAAAAAAAUGGAUAAACAACAUGCCGAACUCAUUCAAAUGUUGAAACACAACAGCCGAAAAAAUAAAAAGGUACACCAAAAAUUAUUUAAGUUAUAUAAUUCAUGAUUUUGUAUUUCUUUUUGCUUCAAUUUUGUGCAUUUAUACUUAUUCUGAAUUAGAAUUGUAUUACGUAUUAUUUAACUAUUAUUUGUACAAUGUUUUAUACCAUACAUAAAAUGCUUACUUUGUGUUAUAAAAUAUACAAACAAUAUGCCAUGUAUAUUAACUAUUUCUCAUGGAAUUGAUAGUUGCAAUGGCAUAGUAGCUGUCAAUUAUGUUAUGUAUAUUAACUAAUAUACGCAAAUGUUUUAAGUUAAAUACACAAUAUAAUCAUAAGUUAUACUCAUAAGUAUGAUGUGUAGUUUAUAGCUAUGUAUAUUACAUAUAUUUUAUGUUUGUAAUAUAAUAUACAUAAAUUGUUACAUUGUGGUAUAUAAUAUACCAACAACAUGCUAUGUAUAUUAACUAUUUCUCAUGGAAUUGAUAGUUGCAUUGGCAUAAUAGCUGACAAUAAUGAUAUGUAUUUUAACUAAUAUACAUAACUGCUUUAUGUUAAGUCCACAAUAUAAUCACAAGUUAUACUAUGUGUAUUUUAUAGCUAUGUAUAUUACAUUGCAAUGGCAUAGUAUCUGAUAUAUCUACUACAACAAACUAUAAAGGUUCAUGUUUUGGAUGGUUCAACCGUCGGAAAAAAAUCAACACAAGCUCAAGUAGACAAGAUGGAUAUCAUGCAGAAUAUUGAAGGCAUACAAAAAUGGGUACUUUUUCAAAAAUACAUUAUUAUUAGAUCAGGUUGAUGUUAUCAAAUUUUUUCUAAAGAAUAUACUAUACUAUUUCAACACCAUCAGCAAGAGGGAGAAGAAAAAAUAGGAAAUGUACCAUAUAAAGAAGAUGUUGAAGAUAUUGAAAUCUUCAAAACCUUGAAAGAAAAGGAAAAAAAGGUAUUUACUCACAAGUGAUAGUUAUACAUACUUCGUUACAUAUAUUAAUUUUUUGUUACUUCUUUAAUUUUAUGAUUUUUAUCCAGCUUAGAAUUUGGUACAAAUUGAAUGUUUUUUAACGACAGUUAUAUUUGCGUUACAAUGUAUACGUAUUGUAUUAUAUGUAUAUUAUUAUAAUAUACAAAUAUGAAGCACAACACAAAUUAUGAAAGCAAUUAACAUAAAAAGCAAUAAUUAUUUUUUAUUCAUAGAUUUUCGACGAGACAGAUAAAUCAACAGACGUAUACUCUGUUGAUGAUCCAAUGGAUGGUCACUAUUUUGAUUGAAACCGUAGUUUCAUAUAACAAUAAUCACAGGUUAAAGAUCUUAGAAUUUAACGUUUACAAUUAAAAUAUUGAACUGACUUAGUUAUGUAUAUGUUUUACAUUAUGAUUGGUAGGAUGUUGAAGGAUGCAGUGAGGAUAAUGCUACUGCCAGCCUAGAUGCUCUUGUAGAAUCCGUGGUAAAUCACAAUUAUGACAACAUCAAUGUUGGAACAUAUACUACUGUGCAUGUCCAUAAUGAUCACAUGGUAAAUAAAUAAAGUCAUUCUUUUUUAGCCAUAGGUCAAAUAUGUAAGAAAUGUACUAUUUUUUUGCUUACAGUUAAAUCGAAAUAAUGAUCUACUUUUGUAUAUGUUUUGUGUUAUGUUUUCAAGGAUGUUGAAGGAGUUAGUGCUGAUAUUGAGCCUGCCACAUUGGAAUGUCUAGUCGCAGCUGUGGAAAACCAAAAACCUGAUAAUGAUAAUGUUGGAACAUCUAAUAUGCAGGUAACUUUACCAAUUUUUUUUCGCCCUGCAUGUCUUAAUUUUCACACAUGACACUAUUUCUACGUGCGCGUUAAACCAAAUCUAACAAUACAUACUUCAAAUUUAAUCUUAGGUUGAUUAUUCGAGUACACUUUCUGAAUUGGCUCAAGUCGAGUUAGAUGCGAUAUUGAAAGUUAUUGCAGCACCAGUUGAUGACGUUCCUAUAGAAGUAGUUCCACCGGCAGGACCAGUUGUGAACCAACACGACAUCUCUGAUAGUAAGGUUCUUCUUGAUUUUCCUGAUGCUGUUGUCGCGGCUCAUCAAGCUUUGAAAACCCGUGCUAAGGUUGCUAAGAGAAUCAGGACGAUAUCCAAAGUUUUCAAGUCUCCAUACACAACAGAAUAUGCUUCUGGCUCUAAAGCAAUUGAGGAUUAGAUCGAAGAACAGAAACAACAAUUCGCUUUUGAUGGUUUCCUAAUAUUUGACACUAUGCCAAGCAGUGUAAUUGAAGAAUUCAAACAGUGGGUGGAGGAAGAAUUAUUGAAGUUUCAUGCUAAAAAGUAAGUUUUUAUCGAUAUUAAAAUUCAUUAUUUUAGUCAAUGAAUGUACUACAUUUUUUUUUAUAAUAACAAUUUUUUUUUUUUAUAGAAAAUAUGAUGAUGAUCACUACAAAGCAAAAUCAUUUUCGCUAGGAGUUCAUGAAAUUGAUUUUGUGGUUGCUCAUGCACGGACAAAAAAUUGAUUUUACUUGAUGUCUCAAAAAAACACGUGUUGGAACGAUGAGGUAUUUAAACUUUUUAAUUUGAUAAUCAUUCAUUUUUACUUGUUCCGUUAUGUUGUAUACAUACAUGCAUAGUAUAUAUGUGUUAACCUACUUCGGAGAUUUUCUACGUGUUCAAUAGUUUUAAAUAAACUAUGUUUCUCUUAAACUAAUACUUCAAUUUCUAAUUUAUGUACAUCAUGUUUUUACACUGUAUAUGUGUUCAUUUUAUAUAUGACCAGUUUAGGCAUUUGAUAACACCUACAUAUACGUUAUAAUAUGCAUCACUGUUGAUUUUUGUGUCAUGUUUGUUCUAGUAUCCUUAGAUCACACAAAUGUUUUUUGUGUAUAUGUUAACAAAUUGUCACUACUAAAAUGGAUGGACAUCAUCUAUGUAUAUUAUAUCCUAUAUGUUAACUCAAUUAUAACACAACAACAUAUGUAUAUGUCUACCUUAAUAUAUGUAUUAGAUUGCUAAUGGCUAUGUAUUUUAAUAAUUGAUAAUUAGUAUGUAUAUUAAAUAAUAUACAUCACUGAAUGUAUGUAGUUAUGAACUUUCUUGCAUACUCAGGUUUCAUCAUAUUUUAUGUAUAUGCAUUUAUUAUCUAGAUGUAUGUUUACAAACACUAUUAUUAAAAGUAUGUGAUUUUUAUUAUAUAAGACAUAAUUCGUUUCAUUUUUUCUCGUCGUUUGUAGCAUAUUGAUGUCAUUUUCUAUCAUUUGCAAAAGAAAUCAAAAUUAAGGAGCGAUCAAAAUUACAGAUUCACAACGACCAACUAUUUUUUCAAGAACUACAUUGACAAGACAUACUCCAGAUACUAUGAAGACGAUACAGAUACAGUCCUGACUACAUAAUAAGAUUAUGGUGAAUCUGUUCGCGUUGCUCUAAUUGAAGAGGCAAUAACACAUAUAAUCAAUGAAUAUUGCAUGCCAUCUGAUUUACCAUGGCACCAAGUUGAUGAGGUGUAUGUUCCUAUCAACUGCAAUAAGAAUUUUCACUGGAUGUUAGCUGUUAUUGCCAUGAAAGAUAGACGCAUACGCGUCUACGAUUUGUUGUCCAGACGAAGGAAUACGAAAUCAAUUACUGAGAUUCAAAAGUUGGCUAAGAUGCUACCAACUUACCUCUCUGACAAUAAAUUUUAUGAUGAAACAUCUCAUACAGAUUGACCUAAUCUUGAAACAUAUAGGGAUAAGAUUACUCAGACGACAUAAAUUCUGAAUGAACAUCCCUUUGACGUUGAGUAUGUUCAACAUAUUAUGCAACAAGAAUGCUACAGUUUGUAAGUAUACUGAUAUAUUCUUUUUAUUUGCAAUAUUACUGUACAUGUAUUAAUGUAUUUGUAUUUUUCAUUGCUAGUAAGUAUUAAAUAAUAACUUCUAUUAUUUUUUGUAUGUAUGACAGGGAUUGUGGAGUCUUUGUUGCUGGUUAUGCAGAAUACCUAAGUGAAGAAAUGAAUGUGCCUUCCGAUGGUUUUGAAGAAGAAUACCAUAGAAUGCGUUAUGCCACACUACUUUGAAAAUAUGGUAUUCAAAAAACAAAGAAAGGUUAUGUUAGGAAAAAUGAUGACCCUCCAAGAUCAAAGUCAAGAAUUAUACAAAUUUCAGAUGAUAAUGCAAUAGUUUGCAUUGAGUAGUCUUACUGAAGAAUAUUGUUAAGAUUUUUAAUGUAUUCUGCUGAAAUUUGUUAGGAAUUUUUAAAGUUUUAAUUAUUUUAGUUGUUUUGUAAGGCAGAAUACAAUGGUUUUUUUAAUGAAUAUGAUGAAGUUUUUGUUUAACAUAUGUAUUUUUUAGCAAUGACGAAUGCAGUUUUUGAUGAAUGUUGCAUAUGACAACAUUUACAUAUAUUUGUGGCUGUUAUGUGUGUAUAUGUUUUCAUAUACAUUGUAAACAAUAAAAGUUAAUACUGUAUAUUGUAAAAUAUACAUAAUUGUAAUGUGUGUAUAUGUUUUAAUAUACACAAAACCUCCUAAUUUUAAUCUGUGUAUAUAUUAUAAUAUACAUAUUACAUUAUAUAACUAACUAAUAAAUGCUGAAAAUUAUACAUAAAUAUACAUUUAAUUGAAAAAAAAUAUAUUAAAGAAGUAAGUUAAUUCAACGCUAUAUGUAAAACUCAUAAUAUUUGUUUUUUAAAUUUUUUGUUUACAACUAUAUGUUUACAUUUACAACUCAGACGUUAUAUAACAGAGCUAUGUAUAUUAAAUUGUCUACAUUAAGUAAUAUAUAAUAUACAUAAAACAUAGAUUUGAGUUAAAGGCUAUAAACAUAAUUUAUGUAUAUUAUAUAAUAUACAUAACUGUACCAUCUGCUGGUUUUCAACGUUAUUUCAUUUCUCUUUGUAAGUAUAGCAAAACAAUAGGUUAAUUCAACAUUAUACAGAAAACACAUAACAGUUGAUUUUCAAAAUUUAGUUUUUUAAAAAAUUAAACAUACACAUUACAAUUUUUACAUUGGAGCUAUGUACGUUUUAUGUUAUACAUGUUACCAUUGUUUGAUAAUAUACACAACUGUGUUACUCUAGAAUAUUUCAAAGCACUUAUGAAAAUACACCAGCGUAUACAUAAAAAUCACAAAUAAGAAAAAUAAAUUAACACUAAAAUUAAAAUCGAAAUAAACAAUAAUUUAUUUAAAAGAAAAAAAAUACGAAAAUAAAUCAGUUAUACUCUUCAAGAGUAUAGCAAAAUAAUAAACUAGUUCUCCUUUGAAAAAAAACUACAUGAACGCCUAUUGUGCCCUUCAUGGCCGCAUCAUCCACAACGGUUUGUGCUUGAAGAAAGUGUUUCACUUGAUUUCUUCUUCCUCUCCUUCUUCUGUCUACCUGAAAGUCUUUUGUAUAACGGUGGCAACACUUCUUCUUCAUCUACACUGUUGGAAACAUCCCAGUCUUUCUUGUUUGACAUUGUAACGAUUGAAACCUCAUAUGUCUUGACCAAUUUGUUUGGCUUGUAGUAUUCUGAACAGUAAUCUCCAAAAUUUUUUACAUGUUUAGACUUCAAUACAGCUAUAGCGUGAGCACAAGAAAUUUGAUCUAUUUGAAACCUCACACAGUUGCAUGAGCCAUUUUCUAAAUCAACAAUGUAUCUUCUCCCAGAUUCAUAAACCGAAUAUAUAUAUGUUGAAGAAGCCUUCACCUAAACAAUAGAUAACAAAAUUCCAACCAAAUAUUUUUUACUGGAAAUAUAAAUUUAAAUACACUUAUUUUCAGUCGAACAAAUACUACUUAUAAAUGCACAUUUCAAAAAGUUAAAGCUUAUACAUACCGUCUUUCUCAAAGCUUUCACACCAUUGAGAGUAAGAAUUUUUUCAAAUCGAUGACCCAAAGUGGUACUUGUAUAAGAAACUAUUUCACUGUUCUUAUAGUUCCAAGAACCAAAUAAUAUUCGAACUUCUUCUAAGAAUCCAUAUAUUGGCAAUCCCCGGGCCUCUACCAAACAACCAUUAAUACACUUAGCAAUAUUUGAGGUCAUCAUCCGACCUCUAUUUACCGGUGGAUGACAUCUACUCCACUUUUCAUAUCCAAAUUCUUGUAAAUAUUUUUUCACUCUGGAUCAGCUUUUUCAAUCUUUGCCAUCAAAUAUUCAAAAUCAUCUUUCCUAUAAGCUUUAGCCAUUGAAUAAAAUAAAUCACUAAUACUUUCUUUGCUCUUACGAAAGUAACUACAAAUAUUUUUUCAAAGAUACCAUAUACACGCAAGAUGUGGGACAUUUGGAUAUACGACACUGACAGCUUUUAUAAUACUUUCGUUCCUAUCAGAAACAACACACAUGUUUUCACGUUCACCGAAUGCAACUUUGAACUGAUUGAAAAACCAUGUCCAUGAAUUAUCAUUCUCAGUAUCCACAACCCCAUACGCAAGUGGUAAUAUGCAUCCCAAAUUAAGUAAAAAUUGUAUUAGUAGAAGAACAACAAGAUUUUCUUAAAGUCUACUGGACAAAAUUUUUAUGUGUUAACAUAUACAUAGAUGUAUAUGUUAACAUAUACAUAGUUAACAUAUGUUAUUAGAAUAUACAUAACUACGUACGUGAUAAUAAAUAUAAUUUUUACUAUUUUUUUAAAUACAAAAAAAGAAUUAAUGAAUUUUUUUCAAUAACUUAAAAUUUUUUUUAAAUAUGAAAUACAAUGAAUGUUUAAAAAAAAUCAGGGAUUUAUGAUUUUUCACAUACCUGCACGAUCAAGAGUACUUGCUGAGAAAAAAGUGCCUUGAUAUGGUCCACUUAAAUGUGCACCAUCAAUAACAACAACAGGCCUGCAAUAGUCAAAAUCCCUUAUCAUGGGAUGCAAUGCUUAAACAAAUACAUGAACCGAUUAUCCCAUGAUUUGUGCAUUGCAACGUGCGAAUUAGGAUAUACAUUUUUUAACAUAUAAAUAUAUCUCGGCAUCUGUCUAUAACCAUCCGCAGGUCCGCUCCUUAGCAAAGCAAUGACACGCUCCUUCGUAUGCCAUGCUUUCAUAUAAUUUAUAUCCACAGCAUAUACAACUUUCAUUUCUUCAAUGAUGUCCCCCGGUGUGUGCUUUAUCUUAUAAUUAACUAGUUUUGGAGCUGUGAAUUCACAUACAAAAGAAGUUGUCGCCAAAAUAUUCUGCAGUACCCUAUCCCUCAAAUUGCAUGUAUGUUCUGGAUUAAAUUUUUGAACCAUAAAAACAUCUAUUUUUUUUGUAACUAGAUGCUUCCAACUUCCACGUACAUUUCUCAUUGUAAUAGAGGAGUACAUAGCUGAAAUAUAAAAAAUACUAUUCAAAUGAUUAUAUUUUGCAUCAUUUCAUAAGUUUUGACGAUUUAAUUGUUACAAAUUCAUUAUAAUACAGCAUAGACAUGCAUAAUAUUUCAUCAAAGAAAGCUAUAAACAAUCUAAUAAUUAACGUAAUAAACUUUAAAGAUGGAGUAUGCAGAUUAUGGAUUAAAUAAAACAUCUACUGACAUGUUACCAGUUAUGUAUAUGUUUACACAUACAUAAUUACUUAUUGUAGACAUGUAAUUUUGUCCCUCCCCGAAAGCAUUUUUUUCAUUUUUUGACCUUAUCCUACCAUGUACCCCCAACCAUAUAAUCAUACCCCACAAAAAUACAAAAAUAACAAACUCCCUAACAAAACUUUAUCUUUUUUAACCAUCCUAACAACCUCUCUAAUCAAAAUUAGGACACCUUACCAUCCCACACCCUACCUCUACCCCACCUACCCUACCUCUACCCGCCCCCUAGGCUGCCCCCUUCCCUCAUUCACAUUUUCUCUAAUUUUUUCUCAACAAAAAAUAUACCAGAUACGCACACACAAAGGGGACCCAGAUCCCAUCUUCUCCAUAUAGAUUUAACACACACACAGUAGAGGGAGGAGUGGACAUACUCCAUUGUUCUUUUUUCUUUUUUUUCGAGCACAAUUCUUCACGGAGAGGAACGAAUACACGCACAUCACCCUCACAAUCUCACACUCCAUUUCACAAUAAUACAGAAUCUUCACUGAUCACACUAAAUGCAUAAUCGAUUGAGAGAGAUAUGUGAGGGAGCUAAAUAGUAAGAGAUUGUGAGCAAAAACGAAGGGGAUUGAGAAAGAAUAGGAGAAAGGGGUGACAGAGAGGUGAAUUGUAAGCUAUUGAGGUUGUCGGAGCUCUGGCUAUGCGAAUACAGUGAUUCCGAGCUCACCGUCAUCAAUUCCCUCAUUAACGAUAGAUCAACGACCAAUUCCGGUGACCAACACUUCGAAAAUAGCUCAAACCACCUAGAAAUCCAUUGAAAUCACUAAACCAGCCACGCCGCCAGUCCGAUUUUCUCUAAAAUCUGGCAAUCCACUUCCUUCCCAUUACUGCCUGUGCUUACCAGAGCUUCGGUGAGUCGCAAAACAUCAGAAGAAAAUAGAGGGGGUUCGUCUUGGGUAUUUUGGGAUUUGAGUUCGAGCUUCGUCCAUGGUUCAUUGGUUCCGAGGCUCCCGUCAUGUUGAAAUUAGUUCAAUUGGUCAAAUAAAAGCCCCAAUUUAAGGUCCAUCUCUUUAUCUCAUUCUUAUUCUUAAUUAAUUUUUAUGGUUGCGUGUGUUGAUUGCCAUCGUCUCAACUUUUCUAUUAUUUUAUGCGUGAUGUGAAUGAUAAAUGUCGAAUAAUAUUGAUUGGGAAUCGCUAAAAUAUUAUCGUUGAUUUGUUAUGUUGUAACAUUAGUUGAGAAUCAAUUUGGGGCAGAAUGGAUAAAUCGCUAAAAGGAUGAAUAAUGAUCAAUUUUGAUUUAUUGUUGUUUGGUUUAAUUUGGUUUAAGUAUGAAUAUUGUUGAACACGGUAGUAGCAUGAUUAGGUCGUUAAGUCGAUAGGCAAAUUCUUGGUUUUGGGGUAGGAAACUCAUAAGAUUCUAAUCAUCGAAUGUGUAAAUAUUUGUGUCGAGUGAUUUUUCCUAUUUUUAUCGAAUUAAAAAUGUACUCAUUUGGCCGGGGAAUGCCCCGAGGUAUUUGUAUUAUUUUAUCCGGGGAAUGCCCCGACGUCUCAUGUACCCGAAGGAUGUUUGUAAUGAAGGCCCGAAGCAUCGGGUAAAGCAUUGAAGCAUAGUUUAGAAUUAGUGUAGGUUUACUUUUUAGUACCCCUUUUUUAUUUUCGGUUGUAAUAAUUGGACUGAAUAUUAUAUUUUGGAUUUGUUUUGUUUCGUAUUUUUGAUUGAUUGUUUUAUGUGUUUUGUGUGGUUUAUACAUUUGUAAUGUCAAAGUUAGCCGAUACGCUCUACCAAGAGACCGAGGUCAAACCACGGGUUCGAGGGGUGCCUAACACCCGCCCCUCGGUUAACAGAAUUUCUUUGCCGGAAUCUCUGUUCGCGGAUCAGUUUUAAAGAGUCAAAUAUAUUUUGAAAAGAGAUAUCCAAGGGUGACUUGGCACACCCCAUUUAUGCCAAGUGACGACUCUGAGUUUUGAAUAUAAAAAGUCCUUUUCGAAACAAAUCUUCAUUUUGUCACUUCAAUAAUAACCCUUUCGAACCUUAAAACAUAAUCUUUUUUUGGGAGUUAAAAAAAAGGGGUGUGACAGCUCUGGCGACUCUGUUGGGGAUUUUUUUAAGAAUUCGAGCAUAUUUUGGAGUUGUAUCGGCUUAGUUUGGCACUAUAGGUGUAUAGACUUUUUGUUUACGUGCUCUUUUUUUUUACAGUUUUUCUCUUAUGUGUUACCGCUUUAUAGCUGGUAUCAUGUGCAUAACCCGAGUUAAUUCUUUCUACAACAAGUUCUGUAGUACACGCUGUGUAGACGACCUAUAGUUGAGUCACCCUUAUUUUAGGAGGGGGAUCCAUCGACUGGUAUGGAGUAGGUGGACAGCCAAAGCAGCCACUAUCGAUCAUAUGCUCCCCCUAACAACCUUGUUAGUGAACCCCAACUGAGGUCAACCUUUAGGUCAUGAUUAUGUACAUCAUAUUGAGGAUCUAGCGGGGCCCACUUGGCCCUUUGUAGGAGGCUCGCCUCUAAAACAUUCCUACGUGUUAAUUGUUGCAUCUUUGAGAGUAAUAUGGUCAUUUUAUGGACUGAUUUGGGGAAAGCAUGUGUUAGAAGUAAAGUAUGUAGACAAGAAACCGUUUGAAAAAAAAAGUUUUGUAGCUUUUAGUGUUCUUCGUGGCUUUUGUUUUUAACAAUUCAAAAAGAUUUCUUUAUUCUCUGCACUCAUUUGUUCAAAAACCAAAACAUCAAAAAGAUUUCUCACUUUGUCUUCUUUAGCAUACAUUCAUAAUUCGAAAUUUUCAAAAAAAUUUUUUUUAGCAGUUUAUAAAAGAAAAGGAAAAAUGAUAAAAAUUUUGUACAUUUCAUAUAGUGAAAAUGCCAAAAAGAUUUCCUUCAUAAUCGUUGGUGUCAGUUUUAGUUGAGGUGUCUAAUUAAAAACCCAAAAAUAUUUUGUUCGUUUGUCUUUGGUUGUGUCUCUUAAGUUAGGGUCAAUCUGUUAGUUAAUCCUUAAUUGUCCAAUCUGGACGACCUACGCACCCCUGAUUCUCCUCUCUCUGGAGUGAGAUACGUAGGCAGCCUAUUGUUGGUUCGGGGAUCUUAUUUAAAAAAUUCAAAAAAAAAUUUCUUUACUUUUUAUUUAGAGUAGGUGUUUCACAUAUGCCUCGAAAAGAACACUACAAAAAGAUUUUCCUUAAUAGUCGUAGGUUUCAUUUUUGGUUGAUCUUGUUUCAAAAAAUUCAAAAAAAAAGAGAUUUUCUUUACUUUUCAUUUAGAGUAGGUAUUUCAUAUACAUCUUUAAAAGAAAACUACAAAAAAGAUUUUUUCCUUUAAUAGUUUCAAAUUUUAUUUUUGUCUGAAUUUCAAAAUUAAAAACCCAAAAAGAUUUCUUUGGUAAUCAUAGAUUUCACUUUGUAUAGGGGUGUUUAAACCUGAAAAAUACAAAAAGAUUUUCGUCAAUUCUUUUGACAAAUUGUUAUUUUCUUUUCUUCUUAAAGUUUCAAGAAAAAGAAAAGAGUUAAUUUGGCCAUUUUGGCAAGACUUCACGAACUACGCACACCUGAUUCUCCUCUCUUUUUGAUUGAUUGUUUUAUGUGUUUUGUGUGGUUUAUACAUUUGUAAUGUCAAAGUUAGCCGAUACGCUCUACCAAGAGACCGAGGUCAAACCACGGGUUCGAGGGGUGCCUAACACCCGCCCCUCGGUUAACAGAAUUUCUUUGCCGGAAUCUCUGUUCGCGGAUCAGUUUUAAAGAGUCAAAUAUAUUUUGAAAAGAGAUAUCCAAGGGUGACUUGGCACACCCCAUUUAUGCCAAGUGACGACUCUGAGUUUUGAAUAUAAAAAGUCCUUUUCGAAACAAAUCUUCAUUUUGUCACUUCAAUAAUAACCCUUUCGAACCUUAAAACAUAAUCUUUUUUUGGGAGUUAAAAAAAAGGGGUGUGACAGCUCUGGCGACUCUGUUGGGGAUUUUUUUAAGAAUUCGAGCAUAUUUUGGAGUUGUAUCGGCUUAGUUUGGCACUAUAGGUGUAUAGACUUUUUGUUUACGUGCUCUUUUUUUUUACAGUUUUUCUCUUAUGUGUUACCGCUUUAUAGCUGGUAUCAUGUGCAUAACCCGAGUUAAUUCUUUCUACAACAAGUUCUGUAGUACACGCUGUGUAGACGACCUAUAGUUGAGUCACCCUUAUUUUAGGAGGGGGAUCCAUCGACUGGUAUGGAGUAGGUGGACAGCCAAAGCAGCCACUAUCGAUCAUAUGCUCCCCCUAACAACCUUGUUAGUGAACCCCAACUGAGGUCAACCUUUAGGUCAUGAUUAUGUACAUCAUAUUGAGGAUCUAGCGGGGCCCACUUGGCCCUUUGUAGGAGGCUCGCCUCUAAAACAUUCCUACGUGUUAAUUGUUGCAUCUUUGAGAGUAAUAUGGUCAUUUUAUGGACUGAUUUGGGGAAAGCAUGUGUUAGAAGUAAAGUAUGUAGACAAGAAACCGUUUGAAAAAAAAAGUUUUGUAGCUUUUAGUGUUCUUCGUGGCUUUUGUUUUUAACAAUUCAAAAAGAUUUCUUUAUUCUCUGCACUCAUUUGUUCAAAAACCAAAACAUCAAAAAGAUUUCUCACUUUGUCUUCUUUAGCAUACAUUCAUAAUUCGAAAUUUUCAAAAAAAUUUUUUUUAGCAGUUUAUAAAAGAAAAGGAAAAAUGAUAAAAAUUUUGUACAUUUCAUAUAGUGAAAAUGCCAAAAAGAUUUCCUUCAUAAUCGUUGGUGUCAGUUUUAGUUGAGGUGUCUAAUUAAAAACCCAAAAAUAUUUUGUUCGUUUGUCUUUGGUUGUGUCUCUUAAGUUAGGGUCAAUCUGUUAGUUAAUCCUUAAUUGUCCAAUCUGGACGACCUACGCACCCCUGAUUCUCCUCUCUCUGGAGUGAGAUACGUAGGCAGCCUAUUGUUGGUUCGGGGAUCUUAUUUAAAAAAUUCAAAAAAAAAUUUCUUUACUUUUUAUUUAGAGUAGGUGUUUCACAUAUGCCUCGAAAAGAACACUACAAAAAGAUUUUCCUUAAUAGUCGUAGGUUUCAUUUUUGGUUGAUCUUGUUUCAAAAAAUUCAAAAAAAAAGAGAUUUUCUUUACUUUUCAUUUAGAGUAGGUAUUUCAUAUACAUCUUUAAAAGAAAACUACAAAAAAGAUUUUUUCCUUUAAUAGUUUCAAAUUUUAUUUUUGUCUGAAUUUCAAAAUUAAAAACCCAAAAAGAUUUCUUUGGUAAUCAUAGAUUUCACUUUGUAUAGGGGUGUUUAAACCUGAAAAAUACAAAAAGAUUUUCGUCAAUUCUUUUGACAAAUUGUUAUUUUCUUUUCUUCUUAAAGUUUCAAGAAAAAGAAAAGAGUUAAUUUGGCCAUUUUGGCAAGACUUCACGAACUACGCACACCUGAUUCUCCUCUCUCGAGGGUGAGAUACAUAGGCGCCCUUCUCGGGUCCGGUGACUUUGUCAAUAAAAGAAAAAAAGAAGAAAAAGUUUUUGAAAAAAUGUUGAAUUCUAACACAUUGGUUAUCUCUUGUUCAGUUAGUUUAAGGUGGUUGGUUUGUGGCAUUUUGGCUGGUCCUCCGUAUUGCACCAAGUCAUCGAGAAGGUUAUGGCCAACAAGGAUACCAAAUUUAUUUUCACUAAUCAUAUAGGGAGUUCGGGAAAUGGGAAUUUAGGAAUUUAGGAAAUGAUAGAAGUGCAUCGAGCUUGGGCUAAUGGGUUGCCCCCUCCUCCAGUUCCCACUGAUAAUCUGGAAUAUCUUUUUAGCUUGCCUCCAGUGUCACAUACACAGUUUCCUAUUUUUGUUGACACACCACAACAUGCAUCAGGACCUGCUCUGGGGUAACACUAUCCAAAUACUUUUAAUAUUUAUUUCCUCACUCCUCAACAUAAAGAUACAACAUGCUCGGCUCCACCCACUAUUCAUGUUUUUGCAACACCAGCCCUACCCGAAGCUCCUACUUUUGAGGUUUAUCCACAGUUGUGCCUCUCCACUCUGUGAGAUAGCCUGUAUUGAAUAUUUUUGCUGAUCAACAUCAUGCUAUUAAGCCCACAUUUAAGUCGACUAAUCCUUAUGGCUAUACUCACCCGCCUGAAUGUCCUCUUAACACUGAGAAGCCUGUUAUAACAUAAGAACAAGAGGAAAUGACCAAAAAAUUGAGAAGUUUGGAAUUGGCUAUGAAAGAACUCCGGGGACUUGGGGGGUACAAAAGUGUCUCAUAUAAAGAUCCGUGUAUGUUUCCAGGGGUUUAUCUUCCUUUUGGUUUUAAAAUGCCAAAGUUUUAGAAGUAUGAUGGACAAGGCGAUCCUGUAGCACAUUUAAGACGUUAUUGCGACCAACUAAGGGGUGCUGGGGGGAAGGAAGAAUUACUACUGGCAUAUUUCAGUGAAAGUCUUUCAGGCCUAGCUUCGGAAUGGUUUGUUGACCAAGACAUCGACAAGUGGAUUAGUUGGGAUGACCUAGCUAAUGAAUUUGUGCAACAAUUCCAAUACAAUGUGGAGUUAAUUCCUAAUGAGAAAUAUCUAACUAACUUGAAGAAAAAGAGUACUAAGAUUUUCAGAGAGUAUGCGAUUAGAUAACGUGAACAGUUGCUAGGGUGAAACUGUCAAUGAAAGAAAGUAAGAUAGUGGAGGCAUUUAUUCAAGCGCAGGAUGAAACAUAUUAUCAACACUUGUUACCUGCAUUAGGAAAGACAUUUAUUGAGGUCCUCAAAAUGGGGGAGAUGAUAGAGGAUGGAAUUAAUACUGGUUGUAUUGUGAGUUUUGCAACAUUAAAAGCGACUACUUAAACAAUUCAAAAAGGUUCAGGAAGUAUGGUAGGAAUGAAGAAUGAGGAAGAUGCAUCUGCCAUUUUAGUUGGACAACAAGCACGGGCAAGAGGACCACACCAUUGUUACCUAUAGGCUCAAACCCAAGUUUAUACCCAAGCGCUACAGAAUCUUUCCCGAAAUCCAUUAUACUUUAUUCCCCCACCUCAAUAUCCAAUAUACAAUGCACAACCUUAUGGUCAAUUCCCUUCUUACCCACAAUGGCGUGUACCAACUCUUCAGAGUCAUCCUCAAACUCCACAAACAUACCAAAGCCUUUCUAGGCCAGAUUUUCGGUCCAAGCCAAAUAAUGAAAUAAGGAAGAAGUCGAGGGAUAGCUUCACACCAAUUGGAGAGUCGUAUGCAAGUUUAUUCCAGAGAUUGGUACAGCAGGUCAUGAUCACUCCCCUCCUUCAAGAAGUUUUGAUCCUAAUGUAUGAUGUGCAUAUUAUUCUUAUGUUCAGGGUCACAGUAUUGAAGAUUGUCGUGCUUUGAAAAAAGACAUUAAAAAGAUGAUUCAAGAAAAAUCAAUCAUGGUGCAGAACAUUGACAGUGAGGAAAGCUAUAGUCAUGUUGAUAUGCAAACCAGUGGCUAAGAUGCCAGACUGAGCAUUUGAGAAGUCACCCCUCUCCCUACUAGGAAGAGGUCUGGUAGCUUGUUUUAUUUUAUUUUCUGUUGUCCGAAUUAUUUCAGGGUUGUAGUUCGGGAUCUAUCUUGUUUUGCCCUUUUGUCGUUUAUGUUCAAACCCUUCUAUCUUUUGUUUCAACUAAAUGUAGUGUCCCAUUUUUCUUUGUGUUUUAAAUAUGUGUUGUUUGUUUGUUUUCUUUACAUAGUACAUUUUAUGUUGACUCUAGUGAUAUGACAUGCUAGUGAAAUUUUCAGUUAGAUCUUAAAAUUCAGUUUAAGCAUGAACAUUGAAUCAAAGGGUUAAAGUUAGAAAAAGAGAGCAUCUGAGAAAAUAGGUAGAGUGCUGAGACAUUUGGUGACAAGUUCAAGCCUUCUUUGAAAAUUAAGGCAAUUAUUUUGAGAAUAACAAGAAUAAAUUAGUCAUCAAUUGAAAAACAUAGCUCAAUUAGGUCAAAUAGCGGAUGUGUGAUCCCGAAGAACAGAAAAAUUAGCUCCACAAAAGCAUGGGUCAGUCGAUGUGAGGGAUCUAUAACACAGGUGGAGUUGUAUGUUUGACAAGCCCAGAAGAAGUAGUGGCACACAUGCUUAGUUAAAGUUAGUAUUGUGAAAGUUUCACAAAUGAUCUUUAUCUUUCACUUUCAUAUUGCAUGAUGUGUACUAACAUUUUCAAGGAUUAAUAUGACGAAGGCAUUUUAUUCUGCUAUCCAUACAUUGUGUCAUCCUUUGUAUACCCCAUUUGAGCCUUAGUAUCAUUUUCUUUCAUAUCCCUCUUUUGGAAUCAAUAUAGAGUAAAAAAAAGUGUCAAGUAAAAGACUAGAGUCAGAAAAGUUUUCAAAAAAGAAGAAGAGAGAAAAAUGUGUCCAAAAAGAAAAAAAAAGAGAAGAGUGUCAAGACAAAUAGAGUCAGAAAAAUCCAAAAAGAAAAGAGUGUCAAUAAAAGAAAAAGAAUCAAAAGUCUAAAUCAUGCAAAACAAGUUGCCAGAACUACGUAUGAUAUGAUUCUCCUCUUUCGAGGGUGAGAUACGUGGGCUGCCCUACUUAGGGCUCGGUCCAAUCAAAUAAACAAUUUAGAGUCUCCCAAUCAAAAGAAACUGGGGCAUGAGUUAAUCCUCAUUGUUUGAGUCGAUUUCAAAAGUUGUAAGUCCUACCCCACUUUAAGUGUCAUUUGAGCCUCAUGUCAUCCUUUCUUUCUAACCCUAUCCAAAAGCCAAGUUACAACCAAAGAAGACCUUCAGAUCAAUCUUUGAGAAUGUUAAGGCUACGCAUGCAAUGCAUAUGAUGACACAUUUUGGGAACUUCUUGUCUUCCUCAGCAUAAGAAAUCAAGAGAGAAAUAAAAAUGAGAGUCUUAUUGGUGAAAACUCUCAUGGGCACCAUAAGGCGAUGGUAAGUUGAGAUAAAAAAGGUGAGAGAAAAACUGAGCGAGACAGAGAGAAGAGAAUUGAAAAGAAGGAAAUAAAAAAAGGGGAAAAUCUAUCGGAGUUUGACUGGAAAACCCACUUUUACCAUGAAACCGAUUAGAAUUCUACGAUAUUUGGGACUUCCAAGCUCCGAAAAAACCAAAAUUGUGAUUCUAGUUCAAGAACCAACCCCCCAUUCCGUUUCCACGGCGAGACUCGGUGGAAAAUAAUGAAAAAUGGGUACGGACCUUCCCCCUUCAUGAUUCUGGUACUUUUUUGGUAAAAACAGUGAAAUAUCGAGGUUGGGUUGAUUUGGACUGAGGUUGGUUCAAAGUUUCAGCGCAGACUUCAUUUCGUUUGAUUGAAUAAAAGCGACAUUUUGAGGUCCAAUUCUACUCCUUCCCUAUUUUUAUUUCAUUGUUUAUCAUAUUCGAUGUGUUGGGUUGAAUACUGUGUGUCGUUUGAUCUUGGUUGGUGAAUAUUUGCUUGUUUUGAUUCGUUGUGGGUCCUCUCAAUCAUGAAUUGUGUGAUGAAAUAAUAUCUCAUUCGAGAAGUGGAAUCAGUUAUUUGUGGGUUGGAAAUUAAAAUUGAUAAAAAGCUAAUGUUAAUUUACUUUGAUUCAUUGACGUCAUUGAUCAUGAUAAUGCCUCGAUAGGUCGAGUUGGGUAGACAAAUAUUUUGGAAUAAGUGCUUGCUCGUUAAAUUAUUGAAUGCUUGAAAUGCAUGUUGAAUGGUUUGGUUUAUUGACUUUGGAUCGAAUGUAUCAUUUAGCCGGGGAAUGCCCCGAGACACAUUGUAUUUAUUCACCGGGGAAUGCCCCGAUGUACUAUGUUGGCGGAAGAUGUUCGUGAGGAAGGUCCAAGGCGUUGGGUAAAGCCUGGGAGCGUAGUUAGGAUUAGUAUAGGUUAGAUAGGAUUUAUUUUCACAUUUUUUUUAUUUUUGGGACUGUAUAAUUGGACUGAACACUAUACUUUUAUUCGUUUUAUUUGGUUUGUUUGUUUGAUUGCUUUACGUGCUUCUUUGUGGUUUAUACAUUCAUAGUAUUCAAAUUAGCCGAUAUACUCCACCAAGCGACCGUGGUCAAACCACGAGAUUGAGGGGUGCCUAACACCUUCCCCUCGGUCAACAGAAUUCCUUAGACAGAAUCUCUGUUCGCGGAUUAGUUUUAUAGAGUCAAAACCGUUUUGAAAAAGGAUAUCCACAGGUGACUUGGCAUACCUGAUUUAUGCCAAGUGGCGACUCUGAGUUUAAAUGUAAAUAAUCCUUUUCGAAAUAAAAUUUUCAUUUUUUGUCACUUUAAUAAUGAAAAAUCUUUCGAACUAAUAAAAUUAAUAUUUUUGGAGUUAAAAAAAGGGGGUGUGACACUUAUGCAUAUGUUUUAAUAUACAUAACAUAUUUCCCUUACCAAAACUGAUAAUAUAAACAAUUAAAAUAAUAGACAUAACAACUUAUAUGUAUAUUAAACCAAGCACCUCAGAAAUAUUAAUAACAAAGAAAAUGGUUACCAGUUUUGUUGUAUGUAUCCGAUGGCUUUUCAGAAAAUAAAAAGAAAAUUUGUAAAUUGAAAUUCAUUACCUCACAUAAAUAUACAUAACUUCAACAUACUAACAGACAGAUAUUGCAAAGGUCACACUGAUAAUUUGUAUUUCGAUUUUAGUUUUAGCACAAAAAAAUACACAUGUUCAUGCAACUAUAUGUAACAUUUUAAUUAAAAACAAAUAAUAUAAAACAUUCAAUGAUUUCAUAUAUCAUACUGCUUAGUAUAAAAAAGAUACGAUUUUACCUUUUUUUGUCUGAUCGUUUUGCUCUAACAUUGAAUCCAUUAGUCACCUUAUAUUUCGACAUCACUGAAAUAAGCGUAUUUUUAUCCUUAUACAUCUGUUUCACCUUUACAUCAAUGCUCUUGCUAUCACAUAUCAAGUUAUCUUCAACCUUUGGUACAUACAAAGCAUACUCAUUUUGUGUCUCAGCAACAGAUAAAGCCAAAGCAUCAGAUUCAAUACCUUACAGGCAAACCACAACUCCUGUUUCCCUAUCGAACAAUAUGUCAUCUUCACAUUUUUGUGUUGUUGAAAUACAUAAUGGAUACAUCAUAAACGUCGGUUGAUUUUUUUUCAACUCGACAUACAAUCUGUAAUACCCCACAAAAUCGCGUGUCAAAUUCAGCUCGUAAAGAUCCAUGAAAGAUCUCAAGACUUAGAAAAUUUUGCUAAAUAUUCAAGAUUCAACACUUAGUCUUAUUUUAGACCUCCAAACUUUGGUCAUCUUCCAUCCCUAUAUAUACCCCAAACACGGGAUUAAGGCUUAUUUGCAGCAAAAUAUACUCCUCUUCUCAAAAUCCUCUCAAGAACUCAAGCUAGGGUUUCAAUUUGAAGGCCCAAAUCAAAUCAAUUGAAGAACAUAACUCCUCAUUUAUCUUCAACAUCAAAAGAAGGGUUUCUCUCAAGAUCAUAACCUAUAACAAGAAUCAAAUCCUUCUUCAAGAAUAUAUGAUAUUCAAGUUUUUCAAACUCAAGAGCCAAUUUAUUUUCUCUCAAAGGAACAAGAACCCUAGUCAAGGAAUCAAGAACAUGUCUAAACAUUUCUUCAAGAAUCUUCCACCUAAAGUAUGCUUAGUGUUCAUCCACGGAUUCCUUUCAUCCGUAGGAGUCCAAGAACAAUGCUUGAAAUACUAUAUUGUGAUUAUCUUGUUGAGAUAUGAUCAUGUACAUGUUGAUGGUUGUUGUUUAUGCUUCAAGAUGUUAAUUUAGGGUGAUUCUCAUGAAGUAUGUGUGUUUGUAGUUAAAACUCAUGAAAUUGAGUGGUUUAAGAUGACUAAAUUAUUAAGAACACCUAUGCCAUAAAGUGUGCAUGCAAGGUGUUCGACAAAAUGCCUAGAAUAGGCAUAAUCAUGUUUUUCAUGAUUUAAGAGUGCUCAAUUAACAAGUUCUUACUCCAUGUUUUAUCAUUUCACGUGACUUCCAUGUUGUGUGAAUAAAGUUCAAAUCUUUACAUGUUGUUGAUGAUACCAUGAUAUUUGGUGGAUUCAAUUGGUGGAAUUGAGUUGAAUUAUGGUGUUAUGGUGUAUAAAAUUGAUCAUUAGGCCUAUGCCCUAAAUAGUGCAUGUAAGGUGUUUGUUAAAUGCCUAAGUGAAGAAGAAUUGAGCACUUAGACCUAUUUGUGAUCUAAAUGAUGAUUCCAUACCAUAUCCAUGUGCUUAAGUUGACUCCCAUGCUAAAGCUAUGCCUACCAUGUGUUUGGUAAUGUGCCUCAACGAAUAAAUGAUGAUCAAGUACCUAGUCUUCAUGCUCCAAGAUUUUGCCAUGUCUCUUAAGUUAUGCCAUGUCUACUUGAUCAAGAUGAUUUCUAUGCUAUUAAUGUGCUACGAAUAUGUUGUUGUCUUGUCAUGAUAUUAGAAUUGACCAUGAUGUUAGCUAUAUGAAAAGGUUAUGAAAACCACAUGAUUUAUGAACUCCCCGUAGAUGCUAUAUUAUGGAUUGUUAAUGUUGGUCAAGUACUCUUGUAUGUCAAGUCAUGUCAGUUUCCUUCCAUCGAGUCCGGGAGGUAUUCGUACCCGAAAACUAUAGCCGUGUUCCUAGAGCCAUGUCAUGUUAUCACCAUGAUUUCAGUCGAGCCACAAUCUAUAGAACUCAGUCAGUCAUGUGACUCAGGAAACCUCAGAACUCUCAUGAUCUCAUUCAGUCAUCAGAUAUCAGUAGUAUUUCGUCAGUCAACGGAAUCUAGUAAAAUCAGUCCAUGUAUGGUUCAGUUUAUUAUGUUCAGUGUCUGUUCAAAUGAGAGUAGUAAUUAGCACCGAGUGAACCCAAGGAUGGGAACUUACCUGCCAGUAGAGGGUCAGAUUCUUAGAAGCAAUCCUUGCAUUCCAGAACUACGUAGCCAGCGUAGGUUGAGACAUCAAUACCUUUCAGUUGAGGGUAGAUGAGGUGGCUUAACCCGUCAGAUGAGGGUUCCCACCGUUCUCAUUAGAGUACCUACCAGAUGAGGGUCACUUACAAUUUGUCCUUACCAGUGGCGCGGUAUUGAACCCUUCCAGUCAGGGUACAGAUUGGACCCCAGCUCAGCUAUAAUAGCAAUAUAUGGGGCAUAUCGAUUAGAUAACUACUUCCUAUAGUUUUAUUCACAGUCUCAGUAAAAUAACUCAGUUAGUUCUUCAGAUUUCAGAUUAUCAAGACUGUCAGAUAAGUCAACUCAGAUACAGUAACGGGACUCAGAUAGUUCCAUCAAAUUCAGGGCUGUCAAACAUAGUCAAUCACGUCUAUCAGAUAUAUCAGUUAUAACAGUUAUCAGAAACCAAUUAUCAGUCAUGUCAGAUAUCAGUAACUUAUGUUAUCAGUAUUCAGUUUUAGGAUUGUCAGAUACAGUCAAUCAGACCAGUUUUUCAUAACUCAAACUGUCAGAAAUAAUCAUUCACUUAUCAGUAGUAUCAAUAUCAGUAAAAUUAGUCAUUCAGUAUCUCAGCAUCAGUAAACUCAUGUUGUCAGUAUUCAGACUCAGUAGUCAGUAUCACCAUGAGUUUAGUUGUAGUUACGUAUGUAUGUAUGUAUGUAUGUAUGUAUGUAUGUAUGUAUGUAUUCUCACGUUCAUAUCAGUUAGCAUUGCUCAUGUAUAUAAAACCCUUUGCAUUUAGCCUACCUCACUUGUAUACUCAUUACAUUCAGCCAUACUGACGCAUUCGCACUAUGGUGUUUUUUUUGAUGCCAUAGGUACAGAGGCAUGAGUUUCAAAGCAGCAAUAGCAUUGCAGAUUUCAGCAGUCAGUGCUCCUCAUCAUUCGAGGACAAUAUUAUUAUUACUUUAUUACAGUAUUUCAGAUUAGUUUUUCAGUUCAUGGAGUUAGUUGGAGACAUGUUCCUUCAACUCCUUAUUCAGUUCAGUUAGAGGCUUUUAGACUAGAUGUCAGAUUAGAUGUUCAGACUUUAAUAUUUAUGUUUCGUUUUGGUAUUCUUAUACCAUAUUUUUUAGAUAUGUAUCAGUAUUGAACCUUAUGGCCUUACAGUUCAUGUUUCUACAUAUUUUAUGAGAUAUUAUGCAGUUUACAGAUAUAGAUAUCAGUCAUGGAUUAGCUUGUGGUCCUUUGGGGUCAUGAGUACCAUGUAGCAUUUCAGUUCAAAAAAUCGGGGCGUCACACAAUCGUACGUUAUUAUUGUUACGGAUAUGAAAAGGUGAAUCAUUCCCAUCGACAACAUACGUACAUCAAUAUUUUUUUGAGUUUCGUCAAUGUUUAGUUCAUCAGCAAUCAACGAAAUCAACCUCAAAUAAUUUACUGAUUCAGCAACAACAAUCCCUUCACUUUUAUAAUCCACAUAUCAUGUUUGAGAUCUCCAGUUACCCGAGUACCUUAAAAGAAUAGUAAUAUUCAUCUUCAAUAAUUGGAAAUAAUUUGCUUUCUUUAGUAAACAACAAAAAACAGAGAUGAAAUUUGAUUUUUGAUUUAUGAUUUUGCUUCAGAUUUGUGUUUUUAGGUAUUUGUGAUGUUUAAAAUUUGAAAUUCCAUUUUUGAAACAUGAUUUAUGGGAUGCAGUAAUCCACGUAUUAAAUUAGUUGCGCCAUUUACGUUAAUGAAUGCUGAAUAUCCGUUACUCCAUGUUUUCUAGGAGUCUAACAGAUUACAAUAUACAUUACUUGUUAUGUAUAUGCCUUUUAAAGAAUGAAUAUUAUACGGGAGAGUGCAAGUAACUGGGCAUUAGAUUAAAUAGAUUUUUUUUUUUUUUUAUGUUUAUGGAACUUACUAGUUACUAACUUUCUAUCAAUACAUAUAUUUAUUUAACUAAGUUCAUUAUAGGGUAAACACUUCAUGACUUUAUUAAAUUAAAACAGUAAUUCAUUUUUAUUUUAGCUCUAAUUAAUUUUACUCCUCGUCAAUGUAUAUAUCUAUGCUCCUUUGCAAUUAGACCCUGAUGUGGGAAUAUUAUGCAGUCGUAUUAAUAUUUUGUCUUAACAUUGAUGCCUUAUUUUGAGGUUAAUUUAACUUAUACUUACAAUUUAUGCUUUAUUUCAUGAUUUAUCACUUAUAUGAGGUGUUUGUGUGAUUUAGGUGAAAGGAAGCAUAAAUAGUUGAAUUUCGGGUAGAUGCCUAAUUAUAAAAAAAGCACCUAUACUAUAAAGCAUCCUCAAGAAGAUUGAAUCCUCAAGCAUGCAAUCUCAUCAACAUUGAAUAUAAACAAAUGUUUUAAUCUCAAUUAUAUUCUCACAAAAGUUUUACACAUAAUCUCAAUAUCACAAAAUAAUCUGAAUUUAAAGGAGCUAUUCUUUACUAUUUAUAGCCUAAUCUAAUUAUUACAAAAAUGUCCUUAAUGAAAUAAAAAUCUCCUUAAGCAUGCAACUUGUAUUAGAAGAGUAGCUUCUUUGCGCACAUAAACAUUUUCUUCAUACUUUUAUUUUCUUUCAAUUGGAGCCUUGUACUUUCACUUUAGCUUGCUUGUGAUUGUUAAGUCUUCCUUCCAAAUUCCUAACACAAUGACUUGAUGUGAUGUUCUUGAGCUCCUCAGCUUUUCUUGAAUGCAUCAAGAGGCGAGAGCUGAAAACGAUACAUUAAUUGUGAAUAGGGUGAAGAAUCUGAAUUACCAGCUAAUUAUAGAGGACAUGAGCAUCAAAGAUAUGGAAAAAGAACAUGUAGUACCUUACCACCCUGCUAAAUCAUUAAUGAAGUUUAGGACAAUGUCCAAAGAAUGAAUCAUUGGAUAGUUAGUCCAUUAUUAACAUACCAGUAAAAUAUUUCAUUUCAGAAACUUUCAAGGUACUUUUAUUAAAGAGGGAACGUGAAUUUUCAAUUCUUUUGUCUCGUGGAUGUAAGACAACUAAAUCUUCAGAGAAGAUUCAUACCCUACACAAAUAGCCUUGUUAUAUUACAUGAGCUGAAGGACUAGUAUGAUUGAUGGUAUUGUCGAUUGAUAUCAAGUAAAAAUACUUUUUUGUGUUCUCUAUUGAAACAUAUGUUCUUUCCUUAAUUUUAUUGUUGUUGCUUUGUUUAAUGUGGAAUUGAACAUCUUUCAUGUUUUUUUAUUUGUUUGACUUGGAUGACAGAAUAAAGAGCCUUUAGAAUUAUAACUCUUGAAGAAAUAAUUAAGGCAUUCAUGAAGUAUGUUUAUUCAUAGAAUCCUUUUUUGUUCUCUUCCUUUUUUAAAAAAUCAACACUAAAUUAUUCGAAGUAUUUACUCUGUCAUCCAAAUCAGGCAAACAAAAGUUUAUGAAAGAUGUGCAAUUUACAUUAAAAAAAACAUUAAAAAAAAAAUAACAACAACAAAACUAAGAAGAGAGUAUAUACUUUAACAAAAAUACACAAGAAAGAUUUACGAGUUGAAAACUACCAAAAAUAACAUCAACAACACUAAUUCUUCGGCUCAUGCAACAUGACAAGACUAUUUAUGCAGGUAUAAAUCUUCUCUGAAAAUUUAGUUGUUCAGGAUCAUGAAACAAAACUUUAGAAUUAGAUUGAAAAUUCACAUUUUCUCAUUAUUGAAAUAGCUUUAAAGUUUUUUGAACGAGGUUGUUUAUUAUUAUGAUAAUAAUGGAGUAACAAUUCAGUAGAUUUAUUCUUUUGACACUGCACAAAACUUUAUUAAUGACUUAGCGAGGAGAAAAGACACUACAUAUUUCUUCGCCACAUAUUUGAUAUUCAUGUCCUAUAUAAUCACAUUUCAAAUUCUCCAUUUCAUUACAAUUACUAUAUUAUUAGAGGCCACUUAUUAGGUUUCUUACGUUAACUGUUGACCUACUUCCUGAUACAUCUAUAAUAAUGGAUAAAUCAUUUCCAUUUAUUUAACUACCAUAUAAUAAUUAUAUCACUAGGUAUAUUUUUUUUUUAAAGAUAAUACUACAUUAAUUAACAAGAGCUCAAAUCAUAGUAUGUAAUUAAAAACUUUAAUAUACUUACCUCAUUGUCACCGACACUUGUCAACCCAUGAGUUUUUGAUGAAUCACCUUCAACAAAAUUUUUAGUGAAUCUAACAAUUAUCAAAUGAAUACUACUUUCCUCUUUCAAAUUAUUUUACUUGACUCAAAAAUUAAUUAAUAUUCAAUGUAAAAUUUUAUUAUAGAAUCUCUAAUUGUAUAUCUUAAAUUUAAUAGCUAAAUAUUCAUUCAAAUUCAAAAUGUAAAACUGUAUAUGUUAUUUCUAGGAUCUAAGAAUCGGGUAAAAAGAUUAAGUGAAAAUUACUCUUUUAUAUUUUUAAGAUUUACUUUUUACCUAGUGAUCAUCAAUCAACAAAUCGUUCAGUCAAGAAAUUUGAAACCCUUAUAACCAUAUAAUCUCACAUGAUUGAUCAAAUCGUAUGAGACAUAUGAUUUAUAAGAAAUUAAAGAAAAGACUUUAACUAGUUGGCAAGAUGUAAAUAAAUAAAAAAAUUCAAAUACAAUACUACAAAAUGAAAUCACAACAAUAAUUCCACAAUUUAUAAGAAAAUCUAUAUCUAAAAAUGAAUCUUACAUUUUUAAUUUUCUAUUUUUAUUUUUGUCCGAAACUUAUAUUGAUUUAAGGACAAGAUAGAGAAUUUUACCUUGAAUAAUGAUGAUGGCACCCACCGAGAAAUUCAUUUUCAAAUGAAUUUUGUUACCUGCUAAAGAAUUAGAAAAGAUUUAAUCAAACUCAAUGACAUUAAGCGAUGAGAAUAAUAUAAGCAAACACACACACAAAAUAAAGGAAUAUAUAUAAAUUUAAAUGCUGCAUACCUUUCACAGAAGAACUAUGUUGAAUAGAGAAGAAUGAAAAUGAAUUACAUCUUCACAGGUUUUAUAGAGAAAACUAUAUAUCUAGAAAAGAUUACAAUAAUUUCUAUUUAAUUCACUUAUGAUUUUAAAGGCAUAGUCAUUAAUUUUAGUUUGACUCACUUUUAAUUCUAACUGAUACUAAUAAACUAUAAUAAAGGCACAGUCAUUAAUUUUUAUUUGACUCACUUAUAGUUCUACUGAUUGAUACUCCGUUACUAAAUACUUGUCACUAUUUUGGUUUGCAUUUUCUUAAGAAAAAAAUUAAUUACAGGCUAAAUUAAUUAAAUUUCUGUUAUUUAUUAAUUUUUUCUAUUUAAUACUUUUUUUUGAACUAUAUUAAACAUCUCUUCAUAUUUAUGGCUAAUGGUAAAUGUGCAAAAAAUAAAUAAUUAUGUCUUAAUUUUUAAAAUGACAAGUAUUAUGAAAUAUAUAUUUUUAAUAAGAACGAUAAAUAGUUAGGAAUGAGGUAAUAAUGUACACUAAAGCCAUAAUGAUUAAUAAAUAUGUUAAAUUUGGAAAACAUAAGAGAAUCGCGUAUGAACAACCAAAAACUUUGUAUGAUUGAUAUCGUAAAUUAAUUAUAAUCAUACUUGAUAUGACUAAAUACUUACAUAUUAUAGUGUGAAAUUGCUAAGACAACACUUGAUUAAUAAAGCAUUUUAUUUGGAUAUCUAUGAUGUAAGAAAUAUAUGUAAUUAUUAUAAUUUAAAGUUUGACAGAAAAAUUAAAACUUGACCAAGUUUCUUUUUAAAUAUUUAUUUAAAAUUUAUAUUUAAUUAAUGGUGUCACAAUUUAUGGACAAAUUUAAACUAUAUUUUGUUUUAAAAUGUCAAAUAUGACUUAAAACUUAAUGUAAGGAAUAUAUGAAAGUUAAAAAUGUGGUCUGGGAGGGGUAAUUCACAACUUUUUAGGUGAUUGGAUCGCGAGUUUUUCUACCACGGGCAAUAGCCAUUGCCAUAUACUGGAUGAAUUUGAAGCUUUAAAAAUUGGUCUUGACUUAGCCAUCACACACAAUAUUUUGCCUAUUAUUAUUGAAACUGACUCGGUGGAGGUAAUCCAACUGUUACAGCAUCCUACCAUGCCAUUUAGUGAUAUUUUAUCUCAAUGUAGGUCAAUGUUGAAGAGCAUGGUGAAUCCAGUGGUACAACAUAACUUUCGGGAGGCUAACAAAGUAGCAGAUAGUUUGUCCCGUGCAAGUUUCUCCUUAUCCCAGUUUGGUGAAGUAAUUUUCUCCAGUCUCCUCUGUCUUCAGUCGUUGUACAUCUGCAAAAUGAUGUUGAUGGUGUUGUUAGUGAUCAUUUUGUGUCCUGGUCACUGUUUAAUAACCUCUUAUAACUAGAAAAUCAAUCUAUUUUAUCUCAUGUAAAUAGCAACACUAAGCCUAUUACUACUACAACUACUGUAUGUAAUUCAACCAAUUUAGGGGCCUCUCAUAGAAGAGUGAUCCCCCUGUUUUGUAAUGUCUCCCCCCCNNNNNNNNNNNNNNNNNNNNNNNNNNNNNNNNNNNNNNNNNNNNNNNNNNNNNNNNNUAUAUAUAUAUAUAUAAUAUCCAGUUUACCCAAAAAAUGAAAUUAAAACUACGUCAUUAUUAAAGUGUAAAACAUUUCAUGAUUUUAUCAAAUUGUACUACAUUCAUUAUAUCUUUUGCAAAUAUUAAUUAGGCCUUUUUAUAUAUAACUUAUCUCGGUGACGGCCUUAGUCUAUAAAAUCACAUCAUAUUAUACAAGUAACAAUCAUAUUAUACAAGUAACUGGGCAUUGGAUUAAUUAGAUUGUACUUUUAUUUAUGUGUAUGGAACUUACUAGUUACUAUAUCUAACUAUCUAUGUAACUAUAUGUUUAUUUAACUAAGGUGCGAUUUAAGUGAAAGGGAGCAUAAAUAGUUGAAUUUAGAGAAGGUGCCUUAUAUGAAAAAAUCUCUUAUAGUAUAAAAGACACCCUCAAGAAGAUUGAAUCUUCAAGCAAGCAAUUUCGGCAUUGAAUAUAAACAAAGGUCUUACCCUCAACUUUCACAAGAAUUUUACAAAUAAUCUCAAUAUCACAAAACAAUCUGAAUUUAAAGGAGUUAUUCUUUACUAUUUAUAGUCUAAUCUAAUUAGUAAUCAAAUGUCCUUAAUGAAAUAAGGGUCUUCUUAAGCAUGCAACUUGUAUUUGAAGAAUAGCUUCUUUUCACACUUAAAUAUUUUCUUCAUACUUUUAUUUUCUUUCAAUUGGAGCCUUGUACUUUCACUUUAGCUUGCUAGUGAUUGUCAAGUCUUCCUUCUAAAUUUCCAACACAAUGACUUGAUGUGAUGUUCUUGAGCUCCUUAGCUUUCCUUGACGUACGCAUGCUUCAAAAGGUGAGAGCUGAAAAUGAUAUAUUAAUUGUGAAUAUGGUGAAGAAUUUGAAUUACCAACUAAUUAUAGAGGACAUGAUCAACAUCAAAGAUAUGGAAAAAGAACAUGUAGUACAUUACCUCCAUGCUAAGUCAUUAAUGAAGUCUCGUACAAUGUCCAAAGAAUGAAUCAUUGGAUAGUUAGUCCAUUAUUAGCAUAUCAGCAAAAUACUUCAUUCCAGUGGCUUUCAAGGUACUUUUAUUAAACAGGGAACGUUAAUUUUCAAUUCGAUCCUAAUUUUUUGUCUCAUGGAUUUAAGACAAGUAAAUCCUCCGAAAAAAUUCAUACCCUACAUAAACAGCCUUGUUAUGUUACAUGAGCUGAAGGACUAGUAUGAUUGUUGAUAUUGUCAAUGAAUGUCAAGUAAAAAUACUUUUUUGUGUUCUCUAUUGAAACAUAUGCUCUCUCCUUAAUUCUAUUGUUGUUGAUUUGUUCAAUGUGGAAUUGAACAUCUUUCAUGUUUUUUUAUUUGUUUGACUUGGAUGAUAGAAUAAAGAGUCUUAGAAUUAUAACUCUUGAAGAAAUAAUUAAGGCAUUCAUGAAGUAGGUUUCUUCAUAGAAUCCUUUUUUGUUCUCUUCCUUUUUUUUUAAAUCAACACUAAGUUAUUCAAAGUAUUUACUCUAUCAUCCAAAUCAAGUAAACAAAAACUUGUAAAUAAUUCGUGCCCUACUGAUUAUCUUACUUUCGCCUAACUGUUGCUUAUCGAUGGAGCGGGUUGCCUGACAUAUUUCACUAAUGUGUUCCAAAAAAGCAGUAAAACAAAAAGUAAGAAUACAAUGAUUUUCAUGUGGAAAACAUCCGGCUCAAAAAGGUGUUAAAAACCAUGACCUGUACCUCUACAGGAUUUAACCCCAACUUUACUAAAUAACUCUAAGCCUCAACAACGACUGAUUACAAAACUCUUGUAACCAACAAAUAGGAAUUAUAAACUCUAAUCCCUAUAACUCAACAACUAGAAAUUAUAAACUCUAAUUCCUUUGAUUCAACAACUAGGAAUUAUAAACUCUAAUUCCUAACUACACACACACCACCCAAGGUAUGCUUUCCCAAAGUCUCUGAGUUUUCCCCAACUCAAAGACUAGCUCCUAAUUCAGUUUAUAACACACUGAAACUAAUAUUACAUCAAUAGUUCAAUCACAAUGAACAACUCUAAAAAUCAACGCUAAAACUCUUAGCUGAAUUCUAUACUUAGGACCAGGUUCUUCAAUGUGUUUCUUCAGUGAUUGAGUAGCACUUCGUGAAGUCAAUCUGUUGCUUGUGCUUUUCUGAUUUGUAAGUGCGUGAGUUAUUCUAAAUAAUACAUCUUCUAUUUAAGCAUAGCUUUCCAAAGAGUCAUUCUUUAUUUUAAACUCCUCCUUUAAUCAAAACUCUCAUUGUAUAGAAUUCUACUUCAAGUGAGACUCCUUCUUCAAUUCCAACUCUUGUCUUCUUAGUGUUGUAGUCAAACUCCAACUCUCCAAAGAGUCCUUUAAAUUAUACGUUUUGCAUAAACUUCUGCAAUUUUUAGAUUCUUUCUCCUUCUACACAUAGGACUUAAGAAUAUGCCCAGAAGUGAAACUCCUUCUUCACAUAGGACUCCUCUUUCAACUCAACUUGUUUUCCCUUAUCAUCAAGUGUUUGAAUCAAAUUCAACUUGUUCUAUUCCCCAUGUGAUCAGUAAGUUGAAGUUUUCAGUUGUAGUAAAAAAUCACGACCUGUACCUCUACUGGAUUUAACCUCAACUUCACUAAAUAACUCUGAGCCUCAACAAUGACUGAUUACAAAAUUCUUGUAACCAACAUAUAGGAAUUAUAAACUCUAAUCCACAUAACUCAACAACUAGGAAUUAUAAACUCUAAUUCCUUUGACUCAACAACUAGGAAUUAUAAACUCUAAUUCCUAACUACACACACACCUCCCAAGUUAUGCUUUCCCAAAGUCUCUGAGUUUUCCCCAACUCGAAGAAUAGCUCGUAAUUCAGUUUAUAACACACUGAAACUAAUAUUACAUCAAUAGUUCAAACACAAUGAACAACUCUAAAAAUCAAUGCUAAAAUUCUUAGCUGGAUUCUAUACUUAGGACCAGGUUCUUCAAUGUGUUUCUUCAGUGAUUGAGUUGUACUUCGUGAAUUCAAUCUGUCGAUUGUGCUUUUCUGCUUUGUAAGUGCAUGAGUUAUUCUGAAUAAUACAUCUUCUAUUUAAGCACAGCUUUCCAAAGAGUCAUUCUUUAUUUUAAACUCCUUUUAUCAAAACUCUCAUUGCAUAGAAUUCUACUUCAAGUGAGACUCCUUCUUCAAUUCCAACUCUUGUCUCCUUAGUGUUGUAGUCAAGCUUCAACUCUCUAAAGAGUCCUUCAAAUUAUACGUUUUGCAUAAACUUUUGCAAUUUUUAGAUUCUUUCUCCUUCUACACAUAGCACUCUUAAGAAUAUGCUCGGAAGUGAAAAUCCUUCUUCACAUAGGACUCCUCUUUUAACUCAACUUAUUUUUUCUUAUCAUCAAGUGUUUGAAUCAAAUUUAACUUGUUCUAUUCCCCACAUGAUCAGUAAGUUGAAGUUUCCAGUUGCACUGAUUUAACUCAUUCUGAUUUUUAAUUAUUUAUACCGUAGACUGCACUCCUGAACUUAUCAGAUCAGUGGAACAUGUAUAUCAACUUGUUUAAUUAAUAUUGUCAUUUAUAAAAACUCCAAGGUUCUAACAAAUUCCCUCUUUUUGAUGAUGAAAAACCUCUUGUCUUUGUGCAUUCAAACAUCUUCAUCUGUAGGCACUAAAUUAUAAGACACUAGAAUGAAACAAGUUAAUCAAUGGGUUAUAAACAUUGCACAACCCUAUCAUCCCCCUUUUGGCAUCAUCGAAAUCCAUUUCAAUGCAAUAAUAUACUAGCCAAAGUGAUUUGUUAUGUUAUUCAUGGACAUUGGGGCUAUCACCAGAACAAUCAGACAAAGACUUUAGCCAACAUAGUAAUGUAUUAAAGAGAGUAAAAAUAUGAGUCAAUUUAGCAAAGAUAACAAUUCCAUUUAACUAUCAGAGCAUGCUCCACAUUAAACCUAAGCUAGUACUAAACAAAGAAAAACAAUUAAGCAUUAAAAAAGUAUAAAAGUAGGACAUGGCUAAGGAUACGAAUAGUGAGAAGGUGAUGAGGAAGGUGAAACAGGUGUUAUCAACUAUGUCAAUUGACGAAUGACUUCAAUAUUUUCAUCCCUUUCUUAAUCAAGGUCAAGCUUCAAAGUCAUGAUCCUAGCCUGAAGGACCACUUAUUCCACUUCAUGACUGUCAGAUGUAGCUUCUAGUUCAGAAUUUAUCUCAGCUAAAUCAUUUUUCUUAUUUUUUUUUGCAAUGAGUUUUAGCCCUCCUUAUUGAGCAAGGUAGAGCAACAUGAUUCAUUUGUUCAAAAACAUCCAUUGUUGUUUGAAAAGUCAAACCUAAACUAGGACUGAGAAAUCCUAAAAGAUCUGAGCCAAUUAAGAACUAAAAUGAAGAGCAUGUCCCUUUUCAUUCUUUAGAAACAUAUGCUGCAUGUGAUUGAUAAUCAAGCUUGGCAAAUCCAUGGUACAAAACUGAUAUUUUUGUUGAGAAAGAAGAAGGAUUUUCUGGUGUAGGAUUAACACAUUUGUGCACACCCAUUUGGAGAGAAUCAAAGAAAGUUUGGUCAACCAAUUCAUUAUCUUUAUUAGACAAUGAGAGGAUGAAGUAUGUGGAAUUGAAAGGUAUGCUCAACUGUUUCAACUUAGACAACUUAUGCUUAUGUCAGUGUAGAACAUACCUGAUAAGAAGAACUUUAUGGUCACAAUUGCUUGCUUGUGCCUAUUUUUCUGCACAAUCUCAUAAAAAAUUAGGUUAGAAAAGUCAAAAAUCUGGAAUUGGGACACACAACUAAAUGUGCAAGACUGAAUAAAAUAACUUUUUAGCUAAUAAGAUUAAGAAGAAAAAUGAUUAUUCUAGUCAAUCAUUGAAGGGAGUUCAUGCAAUUUUAAUCAUCCCCAAGUCUAACCUAUUUCUUUCAAAAUGCUCUCUACUUAGUGCCUUUGGUGCUUCUCCAGUCAAUUAAGUAACCCGCAUAGUCAACAUUUUUAUAGCCCUCAAGAAUAAAAUUACUUUCUUUGAAUACCAUGGUCUCAAGCCAUUGAUUCCCAUGAGAUAUCUCAAGAUUCUUGUGACAACACCAAUUCUUAUGAAUUACCAAAAAAAUUAUCAUUAGCUUGUGUUGGUGUUAUUGAUGCAUCAAUUUCUUGAUUUUUUGUUCCCUCUGUCAAUAUGCCCUCUGUCUGUACAACAGUUGAACCAGGUGUUACAACAUGUUCCUGUGUAUGCUCAUCAAUUUCACAUUCAUCCUCUUUUUUUAUUUUUUUAAAUCUCCCUUGCUUCACCCUUACACGAGCACUACAAAUCUAGCCAUCUUUCAUAUGAUCCAUUCCCUCUUUAAAUAUUGUGAGUGAAAGAAACUUUAUUUUCUUAUAGUCUUAUGACUUGAGAAAGCUUUAUCCAUGUACAAAUUUUGCUUGCCUCAUUUCACUCUCACCUGCAUAACAAAUUAGGGGUUAACUUUAGGCACCCAGACAAGCUUGAGUUCUUUCUUAUAAGAAAAAGGAUGUAUGAGGUUCCUUCUAGCCCAUCGAGGCAACAGGUUAUGUGACCUAUUUCUCUGACCAGAUUUGACCUUCUUGUUAGCUUGUGCUAACAUGGAAUCAGAUUUUCUUGCUAGGGUUAUGCUUCUUGAUUUGCUUUUUGCUGCAACUGGACAUUUAGUGGUUGGAUGCCCCUGGUUACCACAAAUAUAACACAAAUCUUUAAUAGCAUUAGAACUUUUAUAAAAGCCCAACCCAGCCUUUUUAUUGUGAGUUCUUUGACCUAACUUAUGAAUAAUUCUUGAAGAAUGUGUCCAUCUAUUAGCUCUUUCAAGAUUAAGUUUCAAUUUAGAAACUUCUUGACUCAAUUGACUAACCUUUUCUUUUUCACAAAAGUAUUCAUGUUUAAUCUUAGUCAAUUCUGACUCAAUUUUUUCUUGUUCCUUACUUUUGACCCUUUUUCCCUUGAAAAGAUUCAGUUUGUAAAUUUCAAAUUUGAGGGGCAGGUUUGAUAAAUCAAGUCUGCCAACCUGUUUCUUAAGAGUGCAGUUUUCCUUUUCAACAGUGUCCUUACAAGUUUCUAGAUUAAUAAAAUCAUACUUGAAACUUGUAAGAUUGUUGAAUAACUCAUCCCUAUCAGAAGUUAAUUCUUGGAAACCAUCAAUUAGAGCACUCAUUAAGGAAAUACGUUUUGUUUUAGAAAACAAAUGCAACUUUUCUUUAAGUUCAAGUAUACUUACCUCAGAAGUAUCAUCUUCUUCCUCCAAGUCUGAAUCUCCAAGAGCCAUGAGUGCUGUUUUAUCAACUUUAUCAUCAUCUGAGUUAGAUCCCCAUGCUGCUACCAUUGGAUGUUCUUCCAUCUUUUUGGUUUUUUUCUUUCAAUUCCUUUUCAUCCCUUUUCUUUCUCCAUUCUAUUUCCCAGACAGGACAAUCCCUGAUUUGAUGAUCAGUCUUACCACACUUGUAGCAUCCAUUUGGAUUGUCAUUGGAUCAUUUCUUGCUAUUUGUUCCCUUUUUCUUUUUGAAGAAUUUGCUGAAGUUCUUAGCUAUAAAGGCAACUUGUUUUUCAUCAAGUUCAAUUUCUUCAUCACUCUCAGAUGCCUUCAGAGAUAAGGUAUCCUCAAAGGCUGCUAGCUCUUUAGUUCCAUCAAUUUCCAUUUCAUAAUGUCACACCCCUUUUUUUCAACUGCAAAAGAUUUGAUUUUAAGUUUUGAAAGGAUUUUGUUAUUAAAGUGACAAAAGAUGAAAAUUGUUUUAAAAAGGAUUUAUUAGUUUCAAAACACAGAGUUUCCACUUGUCAUAAAUUGGGUGUGCCAAGUCACCCGUGGAUAUCCUUUUUCAAAACGGUUUUGACUCUAUAAAAUUGAUCCGCGAACAGAGAUUUCGACUAAGGAAUUCUGUUGACUGAGGGGAAGGUGUUAGGCACCCCUCGAUCCCGUGGUUCGACCACGGUUGCUUGGUGGAGUAUAUCAGCUAAUUUGAACACUAUGAAUGUAUAAACCACACCAAACACAAAUAAAACAACCAAUCAAACAAACAAAUCCAAAACAAUGUCCAGUCUAAUUAUUACAACCCAAAAUAAAGAAAAGGUACGUGAAAAGUAAACCUAUGCUAACCUACACUAAUCCUAAACUACGCUCCAAUGCUUGAUCCACUGUCUCGAGCCUUCAUCACUAACAUCCUCCGAGUACAAAAUACACGGGACAUUCCCUGUCCAAUAAACACAAGUACCUCAGGGCAUUCUCCGAUCGAGUAGUACAUUUUAAUCUAAACGCGAUAAACUAGCAAACAUUCAACCAAGAUUCCAUUUUCAAACAUUCAAGGAAAACAAUUAUUCAUAAGAAUUUUGCCUACCCGAACUUAUAUUCGUCUAUUCGUUUCAAUGUAGCAUGAUAAUAUCACGUUUCAUAUCAACAGUAAAUCAAAAUUAAAUCGAAUCUAUCCUUUUUGUCAGUUUUUAAUUCUCACCCCCUAAAUCCCAUUUUACACAAAAUUUCAACAAUCCAAAAUCACUAUUUCAACAAUCUACAACCAUUUCUUCAACGCAAUGAAGCAGAACAAAUCAAUAUCACUCAAUAUUCAAUCGUAUCUCACACCAAUCAAACAUAUAUGACAAGAUGAAGAAAAGAUAUCGUUGGACCUUUCGAUGAUGAACUUUUGUUGAUAGUAAUAUUUAAGAAAACUCGGAUUUGGAACCCCAAAUAGGAUAACCUCAACCGUGACGAAUCCCAGACUUGGUAUUUGAGAAAUUAAAACCCAAACUACUCACAAUAACCCAAUUGGGAUGAACAGACAUCAACUUCCAAAUCAAUACGAGCAACCAGAGAGUCUGAAAUAGAAAACACGAUAAAAUCCAAACUCUAACCCAAUUUCAUAAGACACGAUUCCAACGGGUCGAUUCAAUGAGGAAGUGGUUGCUGAUUAUUUUUUUUCAGAAUUUGGAGACUAGUUCGAUCGAACUAUAAUACCACGGGAACUUUUUCAUUGAAAUUUUGUGUGUAAACGUGUUGGGUUCUAUCUUCUAGAAUGAAUUAUAAAUUUUCUGUGCGGAAUGUCUUAGAUUAUGACCUACCAUUGCAUAGAGUAUCAAAUAAUAUUUCCAAUGAUAUGUGGAUCAUCCAAAACGGACACCCGAGCGACGAGUUAUGAACAUUCCGUUCAAACCGUGAAUAGUAGUGAACAGUAAAACGUGCAGGAAAAAAAGUACUGAGGCUUGACGUAUUUUUACUUUAACUUUAAAUGAUCAUAACUCCUUGUACAUAAUGAUCUGGGUGAUCUACUAUAUAUCAAAGGAAAGCUCUGCGAGUCCUCUUUCCAAUGAAAUUGGUUCCAUCUAAUUUGUCUAUCAGAGCAAAAAGUUAUGGUCGAUCUACUUCAGUCUAUCAAAAGGGAAUUUUUGGGUCAACUUCAAACAAUCAUAACUUCUUGUACACAAUGAUCUGGGUGAGAUACUAUAUAUCAACGGAAAUAUAUGAGAGUCCUCUUCUAAUGAAAUUAGUUUAAUCUAAUUUGGAUAUUGGAGUAAAAUAUUAUGGUUGAUCUAUUUCAGACUAUCAAAACAGUCCACCAAAGGAUAGAUUCGAGAAUUAUUUGAUUUUUAGGGGCAUUUUGGUCAUUAUUCCUCACCAAAAUUCCGUCCAAACCCUAUAUUAAAGCCUAUUAGAAGCAUUAUAUGUCAUAUUUCAUCAAAUUUCCUCAAAAAGAAAACCCUAAGCUCCUACAUCCAACUUCAAGAACCUCCAAAGUUCACCAUUAAUUCUGCAAAUUUAUUCAAGAUUCCAAGUUCCUAGUUCAAGAACUCCAAGAACCAUCAUUCAAAGGCACGAUUAACAUCUCAAAAAUGAGUAUCGAUCUAAAGUUCAUCAUUCAAGGUAUGUGGGAUUUUUCAACAAUAACUCUCUUUCGUUCUUAUGCCCAAAAGUAAUUUUCUUUACAAAGGCAUGAUUUUUAUUUGAUUUUUANNNNNNNNNNNNNNNNNNNNNNNNNNNNNNNNNNNNNNNNNNNNNNNNNNNNNNNNNNNNNNNNNNNNNNNNNNNNNNNNNNNNNNNNNNNNNNNNNNNNNNNNNNNNNNNNNNNNNNNNNNNNNNNNNNNNNNNNNNNNNNNNNNNNNNNNNNNNNNNNNNNNNNNNNNNNNNNNNNNNNNNNNNNNNNNNNNNNNNNNNNNNNNNNNNNNNNNNNNNNNNNNNNNNNNNNNNNNNNNNNNNNNNNNNNNNNNNNNNNNNNNNNNNNNNNNNNNNNNNNNNNNNNNNNNNNNNNNNNNNNNNNNNNNNNNNNNNNNNNNNNNNNNNNNNNNNNNNNNNNNNNNNNNNNNNNNNNNNNNNNNNNNNNNNNNNNNNNNNNNNNNNNNNNNNNNNNNNNNNNNNNUUGUACGUUGGACUCCAUGUAGCUCACAUGGUUUAUGUCGGUUAUAGGAUCUCCCAGUGUGUGUGUGUUUCCUUGUGUCUAUGGGGAACGGUGAAGUGAUUUGAAAGUGGAAUUGUGAAAGUUACUCUUUCGAAAGAUUUAAAUGUUAUUUACAUUAUGAGAAUUGAUAUUCUUGAUGAACUGAAAGUGAUUGACAAAUUAUAUGAUGAAUCACAUGUGUUAUUGUACUUAUUUCAUCCUUUCAUGAUUAUGAUGAUUUUCUUUGGGCUAUGUGAGUCUUUCAUACAUCCUGCAUAUUUCUUAUAAAUAUUUAUGAUGAUGAUGUUUAUAAAACUGCAUAAACCCCCAUAUACUCGGUUCCUUCCCAUGGUACUGACCCACAUCUUUGGAUGUGGGCUAAAUUUUCUCGGAAUGUAGAUUCAGGUGCUUAGUUCCAGGUUCGACAGUGAUUCUUUGGGCACGCCGUUCUAUAUCCUCUAUCGUGGUGAGUCCUCGUGUUUCGAGGAUGUGAUGUUUGAUGUUGGUUUCACGAAAUUAUUUACAUUUGAUAACUGAGUAUGAGUCGGUUGGGGCAUGACUCAAUGGCUCGCUGGGUUUAUUGAUUUUCUUAGAGGCUUGUCAGACUAGUAUAGAUGUUGGGAGUUAACUAAUAAGUCGUAUUUUGUUAUCUUUCUGAAAUUCUUUUAUUCUUGGAUGAUGAUUACUCUGUUGAUAUUUGAGGGUUAUUUAUGAAAACCCCGUUGAUUCGUGUUGAACUGAAUGAAAAUGGCUCAAAGGGUUAGCUUGGGGCUACUCAUAUCCUCAAGCACUGUGUGAUGCUCCGGGACCCGUUUUCGUGGUGUUACACAAGCACGAACUGAAACAAACCAGUUCUGUCAAAAAAGUUCACCGGACAAUAGUAAAAAAUGAUAGAAAAUUCCGUGCCAGUCAGAUUUUCUCUCAAUCUCUAUCUCGCCUCUCUGUUUUCUCUAAUCUCCCUCAAUUUUCGAUCUCCCUUUACUCUCUCUCGAUCUUCCUUCAUUUUUCUCCGCUCUUCGGUCGGUUUCAGCUCACCAUCGCCUUUCUCUAUCUCUCUCGAAUCUCACUAUCCGAUGUAUGUAGAAGAGUUCUAGAGGUAGUUUGCAGUUGAUGUUAUUGAUGUAUUGCUGGUGGUGGUUAGGCGGUGUAAUUAUGGUUGUGCAAACCAGGCCAUAAAAAUGGUGGUGGAGGUGUAUAUGUCGUGAGUAUGAGAAUGGAGGAGUGAGUGUUUCUUCUUCGGUGAGGUGUGAUGGUGAGUGAUCUUAUUAAUUGUAUAUUGUGUGAAGGAAGUUCCUAUGAGUGGAAUAGUCUCUCCCCUUUCCAGUGAUGGGGUAGGGUAUGGGAUAAAGUUUGUUAGGAUAAGGUUAGGGAUUUAUUGAAUUUUUGUUAUUUUUGUAUUUUUGUGGGGUAUAAUUACAUGGGUGAGGGUACACGGUAGGAUAAAGUAAAAAAUGGGUAAAAAUGAUAUCGGGGAAGGACAAAAUUAGGUGUCUACACAUGCCCCCUUUGAAUGUAAACACAAAGUGUUUUUAGACAAAGAAGUAGAUAAUAAGACAAAAUUUUAUCCCGACCAUUAUUCAAAGGAAGAAACAUAAAGAAGAAGAACAACCGAGUUCUGACUUAAGCCAUCCUACCUACCCAAGUUAUGGAGGAAUCAAGUGAAGGUGUCUCAAAGGAUUGGAAGUAAAUGGACUAUACCGAGUUGGAAAGUCGAGUGAAGUUCCAUCGAGGUUCCAUUCUGCGGCUCUGUCAUUGCGUCAAAAUGAAAAUUACAAGUUAAAACAUAAAUAAAAUUACAAAAUCCUAUCUAUACAGAUUUUGUUGGACUCCUGGCUUAAGUUUCAUCACCCUAUUCUUCAGGCAGACUCCUGACUUGCAAUUUCAUCUCUUGUUGCUUGGUCUUCAAUUGCUUCACCUUGUUGCUUAACUUUCUAUUUAUUCACCCUGUGCUUCGGGUGGGCUCCUGACUUGCCAUUUUAUUACCCUGUUCUUCAGGCAGGCUCCUAUCUUGCAAUUUUAUCACCCUGUUCUUCAGGCGGGCUCCUGACUUGCAAUUUCAUCACCCUGUUCUUCAGGUGGGAUCCUGACUUGCUAUUUCAUCAAUCUGUUAACUUUCAACUUUUCACCUUGUUGCUUGACUUUCAAAUUCUUCACUUUGUUUCUUUACUUUUCAUUUCUUCACCCUGUUCUCCAGGUGGGCUCCUGAAAUCACAUCAAAACUAAAAAUAAAAUUAUCCCAAACAAAGAUUAAUAUAAAGAGGUUUAAUUUGCCAGAAAAGUGAAAUUCCAACACAAGAAUUAAAUUUUGCCCCAGUUUACUAUCAAAGGAAUUUUGCGGAAGUCACAUCAUUAUAGGAAUCAAGGAUAAAAGGUACGUCUUAUAGGAAUCAAAGGAAAUGACUCGACUAAAAGGUACGUCUUCUAGGGGUCAAGGGGAAUGACUCAACUAAAAGUACGUCUUAUAGGAAUCCAGGAAAUGACUCAACCAAAAGGUACGUCUUAUAGGAAUCAAAGGAAAUGACUCGACUAAAAGGUACGUCUUCUAGGGGUCAAGGGGAAUGACUCAACUAAAAGUACGUCUUAUAGGAAUCCAGGAAAUGACUCAACCAAAAGGUACGUCUUAUAGGAAUCAAAGGAGAUGACUUAACUAAAAGGUACGUCUCCUAGGAAUCGAAGGGGAUGAUUCGACUAAAAGGUACGUCUUCUAGGGGUCAAGGGGAAUGACUCAACUAAAAGGUACGUCUUAUAGGAAUCAACUAAAAGGUACGUCUUAUAGGAAUCAAGGGAGAUGACUUGACUAAAAGGUACGUCUUCUAGGGGUCAAGGGGAAUGACUCAACUAAAAGGUACGUCUUAUAAGAAUCAAAGGGAAUGACUCGGAUAAAAGGUAAGUCUUCUAGGAAUCAAAGGGAAUGACUCGACUAAAAGGUAGGUCUUAUAGGAAUCAAAGGGAAUGACUCAACUAAAAGGUACGUCUUCUAGGGGUCGAAGGGGAUGACUCAACUAAAAGGUGUGUCUUCUAGGGGUCAAGGGGAAUGACUCGACUAAAAGGUACGUCUUCUAGGGGUCAUGGGGAAUGAAUCGAAUAAAAGGUACGUCUUAUAGGAAUCGAGGGAGAUAACUCAACUAAAAGGUAUGUCUUAUAGGAAUCAAGAGGGCUAAACCAACUAAAAGGUACGUCUUAUAGGAAUCAAGGGGGGGUUGACUCGACUAAAAGGUACAUCUUAUUGGAAUCGAAAGGGAUGACUCGACUAAAAGGUACGUCUUCUAGGGGUCAGGGAAUGACUCGACCAGAAAGUACAUCUUCUAAGAGUCAAGGCUCAAUUUUAGAAGUGUACCACCUGACAGAUGAAGACUGAAAUCCCUAGACAAAAAAGUAUGUCUCUGAGGGAUAUAGGCUGAUGAAUUUUACCAUGACUGAAUUAUCAAACCUGUGCAGCAACAUCGCUUCCUGCAUUUGUAAAAGCAAAAAAUUACGGGCCUUGAUGUUUAGGCUUUGAAAUCCUUGAUUUGAAGGUAAUAUUUUCCUGUUUCAUCAAAGAAAACUUGUGAGUUUGAAACAUAAAGGCAGGUUUGUGUCUUUGGCUUUCGUGCCAAAUGCUCUUGCCGUCAUCACAUUUAACCUUGCUUCCAACCAUUACAUAUAUCAUUGACUUGAUGCAUCAUUGACCCAAACUCAGAUUAUUAAGAGUGGCUUUUAAACAAACACAAUAUCUUUGCUUUGCUAUGCUCUUCAGAUAAACCCUUUGAACUUUGGUAUUUCCAUGAGUGCCCAGACUUGUCUGUUGACAGAACUUUCUGUAUGCCUUAUUUCAACUCAUAAUCAUGUCUUUUGUAUGUGCUAGCUCUUUUGUCUUACUUUGUACAAUUAAAGAAGCUGGUAGGCAGUUUUGAAAUCUUUUCUCACUUGUUUUGACACGGACUUGACUCAAAGACAAAAAACGAAAAAAAAAGAAUGACAAUUUUUGUUUGGAUAACUGACUCAAGAAAGAUAAAAUAAAAAUAAAGAGAAGAAAGAAAAGGCAAUGAAUGUCCCAUUUUGAAACAAAAAAACAAAAAAUUCAUCUAAAAAUGACAGUCAACACUAAUGAUUAUGCCAUGCAUUUUGGAUUAAGCAGCUUGAUCUUUUCAUCAAAACUUUCUACCCAUUGUUGUUGAGUUAAUGGCCUUGAAACUGAGUUUCUUCCUCAGGUCAAUUGUAUUUAAGACCCCAUUCAGCUAGUGGUGCCUUGAAGGGCUUUCGCCAACAAGCUUCUCUCAUUUUCUUAUCCUCAGCUCACCACUGCCUUAUGGUGUCUGUAAGGGUUUUCCACUAAUGACUCUUUUAUCUUCAUUUCCCUUAACUCAUAGUUGUCUUACGGUGCCCGUGGGAUUUUUCACCGAUAAGACUCUCAUUUUUAUCUCUCUCAAUUUACCAUCGUAUUAUGGUGCACGUGAAGGUUUUCACCAAUAAGACUCUCUUAUUUUUAUUUCUCUCCUAAUUUCUUAUACUGAGGAAGGUAAGUAGUUCCCAAAUGCAUCAUCAUAUCCUUUGCAUGCUUAGCCUUAACAUCUUCAAAGAUUGAUCUGAAGGUCUUUCUUUGGUUGUAACUUGGCUUUUGGAUAGGGUUAGAAAUAAAGUAUGGCAUGGGGCCCAAACGACACUUAAAGUAGGGUAGGACUUACCACUUUUGGAAUCGACUCAAACAAUGAGUAUUAAAUCAUGCCCAGUUUCUUCUGACUGGUUGACUCUAAAUUGUUUAUUUGGUUGGAUCGAGCCCCGGGUAGGGCAGCUUAUGUAUCUCACCCCUGAAAGAGAAGAAUCAGGUCAUGCGUAGUUCUGACAGCUUGUUCUUUUGCUUGAUUCUGUUUUUUCUUUUGUUGAGUUCUUUUUUUUCUUUUGUUGACUCUUUUAUUGAUUUUUUUUCUUUUUGGAACCUUCUGACUCUAUUUUAUUCUUGACGCUCUUUUCUUUUCCUUCUUUUGGACACAUUUUUUCUCUCAUUUCUUAUUGAAACUUUUUGACUCUAUUGUUUUGCUUGACAUUUUUCUUUUGAGCUUUGCUGACUCUAUCUUGAUUCCAAAAGAGGGGUAUGAAAGAAAAUAAGACUAAAGCUCAAAUGGGGUAAACAACGGAUGACACGAUGUUUGUAUAGCAGAAUGAAAUGACUUCGUCAUAUCAAUCCUUGAAAAUGCAAGUUCAUAUCAUGCAAUAUGAAAAUAAGAGAUGAAGAUCAUUUGUGAUAUUUUUUACAGCACUAAUUUUAACUGAGAUUGUGCCUCGCUACUUUUUCUACAAACUCCAUCUUUGUUGUACAUUCCUCAUGCUUUCGUGGAGCUAAUUUUUCUAUUCCUUUUGAUGUAGGAUCACACAUCCACUAUUUGACCUAAUUGAGACAUGUCUUUCAAAUGCUGACCAAGUUAUUCUCACGAUACUCAAAAUAAUUGCCUUAAUUUUCAAAGAAGGCUUCAACUUGAUCACCCAAUGCCCCAUCACUCUAUCAAUUUUCUCAGAAGCUCUCUUUUUCUAACUUUAACCCUCUGAUUCAAUGCUCAUGCUUAAACUGGAUUUUAAGAUCUAGAUGAAAAUUUCACUAGCAUGUCAUAUCACUAAAGUCAACAUAAAAUGUACUAUAUAAAGAAAACAAACAAACAACACAUAUUUAAAACACAAAGGAAAAUGGGAUACUUCAUUUAGUUGAAACAAAAGAUAGAAGGGUUUGAACAUAAAUGACAAAAGGACAAAACAAGAUAGAUCCCAAAAUACAACCCUGAAAUAACCCGGAUAAUAGAAAAUAAAACAAAACAAACUACCAAACCUCUUCCUAGUAGGGAGAGGGUGACUUCUCAAUUGCUCAGCCUGACAUCUUAGCCACUGGUUUGCAUAUCAGCAUGACUAGAGUUUCCCUUACUGUCAAUGUUCUGCACCAUAAUUGAUCCAUCUUGAAUCAUCUUUUCAAUUUCUCUUUUCAAAUCUCAACAAUCUUUAAUACUAUGACCCUGAGCAUCAGAAUGAUACGCACAUCAUACAUUAGGAUCAAAAUUUCUUGAACGCCGAUUAAGAGUGCACCCAAGGAGAGGAGUGAGCAUGACCCAUUGUACCAAUCUCUGAAAUAAAUUAGCAUAUGACUCUCCAAUUGGUGUGAAGCUAUCUCUUGACUUCUGCCUUAUUUCAUCAUUUGGCUUGGAUUAAAAAUCAGGAUUAGAAGGCUUUUCGUAUAUUUGUGGAGUUAGAGGACGACUCUCAGGAGUUGGUGUGUUCAACUAUGGGUAACAUAGGGGUUGAAAAUGUGGUUGUGCAUUAUAUACUGGAUAUAGAGGUGGAGGAGCAGAGUAUAAUGGAUUUUGGGAGUGAUUAUGUGGAGUUUUGGUAUGAACUUGGGUUUUUGCCUGAGAGUGACGACGACGGGGUCUUCUUGAUCAUUUCCGCUUUCCAACUACAAUAGUAGAUGCAUCUUCCUCAUUUUUUGUCUCCCUAACACUUCCUGAACCCUUUUGAAUUUCUUGAGUAGUCGCUUUUAAUGUUGCGAAACUCACAAUGCGAACCGUCUUAAUUCCCUCUUCUAUCAUCUCCCCCAUUUUAAGGACCUCAAUAAAUGACUUUCUCAAUGUAGGUAUCAAGUGUUGAUAAUAUGUUUCCUUCUGCGCUUGAAUAAAUACCUCCACUAUUUUUCUUUCUUUCAUUGGCGGUUUCACUCUAGCAACUUGUUCGCACCAUCUGAUUGCAUACUCCCUGAAUCUCUCAGUAUUCUUCUUCUUCAUACUAGUUAGGGAUUUUUCGUCAGGGAUCAACUACAUAUUGUAUUGAAAUUAUUGCAUAAAUUCAUUAGCUAGGUCAUCCCAACUAAUCCACUUGUCAAUGUCUUGGUCAACAAACCAUUCCGAAGCUAAGCCUGAAAGACUAUCCUCAAAAUAAGCCAUAAGUAGUUCUUCCUUCCCUCCAGCACCUCUUAAUUGGUUACAAUAGCGCCUCAAAUAUGCCGCUGGGUCCCCAUGUCCGUCAUAUUUCUCAAACUUUGGCAUUUUAAAGCCAGGAGAAAGGUUGACACCUGGAAACAUGCAUAAGUCCUUAUAUGAGACAUUUUGUGACCCCCAAGUCCUUGCAAGUUCUUCAUAGCCAGUUCCAAACUUCUCAAUUUUCUGGUCAUUUCCUCUUGUUCUUCUAUUAUAAUAAGCUUCUCAGUGUUAGGAGGAAAUUCAGGAGGGUGAGUGUCACCAUAAAGACCAGUCAACUUGAAUGUAGGCUCGAAAAUGUAAUGCUGAUCACCAGUAAUAUUCAAUUCAGGCUCUCUUGUAGAGUAGAGAGGAACAACUUGUGGAUGAACAUCAAAAGUAGGAGCUUCAGGUGGGGGUGGCACCGCAAAACUAUGAACAACAGGUGGAACUGAGUAUGUGGUAGUCUUGGAUUGGGGAGUGAGAAAAUAAACAUUGGAAGUGGUUGGAUAUUAUUGCCCCGGAGUCGAUCCUGAUGCAUGUUGUGGCAUAUCAACAAAAAUGGGAAAUUGUGCAUGUGACACGGAGGCAAGCUAGAAAGAUAUUCCAGAUUAUUAGUGGGAACUGGAGGAGGCGGCAACCCAUUAGCCCAAGCUCGAUGCAUUUCUAUCAUUUGCUGCCUUAAUUUCUGAAUCUCUUCAUUAUCUCCUAAAUUCUCAUUUUCCGAACUCUGUAUCUGAUUAGUGAUAACAAACUCGGUAUCCUUUUUGGCUAUAACCUUGUCUAUGACUUGGUACAAUAUGGAGGACCGGCCAAAAUGCGACAAACCAACCACCUCAAACUAACUGAACAAGAGAUAGCAAAUGCGUUAGAAUUCAACACUUUCUCAAAAUUUCUUUUUUUUUUUGAAAAGAUCACCGAACCCAAGAAGGGCGCCUACGUAUAUCACUCCUGAAAGAGGAGAAUCAGAUGUGCGUAGUUCAUGAAGUCUUGCCAAAAUGGCCAAUUAAACUCUUUUUUCUUUUCUUGAAAUUUUAAGAAGAAAAGAAAAAUGAAAAAUUGUCAUAAGAAUAGACGAAAAUCUUUUUUUGAAUUUUUCAGCUUUAAUAACCUAUAAAAAAUGAAACCUAUGAUUACUAAAGAAACUCUUUUUGGGUUUUCAAUUUUGCACUUCAUACGAAAAUGAAACUUGAACCUAUUAAAGGAAAAUCUUUUGUAGUUUUCUUUUAUUGAUGCAUAUGACAUCUACUCUAAAUGAAGAGUGAAAAAUAAUAUUUUUGGAUUUUUGAAAUAAGAUCAACCAAAAAUGAAACCUACGACUAUUGAGGAAAAUCUUUUUUUUUUAUUGUUCUUUUCAAGACAUGUAUGAAACACAUACUCUGAAUGAAGAGUGAAGAAAAUCUUUUUGAAUUUUUUUAACUAAGAUCCCCGAACCAACAAUAGGCUGUCUACGUAUCUCACAUCCCGAAAGAGGAGAAUCAGGGGUGUGUAGAUCGUCCAAAUUGGACAAUUAAGAAUUAAUUAACAAACUACACCAAACUUGAGAGACACGACCAAAGACUAACGAUGAAAAAUGUCAAUACAAUCUUUUUUGGAGUUUUGAACUUGACACUUCAAAUAAAAAUGACACCAACAAUUAUGAAAGAAAAAAUCUUUUUGGUAUUUUCAUUACAAUGAAAUGUACAAAUUUCUACCAUUUUCUUUUAUAAAAACUGCUAAAAAAAUCUUUUUUGAAAAUUUCAAAUUAUUAAUGCAUGCUAAAGGAGACAAAGUGAGAAAUUUUUUUGAUGCUUUGAUUUAUGAACAAAUGAGUGCAGAAAAUAAAGAAAUCUUUUUGAAUUUUUGAAUUGUGAAAAACAAAAGUCAUAACGAACUCUAAAACUACGAAACUUUUUUUUUCUUUUCGACUCACUUUUUUUUUUCACUUUACUUCUAACACAAGUUUUCCCCAAAUCAAUCUUUUAAAUGACCACGUUACCCUCAGAAAUGCAAUGUUUAGCACGUAGAGAUGCUUUAGAGGAGAGUCUCCUACAAAGGACCAAGUGGGCCCCGCUAAGUCUUCAAUAUGAUGCACAUAAGCAUGACCUAAAGGCUGACCUACGUUGGGGUCCACUAACAAGGCUGUUCGGGGGAGGGUAUGGUCGAUAGUGGAUUGCUUUAGCUGUCCACCUACUCUAUACAACCCAACGGCUCCCCCUCCUAAAAUAAGGGUGACUCAACUAUAGGUUGUAUACAACAUGUGUACUACAGACUCUUUGCAGAAAGAAUGACUCGGAUUAUGCACAUGAUGCCAGAUAUAAAGCGGUAACACAUAGGGUAAAAACUGUAAACAAAGAGCACGUAGGCACUCAGCAAUGAUAAAACAAUAACAAAAAACAACACAAACAAUGUCUAUACACCCAUAAUGCCAAACAAAGCCGAUACAACUCCAAAAAUAAGCUCGAAUUUUGAAAAAGAUCCCCAGCAGAUUCGCCAGAGCUGUCACACCCCUUUUUUUCAACUCCAAAAGAUUCGAUUUUAAGUUUUGAAAGGGUUUUAUUAGUAAAGUGACAAAAGAUGAAAAUUGUUUCAAAAAGGAUUUAUUAGUUUCAAAACUCAGAGUCGCCACUUGGCAUAAAUUGGGUGUGCCAAGUCACCCGUGGAUAUCCUUUUUCAAAAUGGUUUUGACUCUAUAAAACUGAUCUGCGAAUAGAGAUUCCGGCUAAGAAAUUCUUUUGAUCGAGGAUAAGGUGUUAGGCACCCCUCGAUCUCGUGGUUCGACCACGGUCGCUUGGUGGAAUAUAUCGGCUAAUUUGAAUACUAUGAAUGUAUAAACCACACCAAACACAAAUAAAAUGACCAAUCAAACAAACAAAUCCAACAUAAUGUCCAGCCCAAUUAUUACAACCCAAAAUGAAAAAAAGGUACUUGAAAAGUAAACCUACGCUAACCUUCACUAAUCCUAAACUACGCUCCAAUUCUUGAUCCACUGUCCCGAGCCUUCAUUGAGAACAUCCUCUGAGUAUAAAAUAAACGGGGCAUUCCCCGACCAAUAAACAUAAGUACCUCGGGGAAUUCUCCGACCGAAUAGUACAUUUUAAUCCAAACGCAAUAAACUAGCAAACAUUCAACGAAUAUUCCAUUUUCAAACAUUCAACGAAAAAAAUUAUUCAUAAGAAUUUUGCCUACCCGAACUUAUAUUCUCCUAUUCAUUUCAACGUAGCAUGAUAAUAUCGCGUUUCAUAUCAACAGUAAAUCAAAAUUAAACCCAAUCUAUCCUUUUUGUCAGUUUUUAAUUCUCACCCCCCAAAUCCCUUUUUAACACAAAAUUUCAACAAUCCAAAAUCACUAUUUCAACAAUCUACAACCAUUUCUUCAACGCAAUGAAGCAGAAAAAAUCAAUAUCACUCAAUAUUUAAUCGAAUGUCACACCAAUCAAAUAUAUAUGACAAGAUGAAGAAGAGAUAGAAUUGGACCUUUCGAUGAAGAACUUUCGUUGAUAGUAAUAUUUAAGAAAACCCAGAUUUGGAACCCCAAAUAGGAUAACCUCAACCGCGAUGAAUCCAGACUUGGUAUUUGAGAAAUUGAAACCCGAACUACUCAUAAUAACCCAAUUGGGACAAACAGACAUCAACUUCCAAAUCAAUACAAGCAACUGAGAGUCCAAAACAGAAAACAUGAUAAAAUCCAAACUCUAACCAAAUUUUGUAAGAUACAAUUCCAACGGGUCGAUUCGACAAGGAAGUGGUUGCUGAUUUUUUUUCUUUCAGAAUGUGGAGACUAGUUUGAUCGAAUAUGAACUGAAACAAACCAGUUCCAGUGAAAAAGUUCACCGAACAACAGUAAAAAAUGACAGAAAAUUCAGCGUCAGUCAGAUUUUUGCUCAAUCUCUAUCUCGCCUCUCUGUUUUCUCCAAUCUCCCUCAAUUUUCGAUCUCCGUUCACUCUCUCUCGAUCUUCCUUCAUUUUUCUCCGUUCUUCGGUUUGUUUCAGCUCACCAUUGCCUUUCUCUAUCUCUCUCCAAUCUCACAUGUUCGGUGUAUGUAGAAGAGUUCUAGGGGCGGUUUGCAGUUGAUGUUGCUGAUGUAUUGCUAGUGGUGUUUAGGCGGUGUAAGUAUGGUUGUGCAUAUCAGGCCAUAAAAAUGGUGGUGGAGGUGUGUAUGUCGUGAGUAUGAGAAUGGAGGAGUGUGUGUUUCUUCUUCGGUGAGGUGCGAUGGUGAGUAAUCUUGUUAAUUGUAUAUUGUGUGAAGGAAGUUACUGUGGCUGGAAUGGUCUCUCCCCUUUCCAGUUAUGUGUUGUGUCCAUUCCAAAAGAGAGAAAAAAAUAUGAUCAAGGGUACCAGGUAGGGGUAGGGGUGGUGAGGUGGUAUGGGUUAGGGUAUAGGAUAAAGUUUGUUAGGAUAAGGUUAGGGAUUUAUUGAAUUUUUGUUAUUUUUGUAUUUUUGUGGGGUAUAAUUACAUGGGUGAGGGUACACGGUAGGAUAAAGUAAAAAAUGGGUAAAAACGAUAUCGGGGAAGGACGAACUUAGGUGUCUACACAUAAGUUCUCAGAUUCCCUACUAGUUCAUCUAGUAUCAUGCCUGUGAGAUCCUUAUUUGCCUCCCUAGUAGCAGUCACUUUAACAUUCCAUUUUGAUUUUGGUAGCACCCUCAACACCUUUUCAACUUGUUCUUCAACAGUGAUGACUUUUCCUAAAGAAGUCAACUCAUUUGUCAAGGCAGUAAGCCUUGUCAUCAUUUCAUGCAAGGUUUCAUUCUCCUUUAUCUUAAAAGCUUUGUAUUCAGUAAACAGAAGAGCAAUCCUAAAUUUUCUUACCUAAGAGGUACCCUCAUGUGCAUUGACCAGUGCAUCCCAGAUUUGCUUAGCAGUGGUACAGUAAACUCACUUCUUACAUUUUUGACCUGUUCACCAUCUUCUAACUUCAUUAGAAUAGUAGGACCAUCAGUCUUCCCCUUGAAUGAAUGUUUCCAUCCUAUCUUUCCACCAAAUAAAGUGAUAACCAUCAAAGAGUGGAGGUCUAAUAGUGGAUUGACCUUCACUAUGACCAGUAGGUGGUGCGGAAUUCAUCAUAUUGAUCUUUGUCUUAGGUGCUAGACCCUUUUAAGAUAACUUCGCUCUGAUACCACUUGUUAAUAAUUCGUGCCCUACUGAUUAUCUUAUUUUUGCCUAACUGUUGCUUAUAGAUGGAACGAGUUUCCUGACGUGUUUCGAGGAAGCAGUAAAAUAGAAAGUAAGAACACAAUGAUUUUUACAUGGAAAACACCCGACUUAAAAAGGUGUAAAAAACCACAACCUGUACCUCUACAUGAUUUAAUCCUAACUUCAUUAAAUAACUCUGAGCCUCAACAACGACUGAUUACAAAACUCUUGUAACCAACAAAUAGGAAUUAUAAACUCUAAUUCCUAUAACUCAACAACUAGGAAUUAUAAACUCUAAUUUCUAACUACACACACCUCCCAAGGUAUGCUUUCCCAAAGUCUCUGAGUUUUCCCCAACUCAAAGACUAGCUCCUAAUUCAGUUUAUAACACACUGAAACUAAUAUUACAUCAAUAGUUCAAACACAAUGAACAACUCUAAAAAUCAAUGCUAAAACUCUUAGCUGGAUUCUAUACUUAGGACCAGGUUCUUUAAUGUGUUUCUUCAAUGAUUAAGUAGCACUUCGUGAAGUCAAUCUAUCGAUUGUACUUUUCUGCCUUGUAAGUGUGUGAGUUAUUCUGAAUAAUACAUCUUCUAUUUAAACACAGCUCUCCAAAAAGUCAUUCUUAAUUUUAAAUUCCUCCUUUAAUCAAAACUUUCAUUGCAUAGAAUUCUACUUCAAGUGAGACUCCUUCUUCAAUUCCAAAUCUUGUCUCUUUAGUGUUGUAGUCAAACUCCAACUCUCCAAAGAGUCCUUUAAAUUAUACGUUUUGCAUAAACUUCUGCAAUUUUCAGAUUCUUUCUCCUUCUACACAUAGGACUCUUAAGACUAUGCUCAGAAGUGAAACUAUUUCUUCACACAGGACUCCUCUUUCAACUCAACUUGUUUUCCCUUAUCAUCAAGUGUUUGAAUCAAAUUCAACUUAUUCUAUUCCCAACGUGAUCAGUAAGUUGAAGUUUCCAGUUACACUGAUUUAACUCAUUCUGAUUUUUAAUUUUUUAUACCAUAGACUGCACUCCCGAACUUGUCGAAUCAGUGGAACAUGUAUAUCAACUUAUUUAAUUAAUAUUGUCAUUCAUCAAAACUCCAAGGGUCCAACAAAUUCAUGAAAGAUGUGCAAUUAACAUUAAAAAAAAAAAAGUAACAACGACAAAACUAAGCCCUUGUUUGAAUGAUGGUUUUCCAUGGUAUGCUAUGAUAUGGUUACCCAGGAAACCAUGUUUGUAUUGAUUGUAUUUUAAAAGUUAUGGUAUGGCAUGGUAUAUUUUCAUGGUUACCAAACCAUGAAAUCUCCCAAUUUUCAUAACCACCAAUUUGGUGGUAUACCAUUGUUUUAUUCUUUUUUUUUUUUUUCAAUUAUACUCUCAUCUAAUAUUCUUUAAUCUCAUUUUACCCUUCAACCUAUAUCACUUUUAACCCUAACAUAUUUUUAUUUUACCCUUUUCUAUUUACCUAUCCUCUGCGUUUUUGCGUACUUCUCCUCUGUUGUUCUUCAUCUUCCGUCUUCUCUUCUUCUACGCUCAUUCUCUCAAGUAUGCCUUUUGAAACUUUAACUGCUUAUUAUUUUAAGAUGCCUUCUCUUCUUCUACGCUCAUUCGUCGUUGGCAUUGUUGGCGUCUGAUUUUCCUAGAUGUUUUGGAAAUAGGAUUUACUUUACUGAUGAUUGUUUCACUUGGUGAACUAUAUUUAUAGUUUGAAUUGAUUGUAGGAUAUUCGAACUUAUAGAUGAAGCACAACUCAACUUAGUAGAAAUAGACUGCGCACAGCUAACUCUUUAAAACUUGUAUUGAGAUAUUUGUACCUCCAAUACAACUGAAAUCUGACCAUAUAGUGCCAAUAAUAAAGAUUCCAGUUAGGGACUUUAGGGAUAAGACAUCAGUGAGCAUUAUUUAUUUUCCAAUGGAACCCCACAUUUUGACUAUUUCAAGGCAAAUAAAUUGCUUUCUUUGGCCUAGAAUAUGUUAUUUUGUGUUGAUGUUGUGGAUGUGCUAUACAUAGGGAGUCUUCCAUAAGAUGUAGUAGUACCAGAUGCAUUAAUCCUAUCGGAAUAAUUUAAGUUUUGCUACAUUAUGUCUUGUUUCACUUGAAUUCUUAUUACUGAAUUGCCAGUUCAUUGGAGUGUAUAUUAGGACGUUCUCUUGAUUUGAGUUUGGGAGAUUAGAUUAAAAACAAAAUAGAGUAAGUUUUCCUCCAAAAUCUUAAUAAUACCACAAGCUAGAGAAGGAAUAAAGUCCCAUAGUAACAGAAAGUAAAAGUAGUCUGAAUGGUUUCAUCUCGUGUAACCUUCCGCUUAUAAAGUGAAAAGCAUCUUUAACAUCAACUUCAACACCUCAGAUUUGGCAACGAAAACUAGUUCAUAUUCAUCCCUACCUCCUCUUCCCCUUCCUCUCCCACCUACACUAGCUUUUCUAUCUGUAAAAAAAAAUUAACAAUAUUCUAGCUAAGCUGAAUAUUCAAAAACUAAUUGUAGGCAAGCAGGGAGAUAUUCGUAUAAUAAACAAACCCACACUGAUCAAAUAGUUAAAGUAGAAGUGGUUGGAUAGUAAGAAUCCGUCACUUCAAAACUUGAGGUUGUGAAUUCGAGUCACCUUAGAGCAAAAAGGGUGGGAGCUCCUAGGGAGAUUUAUGGAAAAAAAAUAGAAGUGGUUAUAACACUUUCUGAAAAUUAGCAGUCCAAAGUAGUACCUGCAAGACAUUUUGUUUCUUCUUGAACUUUAUCAAUCACCUGAAAAAGAACAAAAAUCAUAUAGUUAACACCAAACAAAACUAAGAGGGAUUAGCAACUUGGUCAACAAAGAGCCAGGAGAAGACCAAGCUUCAAGAAUUAUAAACCGUGGACUCAGCCUCAAACCCCAGUGAUAAAAAUGAACUAUUCAAAACAGUAAACACAAGUAGGUAUUUCCAUAUGAAGGAAUAUAUAUACACAAAAAAUCUACAAAAUCUAACCUCUCAGAAAAAUAGAGUUGCAAUACUGUAGGUAUUUCAUGGAUAAAAGCAAAGGCAAUCUGUAGUAGUUUAGCAUUCAACAUAUAUUUGUUUUUCCAUGCAUGUAUGUUAGUUAUAAAUGUGUAAUCUCAUAGCUAAUUUUUAUUUAAAUAUAUUUUUAUACGUACAUAUUUUAAUUGAUUUGAUGCAUCUCUCUUAAUUUUAUUAUAGAUGGCUGAUCAGAAUACUCAAGAUAGUAGUAGCAUAUUGAGACAAGUGACCUCAUUAGCUUCAAAUGUUGCUGUUCAAGUAGUUAUUUAGUUUUGGACUUAUGUCUAUGAAAUUGAAAAUGAUAAACGUACGAUCACACGUGAUAUACGGCUUGAAAGAGAGAGAGUUAGAGAUGAAUUAUUCAGUCAUCUAUUUUCGACUGAACUUUGCCGUAGUAUAUUAAGAAUGACCCCUUUAGCUUUUACUGGUCUGUGUGAGAUUUUUGUUAGAGAUGGAGGCCUUAGACCAAUACUUCAAGUUACAGUUGAAGAACAAGUUGCGAAAGCACUUUACUUGUUAGCACAUAAUGUGACAAAUCGUGAGCUAUCUUUCAUCUUUCGACGAUCUAGAGAGUCGGUCAGUCAUCAUUUUCAUGUUGUCCUACAGACUAUCUUGAGGUUAUAUUAAAAAUUUAUCAAAUAACCUGAUGACUCCCAUGUUCCUUCUGAAAUCGCCAACAAUCAAAGAUUCUACCCAUAUUUUAAGGUAAACACAAUUUAACAUUAUUUAAUUUAAUCUAUUAUAAAAAAUAUUUAUAUUAUUAAUUGAUAUUAUAAUAUCAGGAUUGUAUUGGUGCAAUUGAUGGAACACAUAUACGUGUUAAAGUUUCACAAUGUGAAGCACCAAAAUAUCGUGGGAGGAAAGAUUAUCCAACUCAAAAUGUACUAGCUGCAUGUACAUUUGAUUUAAAAUUCACAUAUGUGUUAGCUGGGUAGGGAGUGACAACGUCUAAUUCAAGAAUCAUGAAAGAAGCAUUAAAUAGCCAAGAUCCAUUAAAAAUUUCAGAAGGUAAAAUAUUUUAUAUAUAUAGAUUGAUAGAUAGAUAGAUAGAUAUAGGUAUAUAUGAUAAGUAUAUAAUUGAGCCUUUUACUUUUUAUGUUUAGAAAAUUUUUCCUUGUUGAUGCUAGACUCAUGUUGAGAAAUGGGCUUAUUACACCUUAUCGGGGGAAGCGAUAUCACUUGAAAGAGUAUUCAAGAAAUCCACCUCGAAAUUCUCGUGAAUUAUUUAAUUUACGACAUGCUUCUUUGCAUAAUGCUAUUGAACGAGCAUUUUGAGUUCUUAAAAAGAGAUUUUCGAUAAUUUUCAGCUCAAUUGAACCAUCAUACGGAAUUGAAACUCAAAAGCUGAUUAUAUUUGCAUGUUGUGUCUUGCACAACUAUUUAAGAGGUGUAGAUCCAAAUGAUGAGUUACUCGAUCAAGUUGAUGCAGAACUUAUGAAUGAUAACACUGUGCAUGAAGAACCUCCAAAUUCUAGGGAAAGUAAUGAAGAAUUUAGAAAGGGGGAGUUUAUUCGAGAUGGUAUAGCAGCUGCCAUGUGGACUAAUUAUCAAGAUUAAUUUUCUAGGAAAAAACUUAAGUGAUUAUUUGUGUCACAUUUUUUCUUAUUUGAUGUUAUUUUUAAGUAAUUUCGUGAUGCUAUUACUACAAAUAUUAUGUAUAGUUGAUUUACUUUAUAUUAUAUCUUUUAUCAAUACUUAAGUGUGACAACAUUUUUUUUUUUGAAUUUUAUGAAUAUUUAUCUUAAUUCUGUAGUGGUUGAUAUGACGAGAAAAGCAAAGGAAUUCACCUCAAGUGAUCUAAAUGUACAAGAGAAUUCUAUAUGCGUUUGGACAAAUACGAUGGAUGACACAUUAGUUGAUGCCUAUUGUCACGAAGAUGCACUUGGACAUAGGGUUGGAGGAACUUUUACUACGCACGCAAUGAAUAACAUUGUGAAGGAGCUACAAUUUAAAUUUUCAGAUAAGGUUAUUAACAAGGAAAAAAUUCAUAAUCGGAUGAAAAUAAUCAAAAGGCUAUUAACCAAGUAUUACGACACAUUUCAUCAGUCGGAAAUGAGCGGAUUUGCUUAGGAUUCCAUCACACAUAAGUGGGAUGCUAAACCUGAAGUGUGAGAUCAACUAAUUUAGGUAAAUUUACAGCCCACCGCAAAUAAGUAUGUUAUAUUUAUUGUCAUAACUGAACUUUUAUUGUUUCGUGAAAUUCUUUAGUAAACAUGGACAGGUUACUUUUUUCAAUAUUAUUUUCUUUAAUAAUAUUUUGCACUUAUAAUAUAUAGGCUUAGUCUUAAGCUGCUGAGUUGAAAAAUAAGUCAUUUCAAAAUUAUGAAAAGCUGGUGAUGCUAUAUGGAAAGGACAGAGCUACUGAAAAACAUGCCGAGACUAGUUCAGAUAUGUUAAAGAAGAAUGCUCAUAAAAAUCUAAAAAAAGUAAGUGUUGAUUCAAUCACUAUUGAUAACAUAGAUGAAAUGGGUUAUAUAAAUACUGACUCAUUGGAAGAUAUGGAAGGACAUGAACUGGGUGAUCAAAGUCAAACAACUAAUGAUGCACCUACACCUAAUGUCUAUUCAGAAGCACCAAUGCCUACCAGAAAUAAAAAAUUUAAACAUGAGUAUCUUGAAGUCAUGACUGGCAUGUUGAGAAGUGGAAUGGACAACUUGGCUGGUGCUAUUGAUUAUCUUUCAUCCCUUCUGUCUAUUUUUGAGACCGAGAUAUGGAAUAUAUUGGAGGAGUUGGAUUUGGAAUCUGGUGUGGAUACAAAGGCUUAUAUUUUUCUUUGUCAAAAUGCAAGUACAGGUCGUAUACUGAUAGGAUGUCCAAAGGAACAAUGCAAGGAUCUUUUAUCACAAAUGAUGCCAUAAAAUAAUUAAGAUUAGCUUCUAUUUUUUUUUUUUACUUUAUGAUUUAUAUUGUUGACAAUAAAGAAUGUUUGAACUUUUGUUGGCACGUUGUGCACAAGGUUUAUUUAUUUUGAGUUUGGGGCAUUCUUGAAGUGUUCAAGUGAACCUAAUAAAUGUUAUUGCGAUGAAAUUAUUCUUUUCUUGAGUACGUGUAGUGGUGUACCAAAAUGGUGUAAUUGAUGUUGCUUCUCUUCGCACAAAUAUAUGAGAUGUUCUGAGUUUUGACAAUUGAUUCUCUACAACAAUUACUUGAUAAUAGUUGCAACCAGGUGUUCAAGUUGUUUGCUUUAGUUCUUGACGAUUGUGCAAUUGGUCAGUUUUUAUAAGGCGAUUGGUGUACGAAAUCACAUGAAGGUUGUUGUCAUUUCUGCAUUUAGCGUUGAAGAUUGCUGAUAUUAUCUGUGAAGGACUUGGGAUUCAUUUUCUCUAUAUUUCGUUUAUUGAAACUCCAAGGCAAAUUGGAGGUGAUAUGCAGUAUUUGGUUAGAACAAAUGAUGAGUUUUGACUUCUGACGAGAUUUUUGGAGCUUGAUAUUGAUGCUGCGUAUCAUCAACUUGAUGUUGUGUAUAACACAGUUGAAUUUUGUGUGUUUAGGUUGGUUUUAGAAGGGCCGAGAUGGGAGAAGAUUAAUUGUUUGGGUGAUUAGAUAUUAUUUUUAGGAGAAAAUUCGUCAAACAGAAUUUACUUUACUAAUGAUUGUUUCACUUGGUGAACUGUAUUUCUAGUUUGAAUCGAUUGUAAGAUAUUCGAAGUUAUAGAUGAAGCACAACUCAACUUAGUAGAAAUAGACUGCGCACAGCUAACUCUUUAAAACUUGUAUUGAGAUAUUUGUACCUCCAAUACAACUGAAAUCUGACCAUAUAGUGCCAAUAUUAAAGAUUCCAGUUAGGGACUUUAGGAACAAGACAUCGGUGAGCAUUAGUUAUUUCCCAACGGAACCCCACAUUCUGACUAUUUCAAGGCAAAUAAAUUUCUUCCUUUGGCCUAGAAGAUGUUAGCUUGUGUUGAUGUUGUGGAAGUGCUAUACAUAAGGAGUCUUCCAUUAACAUGUAGUAGUACCAGAUGCGUUAGUCCUAUGUCAAAUCGGGGAAGAGAUAUUGAGUUUCUCCAACUUCUUGGGAAACCGUUAUCUUAUGUUUCCUGUGUCUGUUUUUCUUUGAAUAGGCAACUCAUGUAAUUUCCAGAAGUUUUUCCCACAAAUUACCAGGCUAGCUAAAUGAGAAUUAUGGUUUCUAGCUCUACCAUCACGUGUAAUUUUGAGAUUUGCAUAAAUGCAUAUGUUUCUUGAAUUAUUUGUUUUGCGAAAGCUUCUUUUACGAUUUGUACAGUGGAAAAGUUGAUUUAGAAAAAUAGGCAAAAGAUAGAACUUUUUGAUAGAUGUGUUUAUCCAUACUCUAUUUUGUUCUCUACUUGCAGUGUGUAAUACCUUUUGAAUCGUGUUGUUAUCUCGUUGCGGUGUACUUUGGUGAAUUCCUCCAUUGAGGUGGUUUGUGAAUAUGUUAUUCUGGCCAGAGUUAAAUUUGAUGGAUGAAAUUUCUUUGUAUAUGAAUUGCAAACAAUCAAUAGUUGUGUGCUGUAAGUAAAACUGUAUCUACAUUUUCUUGAUGCAAUCUUAGUGAAACAUUCCCUGUAAUCAAAUAUUCAUGUGAAAAGAAGGAAGGAUAAUGGAGUUGAUUAAUACAUCAAUAAGAGAAAGAAAAUUAUUUUAUUUAUUAAUAAUUUUUGAUAAAUUUAAAAUUUAUAAUAAGGGAAAUUUUAGUAAAUUUAUCAGUUAUGAUACAAUACCAUACCAUCAAACCAACAAUAAAACUGUUAUUAAACAAUAGUGAAUGAUAUAGUCGAUCCAAACAUUGUAUUGUACUAUACCAUACAGUACAAUACCAUACCAUAUUGUACCAUACAUUAUGAAACCAUGUCAAACCAUCAUCCAAACAGAGCCUAAGAAGAGUGUAUAAACUUCAACAAAAAACACGAGAAAGAUUUAUGAGUUGACAACUAUCAAAAAUAACAUCAACGAUACUAAUUCUUCAACUCAUGCAACAUAACAAGACUAUUUAUGUAGGUAUAAAUCUUCUCUGAAAAUUUAGUUGUUCAAGACUCAUGAAACAAAAAUUUAGAAUUAGAUUGAAAAUUCACAUUUUUUUUUUGAUAAAAAUAGCUUUAAAUUUUUUUGAACGAAGUACUUUGCUAUUAUGAUAAUAAUGGAGUAACAAUUCAGUAGAUUUAUUCUUUUGAUACUGCAUGAAACUUUAUUAAUGACUUAAUGAGGAGAAAAGACACUACAUAUUUCUUGGCCACAUAUUUGAUAUUCAUGUCCUAUAUAAUCACCAGAUAUUAGGUUUCUUACGUUAACUCUUGAACUACUCCCUGAUACAUAUAUAAUAAUGGGUAAAUCAUUUCCAUUUAUUUAAUUACCACAUAAUAAUUAUAUCACUAGGUAUAUUUUUUUAAGAUAAUGCUACAUUAAUUAACAAGAGCUCAAAUCAUAAUAUGUAAUUAAAAAAUUUAAUAUACUUACCUCAUUGUCAUCGACACUUGUCAACCCAUGAGUUUUUGAUGAAUCACCUUCAACAAAGUUUUAAGUGAAUCUAACAAUCAUUAAAUGAAUACUACUUUCCUCUUUCAAAUUAUUUUGCUUGACUCAAAAAUUAAUUAAUGUUUGAUGUAAAAUUUGAUUAUAGAAUCUCUAAUUGUAUAUCUUAAAUUUAAUAGCUAAAGAUUCGUUCAAAUUCAAAAUGUAAAACUUUAUAUGUUAUUUCUAGGAUCUAAGAAUCGGGUAAAAAGAUUAAGUGAAAACCCUUAGAACCAUAAUCUCACAUGAUUGACCAAAUCGUAUGAGACAUAUGAUUUAUAAGAAAUUAAAUAAAAGACUUUAACUAGUUGGCAAGAUGUAAAUAAAUAAACAAAUUCAAAUACAAUACUACAAAAUGAAAUCACAACAUUAAUUCCACAAUUUAUAAGAAAAUCUAUAUAUAAAAAUGAAUCUUACAUUUUUAAUUUUCUAUUUUAUUUUUGUCCGAAACCUAUAUUGAUUUAAGGACACGAUUGAAAAUUUUACCUUGAAUAAUGAUGCUGGCACCCACAAAGAAAUUCAUUUUCAAAUGAAUUUUGUUACCUGCUAAAGAAUUACAAAGAUUUAAUCAAACUCAAUGACAUUGAGCUAUGAGAAUAAUAUAAACAAACACACACACAUAACAUACACAAACAUAUAGUUCAUUAAAAAUAAAGGAAUAUAUAUAUAAAUUUAAAUGCCGCAUACCUUUCAGAGAAGAAGAGAAGAAUGAAAAUGAAUUACAUCUUCAUAGGUUUUAUAGAGGAAACUAUAUGUCUAGAAAAGAUUACAAUAAUUUCUAUUUAAUUCACUUAUGAUUUUAAAGGCAUAGUCAUUAAUUUUAGUUUGACUCACUUUUAAUUCUAACUGAUACUAAUAAAUUAUAAUAAAGGCAUAGUCAUUAAUUUUUAUUUGACUCACUUAUAAUUCCACUGAUUGAUACUCCGUUACUAAAUACUUGUCUCUAUUUUGGUUUGCAUUUUCUUAGGAAAAAAUUAAUUACAGGCUAAAUUGAUUAAAUUACCCUUAUUAAUUAAUUUUUUCUACUUAAUACUUCUCUUUUUUGCACUAUAUUAAACGUCUCUUCAUAUUUAUGACUAAUGAAAACUGUGCAAAAAAUAAAUAAUUAUGACUUAAUUUUUUAAAAAAACAAGUAUUAUGAAAUAUCUAUUUUUAAUAAGAACGAUAAAUAUUUAGGAAUGAGGUAAUAAUAUACACUAAAGUCAUAAUGAUUAAUAAAUAUGUUAAAUUUGGAAAACAUAAGAGAAUCGCAAUGAUCAACCAAAAGCCUUGUAUGACUGAUAUCGUAAAUUAAUUAUAAUCAUACUUGAUAUGAAUAAAUACUUAGAUAUUAUAGUGUGAAAUUGCUAAGACAACACUUGAUUAAUAGAGCAUUCUAUUUGGGCUAGAUAAGUGAUGCCCCUGCAAGCACGGGCCCAACACAGUGAUUUAAUCCCUUUAUUAAAUAUAUCGAGUCUGUGUAGUAAAACAAUACAAAAUCAUAUAAAUUAAGAUAUGAUAAUAUAAUACAACCCGCGUUCAGUGAAUAGAGGAAUAUUAAUUUACAUCCCAUCGUGUAAAAUAUUAAAGUGAACAACUAAACAUUGGAUUGCCCAAGUAAUUGGUCAAUAAAGGUGAAUGAGCAAAACAUAAUGUCUUCCGUGUCUUCCACCUUUAUGUCCAUAUUGAUGUCUCUAGUACUCCAGCUUGACGCUGCAAAAGUAGUAGUUAUGGAUAAAAAAUUGUGUUGUUAAAACAAAUAAAUCCCCAGCAACUCUACUUUUAAUACUGAAUUGAUGUAAAAGUUGAACCACGAAUCGCAAUGCAAUCCUAAAUUAGUGUAUACAUUCAUUUCAGAAAAAAAAAUAGUAUUACAUAAAUUUCAGAAUGUUGACAAGUAGUAUCAAGAGCUAAGGUGAUCUUAUGUGUUUUUUCAGGCGAGAGAGAAAUGAUUAGUAGCCAGUUCCUUGAAUGUUUUGGGAAAAUCUAUCAACAAUACUCAAGGAAAUUUUAUCAAUAAAACUAUCAUUACUCUCUACAUUCGGCUAUAGUAAACUAUUAGUUCAUAUAUUUUUUUUUUUUUUUAAUCAAGUUUCUUUAGGAUAUUUUGUAAGUACUUUCUGAAAGAAUUUAGAUUGUAGGAAUGCAGGGUACCUGUAUUAUAUUCUUAGGAUAUAUUCAUGAAUCUAAAAGUGACAGAAUUGUCUAUUGAAUUGAAAAAAAUUAAACAAAUUUUCAUUAUUUAAGCCCAUGUCCAAAGAGCAAUAUGAAAAAACAAAUCAAAGUUUGUAGCAGACAAAAAAAUGUAAACACUAUGUCAAAAUGUUAUAUCUAAUAGCAUGAAAAAGUGAAUCAGUAGAUUUGUUGUUCUUUAUAGCUUCGUCGGUUAUUUCAUUUGAUCAUUGCCACAGAACCCUUGUUGUCAUAUUCAUCUUCAAUCUCCUCCUAUUUAAAGAUACGGAUGACAUUGUUUUCUCUUUUAUAAUUUUAUGUGCUCGUAAAAUCUAGAGAUAUUAUCUAGGCACUCUUCCUAAGUUCAAAAAAAAAAAAAAAAACUUUGCUCUUAACCCAUUUGGAUUGGCUUGUUUUAAGUACUUUUAAGUCAAAAUUGAUUUUUAAGUACGUGUUAGAAUAUAUUUAAAAAGUGCUUAUAAACACUUAAUUUUAAGCUAAAAUACUAAAAAUAAGUCAAAAGUAGGAUGGCAAUGGGGCGGUGCGAGUGAGGGGCGGUUCGGGUUUUAAGCUAUGCGGAGCGGUGCGUGUUUUAUGCUAUGCAGGAUGGUGCAAGUUAAAGUAAGUUUUUUUUUUAAAUGGUGCGGCGCGGUGCGGGUUGCGGUUAUAUGCGGAUUUAAAUUAAAAAAUGCUAAAAAUUAGUAUUAUUCUCGUGAAUAUACCUAAAAUUAUAUGUAUUUUUUACUUAAAAUUUUAUGAUACUUAAAAUGACAUGUAUAACACUAAAAAUAAAUAAUUUUAUAUUUUUAAAAAUAUCUCUAUUUAUUUUUAAAAAAUAUAAUAUUUAAUCAUUACUUGUACACGUGAUACUUUUUGAUAAUUUCUUAUUGAAAAGUGAUAGAAUAGAAAAUAGUUGUUAUUUUAGAUUUGAAAAUAUUAUGAUUUUCAAUGGAGUUACGAAUUUUUUAAAACAAGAAGAAAAACAAAAAUAUGAGGCGGUGCGGUGCGGGUAUACGCGAGUAUGAGUGCGGGGCGAAUUUAUGCGCGUUUAAAGGUAAUGCGGUGCAGUGUGAUUUUAAAAUUUGCGGGUUUAGAAAAAACCCGCACCGCACCAUUGCCACCCCUAGUCAAAAGUCAUAAAUUAGAAAUUUUAACUUAUGAUUUUUGAUUUAAAAUGCUAAAAAUAAAUUAAAAAGCUAUAAGUUAAAAUUUCUAGCUUAUGGCUUAUAAAUCAAAAGUCAAAAAGCUAAAUGCCAAUCAAAAAGCCAAAUGCCAAUCCAAAUAGGCACAAAAACGAAUAUCAUAACUACAUUAACAACAACAGACACACACUAAUUAAGUACCUGGUAUAUAGUUUUUCAAUAACUUUCAUAGCCAAAUUUAAGCUAUCUAAAUAUCUAUAAUUCUAUAAAGAGCAUCUUUCUAAUGAGAACCUUUAAAGUUAUAAAAAUAUAGAUCAAAACUAGAGAUAUCAUGUGGAAUAUAAAUAAAGACAUUUUGCCCAUAUGUAAGUUACACUUACUUGGCACAAAUAGCCUGUCAUCAUUCUUGAAAUACCUAGUUUAAAAAUCGUAUUCCUAUUUCGUUUGCAUGAAAUGAUUCAGAUAAAAUUUACAGCUUCUGCUUGCACUUGCACCGUUCAAAUCCAUUUUAUAUUCAUGAUAUGCUAACUAAAAUACUGUUACAUCCUAGUGUUAAGCACUUAUAAGACGGCUCAAUGAAAAAAAAAUAAUAGAGCCAUGAAAUUGAGGCAGAUAAACAGAGUAAAUGAUGAAAAUAAAAAAAAUUAGACAAUAUAAAUUACCAAUAAAAUUGUUAAACUCCCACCAUUGAUGGAUCACUGGACAGAGAUGAGAGAGUUAUCUAGGAAAAAUAAGGGAGAGAAAGCUAACUGCUUGCAUUACUUUGUAAAAUGUACAAGAGUGAGUCUACAGAAUAUCUACACCUGCACUUUUAUAUAACUGCCUAAUCCUCUUAACCGAUAGCUGUCAAUCACUCAAUUUAAUCCUAACUAACUCAACCAACACAUCAGCCACUAAUAGUUACACUGAUUUACAUGUAUGCCACUAAUCACCUACAACAUCUUUGCUUAUUAUUUCAACACCCCCCUUCAAGGUAGGUGGUGUGAAAAUGUUCAAUACACCUAGCUUGGACAACAUAUAAUAAUGAUGAGCUCCUCCAAGACCUUUAGUGAGUAAAUUAGUCUCUUGUUCACUGGUUGGGAUGUACACUGGAUGCAUUAGCUUCUGUUGCACCUUCUCCCUUAUAAAAUAACAAUCAAUCUCUAUAUGCUUUGUCCUAUCAUGAAAAACUGGAUUAUUUGCUAUCUGUAUGGCUACUUUACUGUCUGUAAGUAACUCAAUAGGAGUAGGAAUCUCAACUCCCAGGAACUUGAACUAUCCUGUUAACCAUAUCAACUCUGAGACUGUCAAAGCCAUACUUCUGUAUUUCGACUCUGCUGAGCUUCUUGCAACUGUGUUUUGUUUCUUUGACUUCCAUGAAAUUAAUAAACCUCCAAACUUCACAAGAUAUCCUAUAACUGACUUUUUUAAAUUGGGGCAGCUUGCCCAAUCAGCAUCACAAUAUGCUUUCAAUGAUAUGUUUCCUCCUGAGCUUAACAGAAUGCCAAGUCCAGGCUCAUUUUUAAUAUAUCUCACCACUCUAUACGCAGCUUCCAAAUGAGACUUUUUGGGAUGUUGCAUGAACUGGCUUAGUGUUUGUACACUAUAAGCUAUGUCUGAUCUAGUUAGGGUCAAAUAUAAGAGUUUCCCAAUCAAUCUCUGAUAACUUUUUACAUUACUCAAUGCUGAAUCUUCCACUUCAUUACAAUGCUUAUCAUAUUCCAUGCUAGUCAAUUUGUGAUUCUGCGCCAGUGGUGUAUAAGCAGGUUUUGAACCUGUUAAUCCUAAUUUAGCUAUUAGCUCCAUAGCAUACUUCCUUUGACAUAAUACAAUCCCCUUUUGUGACCUAUAACUUCAAUGCCCAGAAAAUACCUCAAAGUGCCAAGAUCUUUAAGUUUGAAUGCUUUAUGUAAGAUAUUUUUGGCUUCCUGUAUUAAACCAUCAUCAUCAUCGGUAAUUAGCAAAUAAUCUACAUAAACAAGUAUGAUAACUUGUUUGCCAUACUUGUUCAAUAUAAAAAGAGAAUGAUCAUGCUAACUCUGAAUAAAACUAGCCAACAAAAGAGCAUUAGAGAGCUUUAGGUUCCAUUUUCUAGACGCUUGCUUUAAGCCAUAUAGAGAUUUGAGUAGCCUGCAACUCUUAUUCCCCCCUUGGCUAUCAAAUCCAGGUGGAAGUUGCAUGUAAACUUUUUCUUCAAGAUCACCUUGCAAGAAGGCAUUAUAAACAUCCAUAUGGUAUAAGGACCAAUUCUUCAUAGCAGCCAAAGCUAAUACAGCUUGAAUUGUGACCAUUUUGACCAUGGGAAAGAAGGUUUCUUGGUAGUCUAAACCUUCUUGUUGGCUAUAACCUUUAGCAACAAGCUGAGCCUUAAACCUCCCUACUUCUCCAGUAGACUUAUAUUUGAUCUUGUAUACAAUCAACAACCAAUGGGAACCUUGCCCUUAGGUAAGUCCACUACUUCCCAUGUAUGGUUAUGAACUAAAGCAUUGAGUUCACUCUGUAUAGCAUCGACAUCUGGGAUCAGUGAUGGCUUUACCAUAACAACUAGGUUCAAUAUCAGAGGAAAGUGCUACAACAUAAGCCCGAAAAGAAGCUGAAAGUGAAUUGUAACCUAACACAUUAGACAUAGGAUAUUUACAAGCUGACCUAGUUUUAUGAGAACAGACAAAAUAAGACAUCCAUGCUGGAGUUUUAGAACCCCUAGAAGACUUUCUCAACACUGGAACAAUAUUAUGAGAUAUGGAAGGCACUGCAAUAUGUGAAAGAUGGCCAUAAGGUUCGGAAGAUGAAACUAGUGAUUCACUUGGAGCCGUAACAGGUGGAGAAGAUGUAACUGGUGCAUUAGCAGAAGGUAAUGCAUCAUGAGCAAGCACAAACACUGGAGUAGGCACAUCUAUUGAUUCUAAGAAUACAGGAAGAGAAUAAACCUACUUCAUCUGUUGGAAAGGAAAGAUGUGCUCUCUAAAAGUGACAUCCCUACUUAUAAACAUCUUCCCAGUCUUGAAGUCAUAUAAUUUGUAAGACUUUUGAGAGGUAGCAUACCCCAUAUGUACAACAACUACAGAUCUUGGUUCAAACUUAUCAAUAAUGUGAGGAAUGGUAGCAAAACACAAACAACCUAUCACUCUUAAAUGAGUCAAGCACUAGAGUGAUAAAACACUUCAUAGGGAGAUUUACCAUGUAAAACAAUAGAUGGUAUCCUAUUAAUGAGAUAUACUGCUGCAAGUACACAUUCACCCCACAAAUGUAAUGGUAUGCUUCCUUAAAAUUUGAUAGCCAUUGCCAUUUCCAAGAUAUGUCUAUGUCUCCUUUCAACUACUCUAUUUUGCUGUAGAGUAUGAGGACAACUGGUUUGAUGCUCAAUGCCACUGUUUAAUAGGAAUUCUUUACAUUCUUUAGUAAGGAAUUCUCCACCAUUAUCUAUUUUUGUCAUCUUGAUUUUCUUGCCAAACUGCAUAUUAAACAUCUUGACAAAAUGCUUAAACAUAACAAUUAAGUCACUUUUCAAUUUCAACAAGUAUACCCAUAUCACUUUAGAAUGAUCAUCAAUAAUGGUCAAAAAGUGUCUGUGACCAUUAAAAGUAGAAACUCUAUAAGGCCCCCACAAAUCCAUAUGAAUCAAUUAAAAAAUUACAGUAGAUCUAGUACUACUCAAAGGGAAAGACUUUCUCACUUGUUUAGCUAAUGGACACACUGUACAAUUAUUAAACUUGUACAUAGGAACUUUAAGCUUCAGAAUAUCCAUCUUCUUCAUCACACUUGCAGGUAUAUGUCCAAGUAUUUUAUGCCAAACUUCAAAAUCUACUGUGGAGACUUCAGCUGAACAACUAUUCACUUUAUUAAUGAUAUUCAGAUCUUGUGUUUCAUCAUGAUCUUCAACCUUGAGAACAUAUAGACCUACGUCUUCUUUACCAAUCCCCUUCACUCUUCCAUUGUAUAGGUCCUGGAACACAUAAAAUUUUGGAAAGAAAAGUACUAAGCAAUGCAGUUCUCUUGUCAGUUUUGACACAGACAAUUAGUUAAACUUGAAGUCAGGUACAUAUAGGACUUCUCCUAUAUCAUAACCAUUCCAAAUGUUACAAAUACCUUGAUAAGUAACAUUCACACUCUUACCAUUAAGGAGAUGCACAUUAUCCUUUCUGAAAUCUGGUAAAUCAGUCACAUUUGUCAACAUUUUUGAAUUGUUAGUCUUAUGGGUGGCUGCUCCUGUAUCUAUAACCCAAGAAUCAUUGUUUUUCCCUNNNNNNNNNNNNNNNNNNNNNNNNNNNNNNNNNNNNNNNUACAUUUGCAGGUACAUUUUCUGCUCUUUUUUCUUUGGUUAAGAGUCCAAUAAUCUAAUCAUAUUGCUCAUUUGUGAAAUAAUUCUGCAUUCCUGAUCCAUGAUUUUUGCUAGUACUGCUGCUUGCCUCAUGAUCAAUAUCCCUGUGACAUUGCACAUUCUUCAUAUUUUCUUGUUUCUGAUAUUGGCUACCCAGCAUAUAUCCAUGACGGUUACCUACAUUUGCUCUGUAACCUGCAUCUUCACUUUCAAAGGAAUUGUUGUCAUUCAUUACUGCAUCAGCUUGCCUGUAUAUUGGCUUCUUUUUUUCCUUUAAAACCUAAUGGCUAACCAACAUGUUUAUAACAAGUCUCUUUUGUAUGCCAUUUGUUUUUACAAACAUCAUAAAAUAAGUGGCCAAAGCUUCUAUGUUUCUCAAAUCUCUGGGGAGUCUCAACAACAUUGUAUCUCUGCAGACUGUUACGAAACUUCUCUUGUAUAAUACCCCAAACUUUCUUUAAAGUCUAAUUUAGUCUCCAAAAUAUUUAGGAAUGACUUCAUAAGUGAGUAAUUCUUUCCAACGAUACCAAUUUCACAAAAAUCCAAUAUUGGGGUAAAAAGUUAUGGACGUUUUAUAGAAAGCAAUCUAAACAACCCAGGUGCGAUGGACCAUCGAGCUAGCGAUGGACCAUUGUCCAGACCAUCACAGCUGAGGCAGUAGUCCCAGUUCUAGUCCAGGUGCGAAUGGUCAGUCCGACGGACCAUCGACCCAGCGACGGACCGUCGCACCCACCGUCACAUAUCCCGUUUAGUGAUUUUUAGUCAUUUUAGAAAGGACUUUUUGGUCCUUUCCACCCUUUUUAACACCUAUUUAUAUCAGAUUAAGACUCCUAACUUCAUUAUUCAUCUAUUACAUCAAAAGCUAGGGUUUCUUUCAAGAUCAAAACCCUUCUUCAAGAAAACUCAAGAAACUAAUAAUCUCUCCAAGAACCUUCAAGAAAGAGUCUCCUAAGGUAUGUUAGAUGUUGAUUCUUGGGUUCCUUCCACCCAAGAAGUCCAAGAAUCCUUUUCAAAAUUACAAAUUUUAUGUAUUUAUGAGAUUUCAUGAUAUAUGUGUAUUGAAGUUCAUGAUUAUGUGUUGUUGAGUUUUAAUUCGUGAUUGAGACUACAGGUAUUAAGAAUUGAUUCUAGCAUGUGAUUAACUGUGUGAUAUUCAUAAUAAACCCUCUUCAGGUUGCAUGUUGGUUAAUGAAAUCAUGAUACUUAGGUGUAGUAUUUGUUGUAUAACCAAAGCAUGCUCCCCAUAUAUUUGAUAAAAUUCUUGUGUGAAGGAAAUAAGGUCAUUAUAGCAUGUUGACAAGAAAUCCCCAAAUUGUGUAUAAAUUUAUGAAUGCCAAGUAUUUGUUGAAAUACCUUAGUAAAUGAAUUAUGAUAUGUUGCAUGCAUUCUUAUGCUUAUGCAUUCCUUAUUGAAUGAAUUAUGAGAAAUUAGUAUGCAUCCCUAUACCUUUACACAUUUUAAGAUUCCAAAGUGCUUGAAGAAAUGCUUUAGUGAUUGUAAUGGUGAAUGAAAGUCCAUUGUCAUGGUUAUUCAAGAAUGGUUAUGUUUAACUUUUAUAUUAUCGAUUCCUGGGGGUAUUUAUACCUGACAAAUUAGCUGCAAGUCUAGAACGAGUAUCAGUUUCAAGAUACUUUCAAUCAAGCCAUGAUUAGUAGAAUCCAGACAGUUACAAAACGUAAGGAAAUUCAGUAAUCUCAGUAUUAGUGCAAUUUAGUCUCAAUAUCAGUCUAAUCCAACUCAGUAUUCAGUUCCAGUUCAAUAGUAUUCAGUAUUGAGUUCAGGCUUCAGUGAAACUCAGCAAGCUAACAAGAAUUCAGUAGUAUUCAGUCAGAUAGUAGAAUCCGAUCAGCAUUCCGUCAGAUAACGGAACCAAGCAAACUCAGUCAGACUAGUCAAGUAAUAUAGUCAAUAACAGAUUCAACUCCAUCUAAGUUCAGUUAAGAAUCAGUUCAGAGUCUUUCAGUUGCGAGUAGGAACUAGCAGCGAGCGAGUGCAGAGAUGACGACUUCCCCGUUAGAGAGAAAGAGUUGUUAGCAGUAAUCUCUAUACUCUAGAACUGCGUAGCUAGUGCAGGAUCAGGAGUCACCCGCUAGAUUAAGGCUUGACUACCUUCUACGAGUCACCCCUUGCCUUAGGCUUGACUUCUUGUUUAGGGUCGCCCAUUAGAGAGGCUUGACCAUAGUAGUGUCUAUAUCCGUGGCACGGUAUUGACACCCUUCUAGCUGGGGUUACAGGUUGGACCCCACUAGUUCAGAUUUGGGGCAUGUCGGUUAAGUGAGAACUCCCACAAUUACAGUUCAGUCUCAGACAUCACAGCAACACUCAGAAAUUAGGACUGUCAGAUACAAUCACCUAUCUCAGUAAGGAACUUAGAUAGUUCCAUAGAUUCAUGGACCACCCACUAAAUAGGCCUGGUCUCAUAUAAAGUUAAUCAAUAUUAGUACUAAUAGAUCCAGAGAUCACCCGUUAGAUAGUCCUGAUCUUAAACUAAGUCCAUUAUUUUUAUUAUAAAAAGAUUCAGACAUUUUUUGCUACAUAUAAUCUAAUCUCAGAUACAAUUAUUCCUUAUCAUUAUUAGUAGAUUCAGAGAUUAUUCAUUAGAGAGGUCUGAUAUCAGAUUUAGUCAGUCGAUAGUAGCAAGCUCAGAACUCAGUUAUUGAUAUGAGUAGAUUCUGUUAUUCAGUAUUCUAGAGUUAGUAAACUCAGAUAUCAGUAUUAGUAGACCCGAUCAUCAGUAAGUCAGUAUUCAAAAACCAAUAUUCAGAGUUAGUAUUCAGUGUUACUGCGAUUCUAGUUUUGGUUUGUGCGUUCAUGCAUAUAUCCCUAUAUUCAGUUAAGUAAUGUUCAUGCAUAAGCCCUUGCAUUCAGCCUUACCUCAUCUAGCAUACCAGUACAUUUAAAGUACUGACGCAUACUUUCCUGCGCUAUGGUGUCUUAUACCAUAGGUUCAGACGUACGGGAUCCAGAGCACCCAUAGCAGUCCAAACUUAGUCAGCAACAGUAGACGUAGCAUUGAGUCCUCUUCAUUCGAGGAUGAUCCGUAUUUUAUUAUUGCAUUACAUUUGGUUUAUUUUUAGCAGAUGGAGUUAGUUGGGUACAUAUCCCAUCAACUCCAUAGUUCAGAUAGUUUAGAGGCUUUUCAAACAGAUGUAUCAGUAUUUAGUUUCUAGUUUUGAGUAUUUUAGAUGUUUUGAACCUUAUGGAAAGUUUCUGCCAGUUUUAUGCAUUUAUUACCUAUAUUAUCCAGUGCUCAGGUACAAAUAUCAGAAGAGAGUUAACUUGUGGUCCUUCAGGGUCAUGAGCACCGUGUGGCAUUUUGGUUAUAGAAAAUCGGAGCAUUACAUCUUGGCUGUCUCUAGUAUUGUAUCUCCUUUGAUUUUCAUUCAUACUCAACAAAGCUGUACCUUCAUUCAUUUCACUCACUACAUUUCCAUGUGAACCAAAAUUAGACUCACAAAUAAUUCUCUGACUUUCUUCAUGAGCUAACAUAGCAUGAGCCUGACUGACGGAAAGAGUUGGUACCAUUAAGAGAAUUUGACUUCUAACAGAAUUAUACGACUCAUUCAAUCCCAUCAUAAAUUGAAAAAGCUUUUGUUGUUCCAAAUGAACAAGAAAUUCUUUUGACUUAGCACAACCACACACACUAGGAAUCAAAGACUGAUACUCAUCCCAUAAUAAACGUAAUUGUAAAUGAGAGAUAUUAUCAGUACCUUGAGAAAUUGUGGCCAUUUCUCUAUGUAAAUUGUAGAUUCUCGAUCCAUUCACCUUAUCGAAUCACUCCUUAAGAUCCAUCAUACUGCAUGAGCAUCAUCUGCAUACACGAUUCUAUUUACCAAUUCCUUAGAUACCGUAUUCAUAAUCCAAGUCAGAAUCAUGGCAUUAACGCGCUCCCAUUCUUCUACCGUAUCACCCUUGAACAAGCUCCUCUUGCAUGUACCAUUGAUGAACCCCAACUUUCGUUUAGCUCAAAGUGCAAUUUUCAUUGCUCUGCUCCAGACCGAAUAAUUCUUAGAUCCUUUUAGCUGGACUGAGAUUAUCACAUUUCCUGGGUUAUUAGAUGGUUGUAAGUACAGGGGAUGGCGAGGAUCAUUGAUAUCCAAAUCCACCAUUGUUAGCCCACGAAGAAAAACUCUAAAUCAGUUGAAACAAAUCAACAAUGUUUUCGCAAGCCCAAGGUGUACCUUUGAUCUGCCUAACCUGACUCUGAUACCAUGUUAAACUCCCACCAUUGAUGGAUUACUGGACAAAGAUGAGAGAGUUAUCUAGGCAAAAUAAGGGAGAGAAAACUAACUGUUUGCAUUACUCUGUAAAAUGUACAAGAGUGAGUUUACAAAAUAUCUACACAUGGCCUUUUAUAUAACUUCCUAAUUCUCUUAACCGACAACUGUCAAUCACUCAAUUUAAUCCUAACUAACUCAACCAACACAUCAACCACUAACAGUUACACUGAUUUACAUGUAUGCCACUAAUCACCUAUAUCAUCUUUGCUUAUUAUUUCAACAAAAAUAAAAGAGGAAAACCUCAAUAAAAGAUUACCAAUGAUGCAAAGAGGUAUUAGGAUGAAGAUACAUGGAUUCCUCCAAACUCGAUGACCUCUAAUCUUACUUUGAACAUAUGGAGAUGAAAUAUAUAAAUUAAUCUUAAUAUCAGUUCAAAGAAUUUUCUUCAUUUGGAUUACUUUAUUUUUGCAGAAACAGUAUCAACCUCAAAUACAAUUCAAUAAAUAAUAUCACAAUAGAGAAACAGAGAGAAAUUGUAAUCAAAUAGAGAAUUUUUGAAAAGAACCCAAAUAAAGUGAGAAAAAAAAUGAAGAUGAUUAGAAAGAAUGAAAAAUUUCUAGAUAAAGGUAAAAAAUAAUGAUGUGGUGGAUAUUCAAACUUAGAAUAGCUGACAUGUUGAAAUUUGGUCUGAUGUGAAAGCCAUUAAUUGAAAUGACCAAAAUACCCUUCAUCAAUUUAACAAAGACAUGAAGCACACAUGUCAAUCCUUACUGGCACUUCUAAUAUAGUAGAAAAAUAUCUAUGAUGUAAGAAAUAUAUGUAAUUAUUAUAAUUUAAAGUUUGACAGAAAAAUUAAAACUUGACCAAGUUUCUUUAUAAAUAUUUAAAAUUUAUAUUUAAUUAAUGAUGUCACAAUUUAUGGAAAAAUCUAAACUAUAUUUUGUUUUAAAAUGUCAAAUAUGACUUAAAACUUAAUGUAAGGAAUAUAUAAAAUUAAAAAAUGUGGUCCGGGAGUGGUCAUUCGCAACUUUUCAGGUGAUUGGAUCACGGGUUUCUCUACCAUGGGCAAUAGCCAUUGUCAUACACUGGCUGAACAUGAAGCCUUAAAAAUUGGUAUUGACUUAGCCUCACACGUAAUAUCUUACCUAUUAUUAUUGAAACUGACUCGGUGGAGGUAAUCCAACUGUUACAGCAUCCUACCAUGCCGUUUACUGAUAUUUUAUCUCAAUACAGGUCAAUGUUGAAGAGCAUGGGGAAUCCAGUGGUACAACAUAACAUUCGGGAGGCUAACAAAGUAGCAGAUAGUUUAGCCCGUGCAAGUUUCUCUUUAUCCCAGUUUUGUUAAGUAAUUUCUCUUCAGUCUUCUCCGUAUUUGGCCGUUGUACAUUUGCAAAAUGAUGUUGAUGGUGUUGUUAGUGAUCAUUUUGUGUCCUGUUCGUUGUUUAAUAACCUCUUAUGUCUAGGAAUCAGUCUAUUUUAUCUCAUGUAAAUAGCAAUGCUAAGCCUAUUACUACUAUAACUACUGUAUGUAAUUCCACCAGUUCAGGUGCCUCUCACAGAAGAGAGAUCUCCCUGUUUUGUAAUGACUCUCUCUCUCUCUCUCUCUAUAUAUAUAUAUAUGUAUAUAUAAUAUCCAGUUUACCAAAAAAAAUAAAUUAAAACUACAUCAUUAUUAAAGUGUAAAACAUUUCAUGAUUUUAUCAAAUUAUACUACAUUCAUUAUAUAUUUUGCACAUAUUAAUUAGGCAUUUUUAUAUAUAACUUAUCUAGGUGACAGCCUUAGUCUAGAAAAUCAUAUCAUAUUAUACAAGUAACUGGGCAUUAGAUUAAUUAGAUUGUACUUUUAUUUAUGUGUAUGGAACUUACUAGUUACUAUAUUUAGGAUCUAACUAUCAAUGUAACUAUAUGUUUAUUUAACUAGGGUGCGAUUUAAGUGAAAGGGAGCAUAAAUAGUUGAAUUUAGAGAAGGUGCCUUAUAUAAAAAAUCACUUAUACGAUAAAAGACACCCUCAACUUUCACAAGAGUUUUACACAUAUUCUCAAUAUCACAAAACAAUCUGAAUUUAAAGGAGUUAUUCUUUACUAUUUAUAGUCUAAUCUAAUUAGUAAUAAAAUAUCCUUAGUGAAAUAAGUGUCUUUUUAAGCAUGCAACUUGUAUUUAGAGAAUAGCUUCUUUUUGCACAUAAAUAUUUUUUUCAUACUUUUAUUUUCUUUUAAUUGGAGCCUUGUACUUUCACUUUAGCUUGCUAGUGAUUGUCAAGUCUUCCUUCCAAAUUCCCAACACAAUGACUUGAUGUGAUGUUCUUGAGCUACUCAGCUUCCUUGACGUGCAUGCAUCAAAAGGUGAGAUCUGAAAAUGAUAUAUUAAUUGUGAAUAGGAUAAAGAAUCUGAAUUACCAGCUAAUUAUAGAGACAUGAACAUAAAAGAUAUUACAAAAGAACAUGUAGUACCUUACCUCCAUGCUAAAUCAUUAAUGAAGUUUCAGACAAUGUCCAACGAAUGAAUCAUUGGAUAGUUAGUCUAUUAUUAGCAUAUCAGCAAAAUACUUUAUUCCAGAGACUUUUAAGGAACUUUUAUUAAAGAGGGAACGCGAAUUUUCCAUUCGAUCCUAAUUUUUUGUCUCAUGGAUUUAAGACAACUAAAUCCUCAGAGAAAAUUCAUACCCUACAUAAACGGCCUUGUUAUGUUACAUGAGCUGAAGGACUAGUAUGAUUGGUGAUAUUGUCAAUGGAUGUCAAGUAAAAAUACUUUUUUGUGUUUUCUAUUGUAAUAUAUGUUCUUUCCUUAAUUUUGUUGUUGUUUCUUUGUUUAAUGUGGAAUUGAACAUCUUUCAUGUUUUUUUAUUUGUUUGACUUGGAUGACAAAUAAAGAGUCUUUAGAAUUAUAACUCUUGAAGAAAUAAUUAAGGCAUUCAUGAAGUAGGUUUCUUCAUAGAAUCCUUUUUUGUUCUCUUCCUUUUUUUUUUUAAAUCAACACUAAGUUAUUCGAAGUAUUUACUCCGUCAUCCAAAUCAAGAAAACAAAAAUUUAUGAAAGAUGUGCAAUUUACAUUAAAAGAAGUAACAACAACAAAACUAAGAAGAGAGUAUAUACUUCAACAAAAAAUACGACAAAGAUUUACGAGUUGACAACCACCAAAAACAACAUCAACGAUACUAAUUCUUUGGGUCAUACAACAUAACAAGACUAUUAAUGUAGGUAUAAAUCUUCUUUGAAAAUUUAGUUGUUCAGGGCUCAUGAAACAAAACUUUAGAAUUAGAUUGAAAAUUCACAUUUUUUCUUUGAUCAAAAUAGCUUUAAAUUAUUUUGAACGAAGUAAUUUGCUAUUAUGAUAAUAAUGGAGUAACUAUUCAGUAUAUUUAUUCUUUGGACACUGCAUGAAACUUUAUUAAUGACUUAGCGAGGAGAAACGACACUACAUAUUUCUUGGCCACAUAUUUGAUAUUCAUAUCCUAUAUAAUCACCAGAUAUUUCAAAUUCUCCAUUUCAUUGCAGUUACUAUAUUAUUAGAGGCCGCUUAUUAGGUUUCUUAAGUUAACUCUUGAAGUACUUCCUGAUACGUCUAUAAUAAUGGGUAAAUAAUUUCCAUUUAUUUAACUACCAUAUAAUAAUUAUAUCACUAGAUAUAUUUUUUAAGAUAAUAAUACAUUAAUUAACAAGAGCUCAAAUCAUAAUAUGUAAUUAAAAACUUUAAUAUACUUACCUCAUUGUCACUGACACUUGUCAACCCAUGAGUUUUUGAUGAAUCACCUUCAACAAAGUUUUUAGCUAAAUCUAACAAUCAUCAAAUGAAUACUACUCUCCUCUUUCAAAUUAUAUUGCUUGACUCAAAAAUUAAUUAAUGAUCGAUAUAAAAUUUGAUUAUAGAAUCUCUAAUUGUAUAUCUUAAAUUUAAUAGCUAAAGAUGCGUUCAAAUUCAAUAGGUAGAACUGUAUAUGUUAUUUCUAGGAUCUAAGAAUCGGGGAAAACGAUUAAGUGAAAAUUACUCUUUUAUAUUUUUAAGAUUUACUUUUUACCUAGUGAUCAUCAAAUGACAAAUCGUUCAAUCAAGAAAUUUGAAACCCUUAGAACCAUAAUCUCACAUGAUUGACCAAAUCGUAUGAGACAUAUGAUCUAUAAGAAAUUAAAGAAAUGACUUUAACUAGUUGGCAAGAUGUAAAUAAAUAAACAAAUUCAAAUACAAUACUACAAAAUGAAAUCACAAUAUUAAUUCCACAAUUUAUAAGAAAAUCAAUAUAUAAAAAUGAAUCUUACAUUUUUAAUUUUCUAUUUUUAUUUUUUUCUGAAACCUAUAUUGAUUUAAGGACAAGAUUGAAAAAUUUACCUUGAAUAAUGAUGCUGGCACCCACAAAGAAAUUCAUUUUCAAAUGAAUUUUGUUACCCGCUAAAGAAUUACAAAGAUUUAAUCAAGCUCAAUGACAUUGAGUGAUGAGAAUAAUUUAAACAAACACACACACAUACACAAACAUAUAAUUCAUUAAAAAUAAAGGAAUAUAUAUAAAUUUAAAUGCCACAUACCUUUCGCAGAAAAAGAGAAGAAUGAAAAUGAAUUACAACUUCAUAGGUUUUAUAGAGGAAAUUAUAUGUCUAGAAAAGAUUACAAUAAUUUCUAUUUAAUUCACUUAUGAUUUUAAAGGCAUAGUCAUUAAUUUUAGUUUGACUCACUUUUAAUUCUAACUGAUACUAAUAAAUUAUAAUAAAGGCAUAGUCAUUAAUUUUUAUUUGACUCACUUAUAAUUCUACUUAUUGAUACUCCGUUACUAAAUACUUGUCACUAUUUUGGUUUGCAUUUUCUUAAGAACAGGCUAAAUUGAUUAACUUUCCCUUAUUAAUUAAUUUUUUUAUAUUUAAUACUUCUACUUUUUGCACUAUAUUAAACAUCUCUUCAUAUUUAUGACUAAUGAAAAAUGUGCAAAAAAUACAUAAUUAUGUCUUAAUUUUUUAAAAUGACAAGUAUUAUGAAAUAUCUAUUUUUAAUAAGAACGAUAAAUAUUUAGGAAUGAGGAGUAAUAAUAUACACUAAAUCCAUAAUGAUUAAUAAAUGUGUUAAAUCUGAAAAACAUAAGAGAAUCACAUAUGAACAACCGAAAGUCAUGUAUGACUGAUAUCGUAAAUUAAUUAUAAUCAUACUUGAUAUGACUAAAUACUUAGAUAUUGUAGUGUGAAGUUGCUAACACAACACUUGAUUAAUAAAGCAUUCUAUUUGGACUAGAUAAGUGAUACCUGUGCAAGCACGGGCCUAACACAGUGAUUUAUUAAAUAUAUCGAGUCUGUGUAGAAUCAUAUAAAUUCAGAUAUGAUAAUAUAGUACAACCCGCGUUCAGUGAAUAGAGGAAUAUUAAUUUACAACCCAUCGUGUAAAAUAUUAAAGUGAACAACUAAACAUUGGAUUGCCCAAGUAAUUGGUAAAUAAAGGUGAAUGAGCAAAACAUAAUGUCUUCCGCGUCGUCCACCUUUAUGUCCAUGUUGAUGUCUCUACUACUCCAGCUUGACGCUGCAAAAGUAGUAAUAAUGGAUAGAAAAUUUUGUUGUUAAAACAAAUAAAUCCCCAGCAACUCUACUUUUAAUACUGAAUUGAUGUAAAAGUUGAACCACGAAUCGCAAUGAAAUCCUAAAUUAGUGUAUACUUUCAUUUCAGAAAAAAAACAGCAUUACGUAAAUUUCAGAAUGUUGACAAGUAGUAUCAAGAGCUAAGGUGCUCUUAUGUGUUUUUGCAGGUGAGAGAGAAAUGAUUAGUAGCCAGUUCCUUGAAUGUUUUUGGGAAAAUCUAUUAACAAUACUCAAGGAAAUUUUAUCAAUAAAACUAUCAUUACUCUCUACAUUCCGCUACCGUAAACUAUUAGUUCAUAUUUUUUUUCUUUUUUUAUUCAAGUUUCUUUAGGAUAUUUUUUAAGUACCUUCCGAAAGAAUUUAGAUUGUAGGAAUGCAGGGUACCUGUAUUAUAUUCUUAGGCUAAAUUCAUGAAUCUGAACGUGACAAAAUUGUAUAUUGAAUUGAAAAAAAUUAAACAACUUUUCAUUAUUUAAGCCCAAUCAAAGUUUGUAGCAGACAAAACAAUGUAAACACUAUAUUAAAAUGCUAUAUCUAAUAACAUGAAAAAGUGAAUGAGCAGAUUUGUCGUUCUUUAUAGAUUCUUCGGUUAUUUCAUUUGAUCAAUGCCACAGAACCUUUGUUGUCAUAGUCAUCUUCAAUCUCCUCCUAUUUAAAGACACGAAUGACAUUGUUUUCUCUUUUAUAAUUUCAUGUGCUCGUAAAAUCUAGGGAUAUUAUCUAGGUACUCUUUCUAAGUUCAAAAAAAAAAAAAAAUUUUGCUCUUAACCCAUUCGGAUUCGCUUGUUUUAAGUGCUUUUAAGUCAAAAUUAAUUUUUAAGUACGUGUUUGAAUAUAUUUAAAAAAUGCUUAUAAACUGUUAAUUUUAAGCUAAAAUGCUAAAAAUAAGUCAAAAGUAGGAUGACAAUGGGCGGUGCGAGUGAGGGGCGGUGCGGGUUUUAAGCUAUGCGGGAUGGUGCAGGUUAAAGUAUUUUUUUUUUAAAAUGGUGUGGCGCGGUGCGGGUUGCGGUUAUAUGCAGAUUUAAAUUAAAAAAAGCUAAAAAUUAGUAUUAUUCUCGUGAAUAUACCUAAAAUUAUAUGUAUUUUUUACUUAAAAUUUUAUGAUACUUAAAAUGACAUGUAUAACACUACAAAUAAAUAAUUUUAUAAUUUUUUUAAUAUCUCUAUUUAUUUUUUUAAAAAAUGAUAUUUAAUCAUUACUUGUACAUGUGAUACUUUUUGACAAUUUAUUAUUGAAAAACGAUAGAAUAGAAAAUAGUUGUUCUUUUAGAUUUGAAAAUAUUAUGACUUUCAAUGGAGUUACGAAUUUUUUAAAACAAAAAGAAAUACAAGAACAUGAGGCGGUGCGGUGCGGUGCGGGUAUACGCGGGUAUGAGUGCAGGGAGGGUUUAUGCGCAUUUAAAGAUAAUGCGGUACAGUGCGGUUUUAAAAUUUGCGGGUUUAGAAAAAAUCCGCACCGCACCAUUGCCACCCCUAGUCAAAAGUCAUAAAUUAAAAAUCUUAACUUAUGGUUUUUGACUUAAAAUGCUAAAAAUAAUUCAAAAAGCUAUAAGUUAAAAUUUCUAGCUUAUGGCUUAUACAUCAAAAGUCAAAAAGCUAAAUGCCAAUCCAAACAGGCACUAAAACGAAUAUCAUAACUACAUUAACAACUGACACACUAAUUAAGUACCUGAUAUAUAAUUUUUCAAUAACUUUCAUAGCCAAAUUUAAACUAUCUAAAUAUCUAUAAUUCUAUAAAAAGUAUCUUUCUAAUGAGAACCUUUAAGUUUAUCAAAAUAUAGAUCAAAACUGGAGAUAUCAUGUGGAAUAUAAAUAAAGACAUUUUGCCUAUAUGUAAGUUACACUUACUUGGCACAAAUAGUCUGUCAUCAUUCUUGAAGUACCUAGUUUAAAAAUUGUAUUCCUAUUUCGUUUUCAUGCAAUGAUUCUGAUAAAAUUUACAGCUUCUGAUUGUGCUUGCACCGUUCAAAUCCAUUUUAUAUUCAUGAUAUGCUAACUAAAAUACUAUUACAUCCUAGUGUUAAGAACUUAUAUGGUUCAAACGUCUUUGGGUUGGCCCAAAAACAAGGACUAACCCGCCACUAUAAGGCUGACCGAGCCUAAAACAGUCCACAAAUUUGCUCCCCGAUAAGAAGCUCACAAGUAUCCUAAUCCUAAAGGGUUCCAAUGUUUUAAGUGCCAAGGUUAGGAACAUAAAGCCAAUGAAUGUCCAAACCGACGCAAUGUGAUCCUAAGGAAAGGGAUAUUGUAUUACCUUGGUGAGGAAGUGGGUCUUGAAAAAGAAGAGAAUGAGGCCGAUCCUUGAGAUGGAGAGGAACCCGAAAAUGAGCCACAUAAUGAUGAUGAUGAUGAUUGUGAGGAUGCUUAUCCACAAGAAGGGGAGUGCGUGGUUCCAAACUUUGUAGUGAGGCAUGCCAUGAUUAGUAAGGCGAUAAAUGAUCCUAGCCAACGGGAGAAUCUAUUCCAUACUAAAUGCCUUGUGAAGGGAAGUGUGUGCGCUUUGGUGAUAGAUAGUGGUAGUUGUGCAAAUGUUGUUAGUGUUGCUAUGGUGAACUUCUUGAAAUUGCCAACUACAUUUCAUACUAGCCCUUACAAGUUGUAAUGGUUGAAUGAAUAUGGUGAAUUAAAAGUCAUGAGGCAAUGUGUGAUAUGGUUUAAGGUAGGAAACUACCACGACGAAGUUCUUUGUGAUGUAAUACCAAUGCAAACGUGUCACUUGUUGUUAGGUAGACCUUGGAAAUAUGAUAGGUCUACCAAACAUGAUGGGGGGUCUAAUCGAUAUACACUUAAGAAGGAUGGCCGAAAGGUCACACUUCAUCUACUUUUGCCUUCACAAGUGAAUGAGUUGCAUCAAAGGAUGAUAGAAUUGAAAGAAAAGGGGAAGAAAUUCAAAAAUGAAGAAAAAGAGGGGGAACCCGUAGGAUGGGUAGUGGGGAUAUCCGAGGCUGCCUCAACAUCAAAGGGAAAAUAAAACAUGGUGAUGUUGGUUAGAAAGAAGGAACUCUUCAUUGAUCAUGAUGAGGAGACACCCAUGCUUCUUUUGGCACAUUAUUUUAACACUAACCCCACUAAUUCUUCUAUUUCUCCUUUGAUUUCUUGUGUGUUGCAGGAUUAUGAAGAUGUUUUCCCAAAGAACUUCUACAAGGGAUGCCCCCGCUUUGGGGAAUUAAGCACCAAAUAAAUUUUGUGUCGGGAUCACAAUUGCCAAACAAACUGGCUUAUUGGAGCAACCCGACGGAUAUCAAGGAAUUGCAAUGCCAAGUUGAGUAACUCCUUAACAAAGGGUAUAUCAAGGAGAGUAUGAGCCCUUAUACGGUCCCGGUGCUACUAGUUCCCAAGAAAGAUGGGACUUGGCGUAUGUGCAUUAAUUGCCGAGCCAUCAAUAAGAUAACGGUAAAAUAUCGUCACCCUAUUCCUAGUCUAGAUAAUAUGAUUGAUGAAUUGAGUGGUUUGUGUUUGUUUUCUAAAAUUGAUUUGAGGAGUGGCUAUCACUAAAUCCGUAUGCAACUGGGCGAUGAGUGGAAAACCGCCUUUAAGACCAAAUUUAGUCUCUAUGAAUGGAUGGUUAUGCCAUUUGGCCUAACAAAUGCUCCAAGUACUUUCAUGAGGCUAAGGAAUCAUGUGAUGAAGUCUUUUAUCGAAAGGUUUGUUGUUGUCUACUUUGAUGAUGUGUUAGUGUAAAGUAGGUCCUUAGAUGAGCAUGUAAAACAUUUACAAUGUGUGUUUGAUGUCCUCCGAAAGGAGAAGUUAUAUGCUAAUUUAGAAAAGUGUUCUUUUGGUGUCCAAGAAGUUGAAUUUCUUGGUUUUGUGGUGAGUUCAAGAGGGGUCAAAGUAAAUGAAUCUAAGAUUGAUUCUAUCAAAAAUUGGCUAACUUCCAAAACCAUAGGUGAAGUGAGAAGCUUCCACAGGUUGGCUAGUUUCUAUAGAUGUUUCGUCAAAGGAUUUAGAACCAUUGCCGCCCCCUUGACCGAAGUGAUUAAAAAGGAUCGGCCUUUUAAGUGGGGAGAUGAACAAGUUAAGGCCUUCAAGGACUUAAAAUCUAUGCUUAUCUCAGCCCCUUUGUUACAAUUGUCGAAUUUUGACAAGACUUUUGAGGUUGAAUGUGAUGCUAGAAAAGUUGGUAUAGGCGCGUUUUUAAUGCAAAAAUUGAAGCCUAUUGCCUACUUUAGCAAAAAUCUCAAAGGAGCAACUCUAAACUACUCUACGUAUGAUUUAGAGUUGUAUGCCUUGAUUAGAGCCUUGGCCACUUGGAAACAUUAUUUAUGGCCUAAAGAAUUCGUGAUCCGAACGGACCAUAAGUCCUUGAAGCAUCUUCGGGCACAAGAUAAGCUUAAUAAAUGGCAUGCCAAGUGGAUUGAGUUUCUUGAAACUUUCCCUUAUGUUAUUCAUUACAAGAAGGGUAAGGACAAUGUGGUUGCUGAUGCUUUGUCUCAAAAACAUGUUCUUGUGUAUACUUUAUCUUCAAAAUUAAUGGGUUUUGAGAUCUUAAAGGAAUUGUAUCCCAGGACCCUCACUUUGCUCCUAUCUAUAGGGAAUGCGAAGAAUGGGGUAGGGACAAGUGGGAUUUGGCUAGGGGUUCAAAUCCCUAUGCCAAGUUUGGCGGUUACUUGUUUAAAGGUAGGCGAUUAUGUGUACCCUCUAUUUCUUGGAGAGAGUUUUUCAUGAUGAAAGCACAUAAUGGAGGUUUAAUGGGUCACUUCGGGGUCGAAAAGACCCUCGGAAUAUUGGAGGAGCAAUUCUAUUGGCCCAAAAUGCACAAGGAUGUGUCUAGGAUUUGCGGCCAAUGUGUAGAUUGCAAAGGAGCCAAAUCUCGGCUCCAACCUCAUGGGUUUUACACCCCGCUACCCACCCUUUUACAUCCUUGGCUUGAUAUAUCUAUGGAUUUUGUGUUAGGGUUGCCAAGGACUAGAAGAGGUCAGGAUAGUAUCUUUGUUGUGGUUGAUCGGUUUUCUAAGAUGGCACCCUUUAUUCCAUGCUCUAAAUGUGAUGAUGCACCUAGUGUGGCCUCUUUGUUUAUUGAUAAUGUUGUCAAGUUGCAUGGUGUUUCGGGGACCAUUGUGAGUGAUAGGGACUCUAAGUUCCUAAGUCACUUUUGGAAGUCCAUGUGGGGUAGGCUUGGUACCAAGUUGUUGUUCUCCACUUCCCUCCACCCACAAACCGAUGGCCAAACGGAAGUAGUAAAUAGGACUUUGGGUGCUAUGCUACGUUCCAUGAUUAAGGGAAAAUUGACUUCUUGGGAGGAACACCUACCAUUGAUUAAGUUUGCCUAUAAUUGUGUCAUACACUCAAGUAGGGGAAUGACUCCCUUUGAGUGUGUAUACGGCCUCAACCCCUUUGGAUUUAAUUCCUUUGCCAAGUGAUCUUAUGAUUAGCCUAGAUGUACAAAAACGGGCAGAUUUUAUGAAAAAGUUGCAUGAAUAGGUGCGGCUUCAACUUGAGAAGAAAAAUCAAGAGAUUGCAAAGAGAGCAAAUAAAGGAACAAAUAAACUCAUUCUUAAACCUAGAGAUUGGGUAUGGGUGCACCUUAGGAAGGAUCGAUUUCCAUCUCAAAGGAAGACCAAAUUGAUGCCAAGGGGUGAUGGUCCAUUCCAAGUACUUGAAAGAAUCAAUGAUAAUGCCGACAAGAUUGACCUUCCCCCAGAAUACCAAGUACAUAACACUUUCAACAUGUGUGAUCUUUCUCUAGUGGAUGCGGUUGAGGAUGACCAAAUGUUGAAUUUGAGGUCAAAUUCCUCUCAAGAUGGAGAGGAUGAUAUGGGUGUACCAAGCUGUCCAACAAGUUCUACAAGCUGUCCAACAAGUUUAUGACCAUUCACACGUAGCCAAGCUCGGGAGUUACAAAAAUUCCAAGCUAUGUUCACGCAAAUGGCCAUGUGUGAGUUGGUACUUGAGCCUUCCAAUGGAUUUAAAUGUGUUUAAGUGUGAAGAGGAGCCUUAAAGUGUAAUAAACUUACACUCCAAGGCCACCCCUUGGCAAGGGUAGGAUGGUCAUUUGUUAUCUCACUUUGUGGACUAAUAUAAAUAGAUAGUGUUAGGGUUAUUUUUGAGUUAGUUCAUUCAUAUUUUGGAAGACAACAAACACUUUGUAAUAAUUUGAAACUUCUCUCUUCCAUUGGAGAAGACCCAAUUCUCAAAACUCACUNNNNNNNNNNNNNNNNNNNNNNNNNNNNNNNNNNNNNNNNNNNNNNNNNNNNNNNNNNNNNNNNNNNNNNNNNNNNNNNNNNNNNNNNNNNNNNNNNNNNNNNNNNNNNNNNNNNNNNNNNNNNNNNNNNNNNNNNNNNNNNNNNNNNNNNNNNNNNNNNNNNNNNNNNNNNNNNNNNNNCUUGAGUUGUUGGAAGCUUGAAGUCUAGUGAAGCCAUGUGAGGCUCUUUCGAUUCACUAGCAUUAUUAUUGAUUUUCUUGUUCUUGUUGUUAAUAUCAUUUUCUUAUUCUAAAAAUGUGACUCUUGAAGACUAGUGAAGCCGUGUGUGGCCUAUUUCGAUUCACUAGCACUUGUUGUUCAUCUUGUUGUUAUUGUUGUUGUUUGUUUCUUGUGUUGAGAACUUGGGCUUGUAUCACCUAGAUUGGACAACGGAUAAUAAUGUUGAGCUCCUCCAAGACCUUUAGUGAGUAAAUCAGCCUCUUUUUCACUGGUUGGGAUGUCCACUGGAUGUAUCAGAUUCUAUUGUACCUUCUCCCUUAUAAAAUAACAGUUAAUCUCUAUUUGCUUUGUCCUCUCAUGAAAAACUGGAUUAUUUGCUAUCUACAUAGCUGCUUUACUGUCUGUAAGUAGCUCAAUAGAAGUAGGAAUCUCAACUCCCAGGAACUUGAACAAUCCUGUUAACCAUAUCAACUCUGAACUGUCAAAGCCAUACUUCUGUAUUCCGACUCUGCUGAGCUUCUUGCAACAGUGUUUUUUUCUUUUACUUCCAUGAAAUUAAUAAACCUCCAAACUUCACAAGAUAUCCUGUAAUUGACUUUCUUAAAUUGGGGAAGCUAGCCCAAUUAGCAUCACAAUAUGCUUUCAAUGAUAUGCUUUCUCUUGAGCUUAACAGAAUGCCAAGUCCAGGCUCAUUUUUAAUAUAUCUCACCACUCUAUACGCAGCUUCCAAAUGAGAAUUUUUGGGAUGUUGCAUGAACUGCAUUAGUGUUUGCACACUAUAAGCUAUGUUUGGUCUAGUUAGGGUCAAAUAUAAGAGUUUCCCAAUCAAUCUCUGAUAACUUUUUACACCACUCAAUGCCAAAUCUUCCACUUCAUUACAGUGCUUAUCAUAUUCCAUGCUAGUCAAGUUGUGAUUCUGCUCCAGUGGUGUAUAAGCAGGUUUUGAACCUGCUAAUCCUAAUUCAUCUAUCAUCUCCAAAGCAUACUUCCUUUGACAUAAUAAAAUCCCCUUUUGUGACCUAUUAACUUUAAUGCCCAGAAAAUACCUUAAAGUACCAAGAUCUUUAAGUUUGAAUGCUUUAUGUAAGAAAUUUUUGGCUUCCUGUAUUAAACCAUCAUCAUCACCGGUAAUUAGCAAAUCAUCUACAUAAAUAAGUGUGAUAACUUGUUUGCCAUGCUUGUUCAAUAUGAAAAGAGAAUGAUCAUGCUGACUCUGAAUAAAACCAGCCAACAAAAGAGCAUUAGAGAGCUUUAGGUUCCAUUGUCUAGACACUUGCUUUAAGCCAUAUAGAGAUUUGAGUAGCCUACAACUCUUAUUCCCCCUUUGGCUAUCAAAUCCAGGUGGAAGUUGCAUGUAAAAUUCUUCUUCAAGAUCACCUUGCAAGAAGGCAUUAUAAACAUCCAUCUGGUACAAGGAUCAAUUCUUCAUAGCAGCCAAAGCUAAUACAACUCGAAUUGUGACCAUUUUGACCACGGGAGAGAAGGUUUCUUAGUAGUCUAAACCUUCUUGUUGGAUAUAACCUUUAGCAACAAGUUGAGCCUUAAACCUCUCUACUUCUCCAGUAGACUUAUAUUUGAUCUUAUAUAUCCAUCGACAACCAAUGGGAACCUUGCCCUUAGGUAAGUCCACUACUUCUCAUGUAUAGUUAUGAACUAAAGCAUUGAGUUCACUCUACAUAGCAUCGACCUAUCUGGGAUCAGUGAUGGCUUCACCAUAACAACUAGGUUAAUAUCAGAGAAAAGUGCGGCAACAUAAGCCUAAGAAGAAGCUGAAAGUGAACUGUAACCCAACACAUUAGACAUAGGAUAUUUACAAGCUGGCCUAGCUUUAUGAGAACAGACAAAAUCAGACAUCCAUGCUGGAGUUUUAGAAGCUCUAGAAGACUUUCUCAACACUGGAAAAAUAUUAUGAGAUGUAGAAGGCAUUGGAAUAUGUGAAAGAUGACCAAAAGGAUUAGAAGAUGAAACUGGUGAUUCACUUGGAGCUGUAACAGGUGGAGAAGAUAUAACUGGUGCAUUAGCAGAAGGUAAUGCAUCAUGAGUAGGCACAAACCUUGGAGUAGGAAUAUCUAUGGAUUCAAAAAAUACAGGAAGAGAAUGACCGUGCUUCAUCUGUUGGAAAGGAAAGAUGUGCUCCCUAAAAGUGACAUCCCUGCUUAUAAACAUCUUCCCAAUCUUGAAGUCAUAUAAUUUGUAAGCCUUUUGAGAGGUAGAAUACCCCAUAUGCACAGCAGCUACAGAUCUUGGUGCAAACUUGUCAAUAAUGUGAGGAAUGGUAGCAAAACACAAACAACUUGUCACCCUUAAAUGAGUAAAGUAGGGACUAGAGUGAUAAAAUACUUCAUAGGGAGAUUUACCAUGUAAAACAAUAGAUGGUAUCCUAUUAAUGAGAUAGACUGCAACAAGUACACAUUCACCCCACAAAUGUAAUGGUAUACUACCUUGAAAUCUGAUAGCCCUUGACAUUUCCAAGAUACGUCUAUGCCUCCUCUCAACUACUCCAUUUUGCUGUGGAGUAUGAGGACAACUGGUUUGAUGCUCAAUGCCACUAUUUAAUAGGAAUUCUUUACAUUCUUUUCUAAGGAAUUCUGCACCAAUAUCUGUUCUUAUCAUCUUGAUUUUCUUGCCAAACUACACAUUAACCAUCUUGACAAAAUGCUUAAACAUAACAAUGGAGUCAUUUUUCAAUUUCAACAAGUAUACCCAUAUCAUUUUAGAAUGAUCAUCAACAAUGGUCAAAAAGUGUCUACGACCAUUACAAGUAGAAAUUCUAUAAGGCCCCCACAAAUCCAUAUGAAUUAAUUAAAAAAUUAUAGUAGACUAGUACUACUCAACGGGAAAGACUGUCUCACUUGUUUAGCUAAUGGACACACUGUACAAUUAUUAAACUCAUACAUUGGAACUUUAUGCUUCAGAAUAUCCAUCUUCUUCAUCACACUUGCAAGUAUAUGUCCAAGUCUUUUAUGCCAAACUUCAAAAUCUACUGUGGAGACUUCAGCUGAACAACUAUUCACUUUAUUAACGACAUUCAGAUCUCGUGUUUCAUCAUGAUCUUCAACCUUGAGAACAUAUAGACCUCCGUCUUCUUUACAAAUCCCCUUCACUCUCGUAUUUCAUAGGUUCUGGAACACAUAAAAUUUUGGAAAGAAAAGUACUGAGCAGUGCAGUUCCCUUGUCAGUUUUGACACAGAUAAUAAGUUAAACUUGAAGUCAGGUACAUAUAGGACUUCUCCUAUCUCAUAACCGUUCCCGAUUCUACAUGUACCUGGAUAAGUAAAAUGCACACUCUUACCAUUAGGGAGAUGCAUAUUACCCUUUCUGAAAUCUGGUAAAUCAGUCAUAUUUUUCAAUAUUUUUGAAUUGUUAGUCAUAUGGUUGGUUUCUCCUGUAUCUAUAACCCAAGAAUCAUUAUUUUCCCUGUAUAUUUAAAAGUAGCAUUACCUGCCAUGUUAACUGUAGGUACAUUUGUUGCUGCUUUUUCUUUGGUCAAGAGUCUAAUAAUCUGAUCAUAUUGCUCAUUAGUGAAAUAAUUCUGCAUUCCCGAUCCAUGAUUUCCGCUAGUACUACUGCUUGCCUCAUGAUUAAUAUCCCUAUGACAUUGCAUAUUUUGCAUAUUUUCAUGUUUCUGGUAUUGGCUACCCAACAUAUAUCCAUGGCGGUUACCUAUAUUUGAUCUGUAACCUGCAUCUUCACUUUCAAAGGAAUUGUUGUCAUUCAUUACUACAUUAGCUUGCCUGUAUAUUGGCUUGUUUUUUCCUUUAAAACCUAAUGGAUAACCAACCAUUUUAUAAUAAGUCUCUUUUGUGUGCCCUUUGUUUCUACAAAAUUCACAAAAUAAGUGGCCAAAGCUUCUAUGUAUCUCAAAUCUCUGAGAAGUUUUAGCAACAUUGUAUCUCUGCUGACUGUUAUGAAACUUAUCUUGGUUGUCUAUAGUAUUUUAUCUCCUUUGAUUUUCAUUCAUACUCAACAAAACUGUACCUUCAUUCAUUUCACUCACUAAAUUUCCAUAUGAAUCAGAAUUAGACUCACAAAUAAUUCUCUGACUUUUUUCAUGAGCUAUCAUAGCAUGAGCCUAACUGAUGGAAGGAUUUGGUACCAUUAUGAGAAUUUGACUUUUAACAGUACUAUACGACUCAUUCAAUCCCAUCAUAAACUGAAAAAGCUUUUGUUGUUCCAAAUGAACAAGAAAUUCUUAUUACUUAGCACAACCACACACACUAGGAAUAAAAGACUAAUACUCAUCCCAUAAUAAACAUAAUCGUGAAUGAUAGUCAGAGAUAUUAGCAGUACCUUGAUAAAUUGUGGCUAUUUUUCUAUGUAAAUUGUAGAUUCUCGAUCCAUUCACCUUAUCGAAUCGCUCCCUGAGAUCUAUCCAUACUACAUGAGAAUCAUCUGCAUACACAAUUCUAUUCACCAAUUCCUUAGAAAUCGAGGUCAUAAUCCAAGUCAAAAUUGUGGCAUUAACGCGCUCCCAUUCUUCUACCAUAUCGCGCUUGAAUAAGCUCCUCUGGUAUGUACCAUCUCAGCUCUAAUCCAAAUGAGUUGAGUGUGAAUACAAGUUUUAUGAUCAUUAUCCUAGUCUAUGGAGUAUUUUAGAGGUGAAAAAUGUUCAUAGCAAUGACCUAGAACAAAGUUGAGCUAAGACCAAUUGAUUCAUCCAAAGCUUGACAUUCGAUUCUACAACGGUCAACUUCAAAUGUGUAUAUCUCUUAAUAUACAUGGAAUUUUUAUCCCGAGACCUAUGAAAUUGUAGAUAAUUGAAUUAGCUUUCCAAAGAUAGCAAUUUUGCAAAAAUCCGAUACCCGAACGAAGAGUUAUGCCCAUUUUUGUGAGAGGCAGUAAGGGUGUGCGAUGGGCAAUGCGCCGCCCAAUCAAAUGUGUGCGAUUGGGAGUGCGAGGAACACUUAAAUGUCUGCCAUAAGGUGUGCGACGCACACCUUAAGAUCUGCCAUGGGUUGUGCGCCGCAUACCUCACUUCCAAGUGCCAAAAACACCCCAAUAUAUGUCUAUAACAUUGGAUUUAACCCCAAUUAUCCAAAGCCCUUUCACUUUCAUCAAAAAAUUGGUCAAGAAACUCGAAUAAGGUUUCAACUUGAGAACCCAAAUAAAUCAAAAACUAACCAUAGCUUUUCUAUAAUUUUUGGAUAUUCGGAAUCCUUAUUCUCUUUCGUUCUUGUGCCCAAAAAUACUUUCUUUUACAAAGUUAUGGAUUUCAUAUGUUUUACUAUGAUUUUGAAGCAUGAACUUAUAUCCUAUAUUGAUUAUCAUGAUAUUAUGAUAUUUUUGAUAAUUUUAGAAGCGGAAUUAUAUAAGAAUGAUGAUAUUUUGUGCCUUAUAAUAGAAUUUUCUAGAUUUUGAAGGGAUUUAUAUAUGUUUAUGAUGUAAAUCUUGAAUCUGGAUAAGUUUUAAUGUGAUAUUGAGACAUGAGUUUUGAACACUAUUUGAGAUUGUUGUUUUUGAGAAAUCAUGUGUUAUAAACACCUUGAGUUUGAAUGAUUUGAGAUGAUGAAGAAGCUUUGACCUUUUAGUCGUAAAAAGGGGUGUUUUUGAACCGGAGAUGAGAAAAAAAAUCCACUUUUAUUGAUUAUUAUGAAAAGGGUAGCAAGACGGCUCCCGUUAUGAAUUGUUGAACUGUUUAUUAGUGGAUUUUCUUGUAAAAAGAUCUGAGCUAAGUCCUGGAGUAGUCUUUAGCACCGAGCGGGAGGUAUAGCUAUUUUGGUACUUUCCUAGAACUACGUACCCCCUUAGGAAGUGAGCCUGAAGCUAAUUAUAUAGUGAUCACUAGUGUUUGGAUUGAUGAUUUAAGGUCCUACUCCGAUGGCAAGGAAUAGGGCGACUCUCCCCAACGUGGGUAGAACAUUGGACUCCAUGUAGCUCACAUGGUUUAUGUUGGUUGUAAGAGACUCCCAGUGUGUGUGUGUAUUCUUCUAUCUGAGAUGAAAAUAUAAUUGCUUGAAAGAUUGAGUUUAAGAAAGUCAUUAUUUUCGAAAGAUUUAAAGACUAUAUAUUCUAAAGAGAUUUGUCAUGAGAUUUGAUUGCUUUGAUGAAUUGGAAUUAAGAUGAAAGUGAAUUGAGAUUUAUAUGAUGUCUCAUGUGUUUUACUUUACAUAUAUUACUCAUCCAUACUUAUAAUGAUUUUAAUCGAGCUAUGUGAGUCACUUGUUGUAGCAUGCAUGUUUUCUAUGAAUACUUAUGAUGUAUGAUUUCUGAAACUUGCAUAUACCCCUAUAUACUCGGUCCAUAUUCCAUGGUACUAACCCAUUUAUUCUUCCGUGGGCUACAUUUUCCCUAUAAUGUAGGUUCAGGUGCUCAGUUCCAGACUUGAUCGAGAUUCUUCGAUCAUAUUGAUCCACAUUUCCUGCAAUGGUGAGUCCUCAUGAUUUGAGGACUAGUUAUUCAGAUUUCCUCAUUUACUUUGAGUUGUUCAAUUUAUCUCCUGAGUUAGGGUCAGUUGGGGUCUGUCCCAAUGGCUCAUUGAUAUAAAGUUUAGUAGAGGCUUGUCAGACUAGAUUGUCAGAUUGAUCAGAUUUGUCAGAGAUGUCGUAUUUUGUUACUUUCUAUAUUUCAUUCAUAUUGCAGUAUGACAUCAUUGAUGAUGUUUAGAUUUUUUGAUUAUAAAGAUCUUGAUAUAAGUGUUGAAUGGUAGAAAAAUGGCUCAAAGUGUUAGCUUGGGGCUACUUGUAGCCUUAAGCACCGUGUGACGCUUCAGGACCCAUUUUUGGGGCAUUAUAAACUUGGUAUCAGAGCCUAAGGUGUAAGGAGUCCUAGGGAGUCUAACAAGCCACAUUAAGUAGAGUAUUGAUCAUUGGUGUGUAGCGCGUCAUAUCUAUGAGCAAGAGGCUACGAGACGUUUUAGGAAAAAGGGUCUUUUCUUUCUUUCAGAAGUUCAUCAUGCUUAUCGUGUCUCUCUCUGCUAUUGAUUCUUGCUCUUUUCUUUCAGAAUAUGCCUUCUCGCCGAACUAGAAGAGAUAAUGCCGGUCAGUAACCUCAGCCUNNNNNNNNNNNNNNNNNNNNNNNNNNNNNNNNNNNNNNNNNNNNUCAGGCGCUGGCCCAAGUUGUUACUGUGAAUGUUCAGGCCAACCUAGCCCCGGUUCCAUAGCAGAAGGGAGGUAAUUUAUCUACUUCUAGAAUUCAUGAUUUUAUACAGAUGAAUCCGCCAGAAUUUUAUGGGUCCAACCCAGGAGGAUCCACAGUUGUACUUGGAGUAGGUGAGAAAUAUCACUCAGGUGAUGCAUGUUUCUGAGGAGCAUAGUGUAGAGUUGGCAUCAUAUCGGUUGAAAGAACUUGCUUAUGAUUGGGUUGUUGCUUGGAGGAAGGGUAGAGGUGAGGAUGCCGCCCUUAUGACUUGGCAGGAGUUCCAGGAUGCAUUCCUGGAUAAGUUUUUCCCUUUGGAGAUGAGAGAGGCGAAGGUGGAGGAGUUCAUGAACUUACGGCAGGGCUCUAUGACUGUUAAAGAGUACUGCUUAAAGUUCAAUCAGUUGGCCAAAUAUGCUCUUAACUUAGUAGCUGAUAACCGGGCCAGUAUGAGUAAAUUUAUGACAGGAGUGUCGAGCUAUAAUGUUAAGGAGUGUAGAUCUGCUAUGAUUAAUAGUGAGAUGAACCUUUCCUGACUGAUGACAUAUGCCCAACAGAUUGAAGCAGACAAGAUCAAGGAGAGGGAUAGAAUCAAAGGGAAUAAGAGAGCUAGGUCCGAGCAGCACGAACAUGGUCAGACUAGAUCGCAGGAAGGGGAUCGCCCUUAGUUUUAGAAUUGUUCCUUAGCACCAACACCAUCAUCAACUAGCACUCUCAUGCCUAGGGGUAGGAAGGAAAAGAGUAGCAGGUCAUAUGUAUCCAGGUCCCAGUUCAGUGUUGGCAGUAAGCCAAAUUAUCCUCCGUGUACCCAGUGUGGUAGGGUCCAUUCCGAUGAGUGUUGGGGAGUGAAUAGAGGUUGCUUUGGGUGUGGUGACAUGGGUCACAAACUCAGGGAGUGUCCACAUGCUAGGCUAGGGCGUCGUGAUAAUCGCACUCAGACUCAGACUCAGACUCAGACUGCUAGUGCCCCAGUUCAGGUGACUCGCCCAGCCCCAGCUUAGGGCGCCUCUUCUAGCACCACUAGCGGUCAGCGCCAGAACCGAUUUUAUGCUUUACCAUCUCGGCAGGAGCAGGAGGACUCUCCCUAUGUUGUCACUGGUAUGCUCCAUAUAUUUCAGUCUGAUGUUAAUGCAUUGUUGGACCCUGGGUCUAGUUUUUCAUAUGUUACACCUCUGUUUGCUGUGAAUUUUGAAAUGAGUCCUGAAAAUCUUCCUAAGACUAUCCUAGUUUCUACCCCAGUGGGUGAGUCAAUUGUUGCCCAGAAAGUGUAUAGAAAGUGCCCUGUUACAGUCCUUCAUAGAGUCAUGUUUGCUGAUCUGGUUGAGUUAGACAUGGUGGACUUUGAUGUCAUUUUGGGUAUGGACUGGCUUCAUUUUUGUUAUGCCUCUAUUGAUUGUCGUACCCGAGUAGUCAAGUUUUACUUCCUGAUGAGCCUGUGUUUGAGUGGUCUGGGAGUUCUGUAUCUCCCAAGAGUCAUUUUAUCUCAUAUCUCAAAGCCAGAAAACUUAUUUCCAAGGGGUGCAUUUAUCAUUUGGUUAGAUUCAAGGAUACUAAGUCUGAGACUCUAACUCUCCAAUAAGUUAGCAUUGUCAAUGAGUUUCCCGAUGUCUUUUCGAAAGAUCUCCCAGGGAUACCUCCUAAUAGAGAGAUAGAGUUCAGGAUUGAUCUUCUUCUCGAUACUCAGCCCAUUUCUAUUUCUCCUUACUAUAUGGCACCUACAGAACUUAAGGAUUUGAAGGAGCAACUCAAAGAUCUAUUAGAUAAGGGUUUCAUAAGGCCCAGUGUUUCUUCUUGGGGUGCUCCUGCUUUAUUUGUGAGAAAGAAAGAUGGUUCUUUGCAUAUGUGCAUUGACUAUCAUCAACUAAAUAAAGUCACUACAAAAAAUAAGUAUCCCCUCCCAAGAAUUGAUGACUUGUUUGACCAAUUGGAAGGUGCAAGCUAUUUUUCCAAGAUAGAUCUGGCUAUCACCAACUCAAAGUAAGGGAGUGUGACAUCCCAAAAAUAGCCUUCCGAACUCGCUAUGGUUAUUUUGAGUUUCUUGUUAUGUCCUUCGGGUUGACAAAUGCCCCAGCAGCUUUCAUGGACCUCAUAAAUCGAGUGCUCAGGAAAUAUCUUGAUAUGUUUGUCAUUGUAUUCAUAGACGAUAUUCUUGUAUACUCCCAUAGUGAGAAUGAACAUGUAGAUCAUCUCCAAAUCGUCUUGCAAACCCUUAGAAACCAUCAAUUAUUUGCCAAAUUCAGCAAGUGUGAGUUUUGGUUAAGGUCAGUUGCUUUUCUGGGUCAUAUCAUUUCUUCUAAAUGUAUUAGAGUUGAUCCCCAAAACACCAAAGAUGUUAGAAACUGGCCUAGACCUAUCUCUCCGAUCGACAUUCAAAUUUUCUUGGGUCUAGCUGGCUAUUACCGCCGUUUUGUUGAAGGUUUCUCCUCUAUAGUAUCUCCCAUGACCAGGUUGACCCAAAAGAAAGUGAAGUUCUUGUGGUCCGAUUCUUGUGAGAAGAGUUUUCAGGAGUUGAAGACUCGACUCAUUUCAGCCCCUGUUUUGACUUUGCCUGAGGGAGUUGAUGGUUUUGUGGUAUACUGUGAUGCUUCUAGAGUUGUUUUGGGUUGUGUACUGAUACAGAAGGGUAAAGUUAUAGCUUAUGCUUCUAGACAGUUAAAACCCCAUGAGAAGAAUUACUCCACCCAUGAUCUCGAGUUAGCUGCUGUUAUGUUUGCUCUGAAAAUCUAGAGACACUAUUUUUAUGGUGUUCAUGUUGAUGUUUUCACAUAUCAUAAGAGUCUGCAGUAUGUAUAUACCCAGAGGGAGUUGAACCUUAGGCAGAGAAGUUGAUUAAAGCUGUUAAAAGAUUAUGACAUGAGUGUGUUAUACCAUCCAGGCAAGGCCAAUGUGGUGGCGGAUGCCCUUACCAGGGUAUCUAUGGAUAGUGUUUCGCAUGUUGAAAAGGGUAAGAAAGAGUUGGCUCAUGAUGUGCACCGUUUUUCUAGACUGAGGGUUAGGUUGUUUGACUCUGCUGAAGGUAGUAUAGGGGUUCAGAGUAGUUCCGAAUCUUCCUUAGUUUUGGAAGUGAAGGAGAAGCAAGACUUAGAUACUAGUUUGGUCAGACUGAAGGAGUCAGUCAAGGACCAAAAGGUGGAGGUUUUCUCCCAAGGGGGAGAUGGUGUGUUGAAAUUGCAGGAUAGAUUAUGUGUUUUGAAUGUUGAUGAUCUGAGACAGAGAAUUAUGGAUGAAGCACACGCGGCGCGGUAUUCUAUUCAUCUUGGUGCCACCAAGAUGUACCGCAACUUAUGGGAAAUCUAUUGGUGGAGUGGCAUAAAAAAGAUAUAGAAACAUUUGUGGCUAGGUGUGCAACGUGCCAAAAGGUUAAGGUAGAACACCAAAGACCUGGUGGUAUGAUGCAGGAGUUUAGUAUUCCCACUUGGAAGUGGGAAGAAAUAAACAUGGAAUUUGUGACCGGUUUACCCCCUUCCCGAUGCCAUCAUGAUUCCAUUUGGGUUGUUAUUGAUAGAUUGACUAAGUCUGUGCAUACUUUUUAUACUGCUGAGGACUACGCUAGGUUGUACAUCCAGGAGUUAGUCAAAUUGCAUAGAGUUCCCUUGUCUAUCAUUUCGGAUAUGGGUACUCAAUUCACUUCGCAGUUCUGGAGAGCUUUUUAGAAGGGUCUUGGUACCCAAGUACUUUUGAGUUCUGCUUUUCAUCUGCAGACAGAUGGUCAGGCUGAGAGGACCAUCCAGACCUUAGAGGAUAUGUUGAGAACAUAUGCUCUUGACUUUAAGGGGAGUUGGGAUGAGCAUUUACCAUUGAUAGAGUUUGCUUACAAUAAUAAUUAUCAUUUUAGUAUUGGCAUGGCCCCGUUUGAGGCUUUGUAUGGGAGAAAAUAUAGAUCACCCAUAGGUUGGUUUGAGGUGGGUGAAGCUGCUGUAAGUGGUCCUGAUUCGGUAUUUGAGGCUAUGGAAAAAGUUAAGUUGAUUAGGGAUAGGUUGAAAACAGCUCAGAGUCGUCAGAAGUCGUAUGCGGAUGUUAGGAGAAAAGACCUUGAGUUCGAGGUUGGUGACUUGGUGUAUUUGAAGAUUUCGCCCAUGAAAGGGGUGAAGAGAUUCGGAAAGAACAGGAAGCUUAGUCCCCAUUAUGUUGGCCCCUACAGAGUUCUUAACCGUGUUGGUAAGGUAGCUUAUGAGUUUGAGUUUCCUUCGGAGUUGUCUACUGUUCAUCCGGUGUUCCAUGUUUCUAUGCUUAGAAAGCAUAUUAGCGAUUUUGUGGUACUGGAUUCUUCUAUGAGAGCUGAGGUUCAAAGUAGUCUUUCCUUGGUUAAGAUCCCUGUUGAGAUCCUUGAUUUCCAAGUCUAAAGACUAAGGGAAAAAAAAGUUCCCUUGGUCAAGGUGUUGUGGCGAAAUCAAUCGGUUGAGGGUGCAACUUGGGAGACCGAGGCAGAUAUCCGAUCCAAGUACCCGUACCUAUUUUUCGCAAGCUCCGAUCAAGCCGAAGGUACCAUUUUUCUCUAAAUCAUGCCUUUUAUGUUCAAAAUUGCAGCAGUUCGGCUGUUAUUUCUUAUUGUUCAGAUGUUAUUUCAAGAAUUUAUGCAUUCUAUGUUGUAUCUGGAGUUUAGAACGAUGAGGAGGUGAGUUUGGUAAGUUGUCUCAGCUGUAUACUUUUGUUUCCCGAGUAUUCUUGGCAUAUCUAGCAUCAUUUGAGGACGAAUGCUCCCAAGGGGGAGAUAAUGUAAUACGCUAUAUUUUCAUGCUAAAAUUCUAACCGUCAAUAUUACGAGUCUAAGCUCUAAUCCAAAUGAUUUGAAUGUGUACAAGUUUCAUGAUCAUUAUCCUAGUCUAUGGAGUAGUUUAGAGGUGAAAAAUGUUCAUAGCAAUGACCUAGAACAAAGUUGAGCUAAGACCAAUUGAUUCAUCCAAAGCUUGACAUUCGAUUCUACAAGGGUCAACUUCAAACGUGUAUAUCUCUUAAUAUACAUGGAAUUUUUAUCCCGAGACCUAUGAGACUGUAGAUAAUUGAAUUAGCUUUCCAACGAUAGCAAUUUUGCAAAAAUCCGAUACCCGAACGAAGAGUUAUGCCCAUUUUUGUGAGAGGCAGUAAGGGUGUGCGAUGGGCAAUGCGCCGCCCAAUCAAAUGUGUGCGAUUGGGAGUGCGAGGAACACUUAAAUGUCUGUCAUAAGGUGUGCGACGCACACCUUAAGAUCUGCCAUGGGUUGUGCGCCGCAUACCUCACUUCCAAGUGCCAAAAACACCCCAAUAUAUGUCUAUAACAUUGGAUUUAACCCCAAUUAUCCAAAGCCCUUUCACUUUCAUCAAAAAAUUGGUCAAGAAACUCGAAUAAGGUUUCAACUUGAGAACCCAAAUAAAUCAAAAACUAACCAUAGCUUUUCUAUAAUUUUUGGAUAUUCAAAAUCCUUAUUCCGAGGGCUACAAGAAGCACAUAACAAUCUUGUGAAUAGCGUGUCGGAGUAGAAAGUUCGCUCUAAGGCUUCAAUUUCGAGGUAUGUGGGGUUUUUCAACAAGGACACUCUGUCGUUCUUGUGCCCAAAAAUACUUUCUUUUACAAAGUUAUGAAUUUCAUAUGUCUUACUAUGAUCUUGAAGCAUGAACAUAUAUCCUAUAUUGAUUAUCACGAGAUUAUGAUAUUUUUGAUAUUUUAGAAGCAAAAUUAUAUCAGAAUGAUGAUAUUUUGUGCCUUAUAACUAAAUUUUCCAGAUUUUGAAGGGAUUUAUAUAUGCUUAUGAUGUAAAGCUUGAAUCUGGAUAAGUUUUAAUGUGAUAUUGAGACAUGAUUUUUGAACUCUAUUUGAGAUUGUUGUUUUUGAGAAAUCCUGUGUUAUAAACACCUUGAGUUUGAAUGAUUUAAGAUGAUGAAGAAGCUUUGACCUUUCGGUCGUAAAAAAGGGUGUUUUUAAACCCGAGAUGAGAAAAGAAAUCCACUUUUAUUGAUUAUUAUGAAAGGGUAGCAAGAUGGCUCCCGUUGUGAAUUGUUGAACUGUUUAUUAGAGGAUUUCCUUUUGAAAAGAUCUGAGCUAAGUCCGGGAGUAGUCUUUAACACCGAGUGGGAGGUAUAGCUGUUUUGGUACUUCCCUAGAACUAUGUGCCCCCGUAGGAUGUGAGCCUGAGGCUGAUUUAUAUAGUGAUCACUAGUGUUUGGAUUAAUGAUUUAAGGUCCUACUCCGAUGGAAAGGAAUAGGACGACUCUCCUUAAUGUGGGUAGAACGUUGGACUCCAUGUAGCUCACAUAGUUUAUGUCGGUUGUAAGAGACUCCCAGUGUAUGUGUGUAUUCUUCUAUCUGAGAUGAAAAUAUAAUUGCUUGAAAGAUUGAGUUUGAGAAAGUCAUUGUUUUCGAAAGAUUUAAAGACUACAUAUUCUAAAGAGAUUUGUCAUGAGAUUUGAUUGCUUUGAUGAAUUGGAAUUGAUAUGAAAGUGAAUUGAGAUUUAUAUGAUGACUCACGUGUUUUACGUUACAUAUAUUACUCAUCCAUACUUAUAAUAAUUUUAAUCGAGCUAUGUGAGUUACUUGUUGUAGCAUGCAUGUUUUCUAUGAUUACUUAUGAUGUAUGAUUUCUGAAACUUGCAUACACCCCCAUAUACUCGGUCCAUAUUCCAUGGUACUGACCCACAUAUUCGUACGUGGGCUACAUUUUCCCUAUAAUGUAGGUUCAGGUGCUCAGUUCCAGACUUGAUCGAGAUUCUCCGAUCAUAUUGAUCCACAUUUCCUGCAGUGGUGAGUCCUCAUUAUCCGAGGACUAGUUAUUCAGAUUUUCUCAUUUACUUUGAGUUGUUCAGUUUAUCUCCUGAGUUUGGGUCAGUUGGGGGCUGUCCCAAUGGCUCAUUGAUAUACAGUUUAGUAGAGGCUUGUCAGGCUAGAUUGUCAGAUUGAUCAGAUUUGUCAGAGAUGUCGUAUUUUGUUACUUUCUGUAUUUCAUUCGUAUUGCAGUAUGACAUCAUUGAAGAUGUUUAGAUGUUUUGAUUAUAAAGAUCUUGAGAUAAGUGUUGAAUGGUAGAAAAAUGGCUCAAAGUGUUAGCUUGGGGCUACUUGUAGCCUUAAGCACCGUGUGACGCUUUGGGACCCGUUUUCGGGGCAUUACAACUAACUUCUUGCAUUACUCUGUAGAAUGUACAAGAGUGAGUCUACAAAAUAUCUACACCUGGUCAUUUAUAUAACUGCCUAAUCCUCUUAACCACUCAAUUUAAUCCUAACUAACUCAACCAACACAUCAGCCAUUAACAGUUACACUGAUUUACAUGUAUGCCACUAAUAACCUACAUCAUCUUUGCUUAUUAUUUCAACAAAAAUUAAAGAAUAAAACCUUAAUAAAAGAUUACCAAUGAUGCAAAGAGGUAUUAGAAUGAAGAUACAUGGAUUCCUCUCAACUCGAUGACCUAUAAUCUUCCUUUGAAUAUAUGGAAAUCUAUAGAUUAAUUUUAAUAUCAGUUUAGAGAAUUUUCUUCAUUCGGAUUACUCUAUUUUUGUAGAAACAACAUCAACCUCAAAUACAAUUUAGCAAAUAAUAGCACAAUAGAGAAACAGAGAGAAAUUGUAAUCAAAUAGUGAAUUUUUGAAAAGAACCCAAAUAAAGUGAGAAAAAAAAAACGAAGAUGAUUAGAAAGAAUGAAAAAUUUCUAGAUAAAGGUCAAAAAUAUUGAUGUGGUGGAUCUUCAAACUUAGAAUAGAUGACAAGUUGAAAUUUGGUCUGAUGUGGAAGCCAUUAAUUGAAAUGACCAAAAUACCCUCCAUCAAUUCAACAAAAACAUGAAGCACACAUGUCAAUUCUUACUGGCACUUCUAAUAUAGUAGAAAAAUACUUAUGAUGUAAGAAAUAUAUGUAAUUAUUAUAAUUUAAAGUUUGACAGAAAAAUUAAAACUUGACCAAGUUUCUUUAUAAAUAUUUAAAAUUUAUAUUUAAUUAAUGGUGUCACAAUUUAUGGAAAAAUUUAAACUAUAUUUUGUUUUAAAAUGUCAAAUAUGACUUAAAACUUAAUGUAAGGAAUAUAUGAAAUUAAAAAAUGUGGUCUGGGAGGAGUCGUUCGCAACUUUUCAGGUGAUUGGAUCGCGGGUUUUUCUGCCACGAGCAAUAGCCAUUGCCAUACACUGGCUGAACUUGAAGCCUUAAAAAUUCGUCUUAACUUAGCCAUCGCACGCAAUCUUUUAUCUAUUAUUAUUGAAACUGACUCGGUGGAGGUAAUCCAACUGUUACAGCAUCCUACCAUGUCGUUUACUGAUAUUUUAUCUCAAUGCAGGCCAAUGUUGAAGAGCAUGGGGAAUCCAAUGGUACAACAUAACUUUCGAGAGGCUAACAAAGUAGCAGAUAGUUUGGCCUGUGCAAGUUUCUCCUUAUCCCAAUUUGGUGAAGUAAUUUCUCUCCAGUCUCCUCCGUCUUUAGUCGUUGUACAUCUGCAAAAUGAUGUUGAUGGUGUUGUUAGUGAUCGUUUUGUUUCCUGGUCACUGUUUAAUAACCUCUUAUGUCUAAAAAAUCAGUCUAUUUUAUCUCAUGUAAAUAGCAAUGCUAAGCCUAUUACUACUAUAACUACUGUAUGUAAUUCCACCAGUUUAGGGGCCUUUCACAGAAGAGUGAUCCCCCUAUUUUGUAAUGACUCUCUCUCUCUCUUUAUCUAUCUAUCUAUCUAUCUAUCUAUCUAUCUAUCUAUCUAUCUAUCUAUCUAUCUAUAUAAAAAAAAAAAAUAAAUUAAAACUACAUCAUUAUUAAAGUGUAAAACAUUUCAUGAUUUUAUCAAAUUAUACUACAUUCAUUAUAUCUUUUGCACAUAUUAAUUAGGCAUUUUUAUAUAUAACUUAUAUCCUUUAUCUAUAAAAUCACAUCAUACUAUACAAGUAACUGGGCAUUAGAUUAAUUAUGUUGUACUUUUAUUUGUGUAUGGAACUUACUAGUUACUAUAUCUAAGAUCUAACUAUCUAUGUAACUAUAUGUUUAUUUAACUAAGGUGCGAUUUAAGUGAAAGGGAGCAUAAAUAGUUGAAUUUAGAGAAGGUGCCUUAUAUAAAAAAUCACUUAUACUAUAAAAGACACCCUCAAGAAGAUUGAAUCUUCAAGCAAGCAAUUCCGGUAUUGUAUAUAAACAAAGGUCUUACCCUCAACUUUCACAAGAGUUUUACACAUAAUCUCAAUAUCACAAAACAAUCUGAAUUUAAAGGAGUUAUUCUAUACUAUUUAUAGUCUAAUCUAAUUAGUAAUAAAAUGUUCUUAAUGAAAUAAGGGUCUUCUUAAACAUGCAACUUGUAUUUGAAGAAUAGCUUCUUUUCACACAUAAAUAUUUUCUUCAUAAUUUUAUUUUCUUUCAAUUUGUUCCUUGUACUUUCACUUUACCUUGCUAGUGAUUGUCAAGUCUUCCUUCCAAAUUCCCAACACAAUGACUUGAUGUGAUGUUCUUGAGCUCCUCAGCUUUCCUUGACGUACGCAUGCAUCAAAAGGUGAGAGCUGAAAAUGAUAUAUUAAUUGUGAAUAGGGUAAAGAAUCUGAAUUACCAGCUAAUUAUAGAGGACAUUGUCACAUCCCUUUUUCUUCGAGGGAUCGAGGUCGAAGGAUUUUUCCAAUUAAAGUGACAGUUUUGAAUAGGGAUUAAUUUAUUACAGAGUCGCCACUUGGAAUUGAGUUAUGGUGUUCCAAGUCACCUUUUUGAAUCCCUAAUCAAAAGGAAAUGACUCUUUAUUAUGGUCUGCGAAAACAGAAGUCUGGGUAAGGAAUUUUGUUGACCGAGGAGAAGGUAUGCGGCACCCCUCGAAUCUUGUGGUUCUAGCACGGUCGCUUUUACCGACUUAUCUUGACUUAAACUAUUUUGAAUAAAUUGUGUUAAGGCCUAAAUUUGUUCAAUUUUAUUAUACCAAAAAUAGAUAUCUACGUCUCUUAUAUUAAAUAAAUUGAUGAAAAAUAAUUUUAAAAGCUAUAUAUCAAGGCGCGUUAUUGCAUCUUUAAAUUUUUAAAUAUCUCAAAAAGAUGCGUACGCCGCAUUCUUAACUGAGACGAAUAUUUAAACGGGUCUAAAAAAAUAGCAUUAUAAGCUUUAAUACUUGAAAUGUCAUCUAACUUUAACUAUAAACUUGAAUAAAAUUCAUUUAGGGUAAUUAACUAAUUUAACAAAAUAAUUAAUAAGAUUUAUUAAUAACGAUGAAUGAAAUUAAAAAUAAAUAAAAUAAAAUAAAAGAUAAUAAAAUAUAUAUAAAGAUACCCAUGUCCAUUUCAAACAACAAAAAAAGUUUCUUUUAAAUAUUUUUGCUAUUUAUAAAUCAAAAGAACCAUAUCAAUAAUAAGUCAUGCUUACAUUUUCCAUAAAUUGAUAAUUGAUCUUCCAGUUAAAAGAAAAACCCCCAAAAAUUUCCUUCUAAUACAUAUUAAAUAUUUACCAAGAAAACCUUUAAACAAUGCUCACAGGAUGAAUUCUUUAAUUCUGGAAGACAACUUAUUUAUGGCAUCACGGCGGCAGUAACGAGUUUGCCGGAUUCGAAGCAACGACGGGGAGGGGAAAGGGUGUCGAUCGACGGGGAAAAGAAAGAUGGGGACAGCGGUGCAGCGGCAUGGCGGUGGAUGGUGGAGGCGCAACUGGCGCCCUUCAUGGUGACUGAUCCAGCGAGUUUAACCGGUUUUUCGGCGGAUCUGACUUUUGAGAGGGGGCGGGGAAAAAUAGCAGCGGUUGUUAUCCACUGCAGAUGAAGCUGUCACCAGUCGAAGAACAGAAAAACCGUGGCUGAAGAGAGUAGUACCCUUAGCUUGGAUUGUUAUACCUAGCCGUUAAAUCUGUUAAGUAACUGUAGUUUCUAUUUAUGGUUAAGUUCUUUUUUUAUUUUGGGUCCCUAAGUUAAUUUAAAUACACUUAGGAAUCUACAAUUGUUCAAGGGUCCCUUUGUAGUCCAAGGAAUAUUCUUGCAGAGGUAGUACAAUUUCAGGCUUAUCCCUUAAGGAUUAGGAUGAGUCAGCUAGGGUUGACAUACUAUAAAUUGUAAUGAGUCAUUUCCAUUUUCACUAUCAUAUAUGAAAAAUAUCUUAGCCGUAAUUAGUUCUUAACUUAGUUCUCAGUCUAGCUUAGUUCCAUUUCUAUAAUUUAUCUGGCUAUUAUUCCACUGGAACACUGUCCUAUUAUCUCUUGUUAAUUGUUCUGCAACAUUUGGUAUUAGAGAACUUUUUUUAGCUCUGUGGGAUAGCAAUGUCUACAGAUAUGGAUGAAAUUAAGUCAAUGUUUGAAAGGAUAACGAUGAAGAUUGCCAACUUUAAUGUUAGACAGAAUCAAUUGGAGGCUCAACAUUAAAAGGCUUUGGUUGAGUUGAAGGAAUCUAUAGAAGAAACUAGAAGGUUCGAUCGGGGUAGGAGUACUGACAUGCAAGAUGGAGGUGGUGAGGUUUAUACCCCUUCAGGGAAUCCCAUGGCUUGGUUACCUCCUUCUACUGGAAGACCUCCAAUGCCCUCUUGUUCUCCAGCUAUAGUUCACGCGGGGGUGGGAUCUAUGCCUUAAUAUGCAGCAACCAUGGGACCAGUUCCACAGCUGGCCCAAGUUGGACAAACAUCAGGAGGAACAUCUGGAGUUGACAGAAACAAUGGUCCACCAAUUCAGGCUCAGUAUCAUGCUGGAGAUCCAACAAUGUCUAGGAUGACCAAGCUAGAGUUCCCUAGAUUUAAUGGUACUCAGCUAAGAACUUGGCUUUGCAAGGUAGAACAAUUCUUUCCUUGGACAAGGUAGAUUAUAAUUUAAGAGUUAAAGUAGCAUCUAUCCAUUUUGAUGAUAUGACCAUUGAGUGGCAUUUGGCUUAUGUAAGGAGUAGGGCUCAUCUACCUCCUCCUUCAUGGGAAGAACAUGUUUAUGCCUUGAUGGAUAGAUUUGGGGAUGAGUUGAAAUUAGUAAAGCAAACUAGAUCGGUAGAAGAGUAUCAGAAGGAGUUUGACAGAAUCAUGACUAGGUUGACUCUACCUCCUGAGUAUGCUAUUAGUGCCUAUAUCUCUGAGUUAAAACCAGAGAUUGGGUUUGCUGUCAAGAAUCACAGACCCCAUUCCCUUCCCCAAGCCUAUCAAUUAUCCCGGAACACAGAAUUGCAAGUUAAUGCUCAACUCAAAUUGACCAGGUCUACAAUGUAUAGUGGGAGUACUAGUCAGAGUAAGGGGUCAUCUCUUGGGACUAGUCACAGGGGUUGAACCUAUAGAAAAGAUUAUCAACCACCAAAAAGAGAUAACAUUGUGGAUCUCAAUAAAAGCAACACUAAGAGGCUUACUCCAGCUGAGAUGAGUGAGAAGAGACAAAAGGGACUUUGCUUCUUUUGUGAGGAAAAGUUUGCCCCUGGCCACAAGUGCAGCACUUCUAAGCAACUUUAUUUGUUGGAAAUGGAUGAUGGGGAGGUAUAGGAAGAAGAAACACAGCCUGAAGAACCAGUUGUGACUGAAAUAGAGGUAGGAGUAGAGGAGAAAUGUGAAAUAUCCAUUCAUACCUUGAAUGGACUUCCUGGAUUUCACACACUAAGAGUGAAAGGGUACAGUGAGAAGAAACCUCUCAAUAUCUUAGUUGACCCAGGAAGUACUCACAAUUUUAUAGAUGGUGAAGUUUCUAGACAGUUGGGGUUGGAAGUGAUAUCAGUGAAACCUUAGUCUAUCAAUGUUGUUGAUGGGGGAAACAAGCAAACCAAUGAGAUGUGUAGAGGUUUCACAUGGAUGAUGCAAGGAACUACUUUUAUUGACAGUUUCCUACUUCUUCCCUUGAGAUCUUGUGAUAUGAUUUUGGGAGUGCAGUGGUUGUUGCCAUUAGGUGAUCUUCAGCUCAACUUCCAGAAACUUACACUAUCUUUUAUGUAUCAGGACCAGAAGGUACAGUUACAAGGAGUCAAGGAAAGCACCAAGAUAGUGGAUGCAAGGGGGUUGGACAAGAUGACUCACAAUAGUGGUCAUUUGUUCAUGAUCAAGGUUUUACCAGCAGAAUCCCUCACUAAAAAAGAAUCAGCAGAUAUCCACCCUGAAAUUGUGACCUUGAUCGAGGAAUUUCACAUGUUGUUUGGGCACCCUCAACAACUCCCUCCAUCCAGGGCCACAUUUGAUCACAUGAUUCCACUACAAAGGGGCACUAAUUUUAUAAACACUAGACCCUACAGGUAUUCAUCAAGACAGGACAUAAUUGAAAAACUGGUACAAGAGAUGUUGGAUCAAGGCAUAGUACAGCCUAGUUAUAGCCCUUAUGCCUUACCAGUGGUGCUAGUAGGUAAGAAGGAUGGCUCUUAGAGGCCGUGUGUGGAUUAUAGAGCCCUAAAUAAGAUCACUAUCAAGGAUAAAUUCCCUAUCCCCAUUGUUGAGGAACUGUUGGAUGAGUUGAGGGGUUUCAAGGUGUACACUAAGCUUGACUUGAGGUCAGGCUACCAUCAGAUAAGGAUGGCUCGAGAAGUCGUGCAGAAGACUGCUUUCAGGACAUAUUCUGGUCACUAUGAGUACUUAGUAAUUCUUUUUGGCCUCACUAAUGCCCCCUCAAGUUUCCAAGGUCUCAUGAAUUAUGUUUUCAAAGUAGACCUUAGGAAAUUCAUCCUAGUUUUCUUUGAUGACAUUCUUGUUUACAGCAGAAACAUGGAAGAGCAUUUGCAGCACUUGAGAAUUAUGUUUGACCUACUCAUCAAACAUCAUCUUUUUGAUAGGAAGGGCAAAUAUUCUUUUGGUGCUACCAGGGUGGAAUACUUAGGGCAUUUCAUCUCUGCAGAAGGUGUAACCACUGACCCUAAGAAGAUUGAAGUUGUGUAAAAGUGGCCUGCUCCUAAGUUCGUUAAGGAACAAAGAGGAUUCUUGGGUCUAGCUGGCUAUUACAAGAGAUUCAUUAAGAGGUAUGGUUGGAUAAGCAAGCCUCUUACUGAACUUCUAAAAAAAGAAGGGUUCAUUUGGAGUGAUAAGGCUACACAGGCUUUCAAUCAACUUAAGAAAGCUUUAACACAUGCACCUGUACUCAGCUUGCCUAGUAGUACAUGCUAAUUUAUGGUAGAAACUGAUGCAUGUGACAUUGGUAUAGGUGCAAUAUUGAUGCAGGAAGGGCAUCCUCUAGCAUACCUGAGCAAGGGGUUAUCAUUAAGACAUCAGGGUCUAUCUGUUUAUGACAAAUAGCUCUUGGCUCUGGUUUUGGCAGUAACCAAAUGGUCACAAUACUUGUUGGGAAGACAGUUUGUUGUAAGGACAGAUCAAAAGGCUCUUAAGUUUUUACUUAAUCAAAAGCUUCAUACUGGUACUCAGAUGAAGUGGAUAGCAAAGCUUAUGCAGUUUGAUUUUCAGAGUGAAUACAAGAAAGGAAGAGAGAAUAAAGCUGCUAAUUCCCUCUCAAGAGUACCAGCUGCUUACUUGUUUCUAUUAUCAGUAAUCCCUGUGGGAACCAAUCUCUUCCAGAGGAUCAAGGCAAGUUGGUAUGAGGAUGAAAAACUCAAGGAACUAAUCCAAAAACUGAUAGACUAAGAUAAAGAUCAAAAGGGUUUCACCUACUAUAACCAGCAACUCAGGAGAUAUGAAAGGUUAGUGAUAGGGAAGGAUGAGCAACUCAGGCAUGGCAUUAUGCAGUUGUGGCAUGAUGCUCCUAGUGGUGGUCAUUCUAGAAUGGAAAAUACUUACAGGAGGCUGUCACACAUGUUCUAUUGGUAAAAGCUAAGAGAGGAUGUUAACAAUUAUGUCAGGAGUUGUUCCAUAUGCCAAAGGAGUAAAUAUGAUACAAUAGCAUCACCUGGCUUUCUACAACCCUUGGUAAUCCCUACUUCUGCUUGGUCCAACAUUAGCAUGGACUUCAUUGAUGAGUUGCCAAAGACUAAGGGUAAGACUACCAUCAUGGUAUUGGUAUAUAGAUUGACCAAAAGUGGCCACUUCAUAGCCCUCAGUCAUCCUUACACACCUGUGAUUGUAGCUCAAGUUUUCCUUGAUCAAGUUUUUAAACUACAUGGCAUGCUUGAGAAUAUAGUCAGUGAUAGGGACCCCAUUUUCCUUAGAAGGUUUUGGCAAGAGUUGUUCUCAGCACAUGGAGUAACCUUGAGUACUUCAACUGCGUACCACCCUCAAUCUGAUGGCCAAAAAGAGGUGCUCAACAGAACCUUAGAGACAUAAUUAAGAUGCUUUUGUUCUGAUAAUUAAUCAGAUUGGUCCCUGUACUUACCUAUGGCAGAGUGGUGGUACAACACCAUAUUUCAUUCAGCUAUCCAGACCACCCCUUACAAGGCCCUAUAUGGUCAACCACCACUACUUCAUCUCCCUUACAUCGCAGGAGAAGUUAUAGAUGAAGAGGUGGAUAGGAGCUUACUUACCAGGGAACUCAAAUCUCAAAUGCUCCAAUAUCAUUUGGGAAGGGAACAACAAAGGAUACAGUCCUUAUCUAACACAGGAAAAAGUGACAGACAACUGGAAGUAGGAGAUUGGGUGUACCUCAAAAUACAACCAUACAGAUAAGUCACCCUCUUUAAUCAGGCUUUCACCAAACUAUCAGCCAAGUUUUAUGGACCUUACCAGAUCAUUCAAAGGGUGGGGUCAGUGGCCUACAAAUUGUCUCUACCACCUCAAGUGUCAAUCCACCCCACCUUUCAUGUUUCUCAGCUAAAACCUUAUCAUAAGGUCCCUAGCCACUUCACUCACCCCCCAAUUAUUGAUCCAGCCAGUGCUUGCUGUGAGGAACCGAAAAAUAUACUAGAAAGAAGGAUGAUAAAGAGGGGAAACAAUGCCAUCCCUCAACUUUUGAUUCACUGGAAGAACAUGACCAAGGAGCAUGCCACAUGAGAAGAUUAUCAAGUGAUGAAGAUCAGAUUUUCAUCAUUCUUCCUUGAGGACAAGGAAGUUUGAAGGAAGGAGAAAUGAUGCAGAUGAAGCUGUCACCAGCUGAAGAACAGGAAAAUUGUGGCUAAAGAGAGUAGUACCCUUAGCUUGCAUUGUUGUACCUAGCCGUUAAAUCUGUUAAGUAACUGUAGUUUAUAUUUAUGGUUAAGUUCUUUUUUUAUUUUGGGUCUCUAAUUUAAUUUAAAUACACAUUAGGAAUCCACAAUUGUUCAAGGGUCCUUUUGUAGUCUAAGGAACAUUCCUGCAGAGGUAGUACAAUUUCAGGCUUAUCCCUUAAGGAUUAGGAUGAGUCAGCUAGGGUUGACAUACUAUAAAUUGUAAUGAGUCAUUUCUAUUUUCACUAUCAUAUAUGAAAAAUAUCUUAGCCGUAAUUAGUUCCUAGCUUAGUUCUCAGUCUAGCUUAGUUCCAUUUUUACAAUUUACCUGGCUAUUAUUCCACUGGAACACUGUCCCAUUACCUCUUGUUAAUUGUUCUGCAACAGAUUUCCGGUGAGAUUCAGUCGGCGAUGGGAUGUCGGGAAGAGAGAGAGAGGGGAAAAAAAACUUCACUACUGGUUUGGAUUUUUCGGAGACAAUUCGUCUUAACCGUGACGAACUAGUGAAUAGAAGUGUUUUCCGGCAUCAAAUUCGAUGAGGAUUUUCGCUAGAAACAUCUUCUCACUGUCAUCUCUUUUGAUCUCUCUCUUUCUUUUGCUCUCUAAUUCAUCUGAUUUUACUAUUUUUUCUUUCCGUUUAUUCGAAUUUCCUCACAAUUUUUGAUACGCUAUGUGUAUUGUUGUAUAUCUACUUCUUCAAUGAAUACAAAUGUUGGUGUAUGCAAUCUGUAGUGUAUGUAAAUUGAAAGACAGUGUGUAGUCAUGUAUACAUCAAACAACGUAUCAAUUUUCUUUUCGUCUAUUUCUCUUUUUCGUUUCAAAUUUUAACUUUAACAAAAUUACAACAACACAGUUUUUUUUUACACUCAGAACAUAAAUAAAUAUAUUAUAACUUAAUCAAAUAGCAUGCAAUAAUAAGAAACCCACAUAAUCAACUAACUAUGCUUACUAAAUAUUGCAUAAAGCAACUUAACGAUCAUUUUUAUAAAUGCAUUUAUAAAUAAACUCAUAAUAUGAGUGGUAUAGGAUAAUAAUAAUAAAACUGUGAUUGAUUCAAACGGAAUAAUGAAACAAGCAACAAUCGUCAUCGAAAACUUGAACACGAACCCGACUUCAACUUCACCGUUUUCCUCUCUGAUUUCUUAAAGAAAAAAAAAUUUACUGUCUUUUUCUUUACUCUGAUUUUUAGUAUCUGACUUCCUAGAAUCUUUUGUCUCUGAGAAUGGAAAAAGUUUUCUUACAUAUAGAAAAAAAAUGGGAGGGAAUAAUUAUUAUUUUAGGGGGGAAUAGUUAUUUUUUUAGGCUGAUAGAGAUAGGAUUUAAUAAUAAUAAUAAUAAUAAUAAUAAUAAUAAUAAAUAAAGAUAAUAAAUAAUAAUAAUAAUAAUAAAUAUAAAUAUAAUUAUUUUUUAUAUUUAACAAAACAUAAUAAAAAUUUAUAAAUAGCCAAAAUAAAUAUAAUAAGAUGAUAUUUAAAAUACUAAUUUAUUUAUUAAAAUUUAGAAAACAAAAAUAUAUAUUUUUUUUUGAAUUUUUGUAUUAUUAUUUAAGAAAAAAUUAGAAUAAAAUAGAAUAAAAUAUAUCAAAAUUAACUUUAUUUAAUUAUUGAUUUUUUAACUAAAUAUUUAUUAAAAUUAAAAUAAAAUAAAAAAUUCAAUAAUAUUAUACCAAAUAUAAAUAUUUAAUAUCAAAAAUAAGUUAAAAUUCGAGGAAGAUCAAAAAUCACGUGUCUACGGACAUGAACAUCAAAGAUAUGACAAAAGAACAUGUAGUACCUUACCUCCAUGCUAAAUCAUUAAUGAAGUUUCAGACAAUGUCCAACGAAUGAAUCAUUGAAUAGUUACUCUAUUAUUAGCAUACCAUCAAAAUGCUUCAUUCCAGAAACUUUCAAGGUACUUUUAUUAAAGAGGGAAUGUGGAUUUUUAAUUCGAUCCUAAUUUUUUGUCUCAUGGAUUCAAGACAACUAAAUCCUUAAAAAAAAUUCAUACCCUGCAUAAACAACCUUGUUAUGUUAUAUGAGCUGAAGGACUAGUAUGAUUGAUGAUACUAUCGAUUGAUGUCAAAUAAAAAUACUUUUUUGUGUUCUCUAUUAAAACAUAUGUUCUUUCCUUAAUUUUGUUGUUGUUGCUUUGUUUAAUGUGGAAUUGAACAUCUUUCAUGUUCUUUUAUUAGUUUGACUUGAAUGACAGAAUAAAAAGUCUUCAGAAUUAUAACUCUUGAAGAAAUAAUUAAGGCAUUCAUGAAGUAGGUUUCUUCAUAGAAUCCUUUUUUGUUCUCUUCUUUUUUUUUUUUUUUUUAAAUCAACACUAAGUUAUUCAAAGUAUUUACUCUGUCAUCCAAAUCAAGCAAACAAAAAUUCAUGAAAGAUGUGCAAUUCUCAUUAAAAAAAAGUAAAAACAACAAAACUAAGAAGAGAGUAUAUACUUCAACAAAGUUGAAAAACACUAGAAAGAUUUACGAGUUGACAACUACCAAAAAUAACAUCAACGACACUAAUUCUUCGGGUCAUGCAACAUAACAAGACUAUUUAUGUAGGUAUAAAUCUUCUCUGAAAAUUUAGUUGUUCAGGACUCAUGAAACAAAACUUUAGAAUUAGAUUGAAAAUUCACAUUUUCUCUUUGAUAAAAAUAGCUUUAAAGUUUUUUGAACGAAGUACUUUGCUAUUAUGAUAAUAAUGGAAUAACUAUUCAGUAGAUUUAUUCUUUGGACACUGCAUGAAACUUUAUUAAUGACUUAGCGAGGAGAAAAGACACUACAUAUUUCUUGGCCACAUAUUUGAUAUUCAUAUUCUAUAUAAUCACCAAAUAUUUCAAAUUCUUCAUUUCAUUACAGUUACUAUAUUAUUAGAGGCCGCUUAUUAGGUUUCUUAAGUUAACUCUUGAACUACUUCCUGAUACAUCUAUAAUAAUGGGUAAAUCAUUUUUAUUUAUUUAUUACCACAUAAUAAUUAUAUCACAAGGUAUAUUUUUAAAUACAAUGCUACAUUAAUUAACAAGAACUCAAAUCAUAAUAUGUAAUUAAAAACUUUAAUAUACUUACCUCAUUGUCACCUAUACUUGUCAACCCAUGAAUUUUUGAUGAAUAGAAAUCAUCAAAUGAAUACUACUCUCCUCUUUCAAAUUAUUUUGCUUGACUCAAAAAUUAAUUAAUGUUGAUGUAAAAUUUGAUUAUAGAAUCUCUAAUUGUUUAUCUUAAAUUUAAUAUCUAAAAAUUCGUUCACAUUCAAAAGAUAAAAAUAUAUACAUUAUUUCUAGGAUCUAAAAAUUGGGUAAAAGGAUUAAGUGAAAAUUACUCUUUUAUAUUUUUAAGAUUUACUUUUUAUCUAGCGAUCAUCAAACAACAAAUAGUUCAAUCAAGAAAUUUGAAACCCUUAGAACCAUAAUCUCACAUGAUUGAUCAAAUCGUAUGAGACAUAUGAUUUAUAAGAAAUUAAAGAAAAGACUUUAACUAGUUGGCAAGAUGUAAACAAAUAAACAAAUUCAUAUACAAUACUACAAAAUGAAAUCACAACAUUAAUUCUACAAUUUAUAAGAAAAUCUAUAUAUAAAAAUGAAUUUUACAUUUUUUAUUUUCUAUUUUUAUUUUUGUCCGAAACUUAUAUUAAUUUAAGGACAAGAUUGAAAAUUUUACCUUGAAUAAUGAUGCUGACACCAUAGAGAAAUUCAUUUUCCAAUGAAUUUUGUUUCCUGCUAAAGAAUUACAAAGAUUUAAUCAAACUCAAUUACAUUGAUCGAUGAAAAUAAUAUAAACACACACACACAUAACAUACACAAACAUAUAAUUCAUUAAAAAUAAAAGAAUAUAUAUAUAAAUUUAAAUGUCGCAUACCUUUCAAGAAGAAGAGAAGAAUGAAACUGAAUUACAUCUUCAUAGGUUUUAUAGAGGAAACUAUAUGCCUAGAAAAGAUUACAAUAAUUUCUAUUUAAUUCACUUAUGAUUUUAAAGGCAUAGUCAUUAAUUUUAGUUUGACUCACUUUUAAUUCUAACUGAUACUAAUAAAGUAUAAUAAAGGCAUAGUCAUUAAUUUUUAUUUGACUCACUUAUAAUUCUAUUGAUUGAUACUCCGUUACUAAAUACUUGUCACUAUUUUGGUUUGCAUUUUCUUAAGAAAAAAAUUAAUUACAGGCUAAAUUGAUUAAAUUGUCCUUAUUAAUUAAUUUUUUCUAUUUAAUACUUCUCUUUUUUGCACUACAUUAAACAUCUCCUCAUAUUUAUGACUAAUAGUAAAUGUGAAAAAAAUAAAUAAUUAUGUCUUAAUUUUUUAAAAUGACAAGUAUUAUGAAAUACAACAACAACAACAAAUCUAGUAUAUUUUCACCUAGUGGGGUCUGGGGAGGGUAGAAUGUACGCAAUCCAUACCACGACUUCUAAACAAGUAUUAUGAAAUAUCUAUUUUUAAUAAGAACGAUAAAGAUUUAGGAAUGAAGAGUAAUAAUGUACACUAAAGCCAUAAUGAUUAAUAAAUGUGUUAAAUUUGAAAAACAUAAGAGAAUCGCGUAUGAACAACCAAAAGCCUUGUAUGACUGAUAUCGUAAAUUAAUUAUAAUCAUACUUGAUAUGACUAAAUACUUAGAUAUUAUAGUGUGAAAUUGCUAAGACAACACUUGAUUAAUAGAGCAUUCUAUUUGGAUAUCUAUGAUGUAAGAAAUAUAUGUAAUUAUUAUAAUUUAAAGUUUGACAGAAAUGUUAAAACUUGACCAAGUUUCUUUAUAAAUAUUUAAAAUUUAUAUUUAAUUAAUGGUGUCACAAUUUAUGGAAAAAUUUAAACUAUAUUUUGUUUUAAAAUGUCAAAUAUGACUUAAAACUUAAUGUAAGGAAUAUAUGAAAUUAAAAAAAUGUGGUCUGAGAGGGGUCAUUCGCAACUUUUCAGGUGAUUGGAUCGCGGAUUUUUCUGCCACGGACCAUAGCCAUUGCCAUACACUGGCUGAACUUGAAGUCUUAAAAAUUGAUCUUGAUUUAGCCAUUGCACACAAUCUUUUACCUAUUAUUAUUAAAACUGACUCGGUGGAGGUAAUCCAAUUGUUACAGUAUCCUACCAUGCCGUUUACUGAUAUUUUAUCUCAAUGCAGGUCAAUAUUGAAGAGCAUGGGGAAUCCAGUGGUACAACAUAACUUUCGGGAGGCUAACAAAGUAGUAGAUAGUUUGGCCCGUGCAAGUUUCUCCUUUUCCCAGUUUGGUGAAGUAAUUUAUCUCCAGUUUCCUCCGUCUUCAGUCGUUGUACAUCAGCAAAAUGAUGUUGAUGAUGUUGUUAGUGAUCGUUUUGUGUCCUGGUCGCUGUUUAAUAACCUCUUAUGUCUAGGAAAUCAGUCUAUUUUAUCUCAUGUAAAUAGCAAUGCUAAGCCUAUUACUACUAUAAUUACUGUAUGUAAUUCCAUCAGUUUAGUGGCCUCUCACAGAAGAGUGAUCCCUAUUUUGUAAUGACUCUCUCUCUCUAUAUAUAUAAUAUUAAAAGUGUGAACAACCUUAAGUGAUUUGAAUUUUUUACCCUUCAUUAAAAUACUACGCAAUAGAUAAAAUUAUCUUUGCACUUAUUUUCUCUAAUUAUUAUUUAAUUAAAUUAAAAUCCUAUAAAGUUAAGGACUCCUAAAAUUUAUUUUUAGACAAAAUCAUCUUUUCACUUUUUUUCAUCAAUAAAUAUUAUUAUUAAAUAUUGACUAUAAUAAAUAUAUUAAAAAUUAAAUUGAAAGAGAAACCUUUCCCACAAAAUCGGCUUCCUUAUUUUAUGGUAAUGUUUUUUUUUUUUUCCUUUUUGGCUGUUAUGAUUUCUACUUGCCAAAUAUAGGUGUAACUGAAUAAUCGCCAAAAGAAUAACAACUUUUAUUAAUUUUCUGAAGUUAUUGAACAGUUUUUAUUAAUUUUCUUUAUGUUAUUUUUGAGUAGUUAUAUAUGGUUAAAAAAUCGUACAUUGACCAUUGAGAUUUGGGUUCAGUUUGCAACUCCUAAAUCAAUUAGAAUUUUACUUUAAUUAAAACAAAAACUCUACAACUAAUUCUAUUUAAGUCUAAGUUUUUGGUGUCCUAUUGGUACAACUAUGAUUCCUCUAAAAAAAAUUUUGGCUCUUUUUUUCUUAAUUUUAUGUAAAUAAAAAAUUUUUUUAGUCAGUUCCUUGAUUCUUUUUCGCUUGUUCCAUAACUAUAAAUUUAAUUUUGUUGUCAUGUUUUUGCUAUUUUUGUAGGAAAGGUUAGUUUUAAUUUUAUUGUUCUAAUAUCUCUAUUAUUAUAUUUUUUUUUUUUUGGUAAUUUACAGGCGGUAGAUGAAUGUUUGAUCAGACUUUCAAAAUUUUUUGUGUUAAAAUUAGAGAUUCUUUUUGGAUAUCCUAAUAACAAAUUCCCUUGUGGGAUUCUAUGGUCAAAGAAUAUUUCUUUGACUGUCAACCAUUUUUUUUUAAUAGAAAAAUGUCUUAUCACUGUAUUUCGAAAAAAAUAUUGCUCAAAAUUGAUGUGCGAGAAAAUAUUUCAAUGUUUUCUUUUCUCUCACACUAAUAUGAUAUCUCAUGUUUCAUAAUGAAUUCAAGGUAUUUCUACAUAAUGACUUUUUUAUAGUAUAAAAUAACAUUGAAAGAAUUAUAUUGACCUUUUAAUCUCACAUUUUUUUCCUUUCAUUCAGUUAUUUAUUUUGAUGUAUCAUAUAAUUUUUCAACUCAUAAAAUAUAGAUUACAUAAUAUGUAAAGUCUACAAGUUAUGUUUUAUCAUGAUUAAUAUCUGUAGUCAGCUAAGGGAAAAAAAAAAUAAAACAAAAAUAAAGUAUACCUUCUUAGAGAGAAAAGAAAAAGCUAAACAAAAGGUGUUUUGAGUAUUGAGUCAUUAGUAAGCAAACGUAAAACUUUUAUUUGAGAUGAGCGUACAAAUUAUAGUACGUAAGCAUAUCCUUUUGUCUGUAAGGAAUGCUUCUGUAAGUUUAGUAUUUAAAUUUAGAAUGUACAAAAUGUCCUAUAUUUUUAAGAUUUACGUGCAUUUGGUUUGAGGUUUUCUAAUUCAGCUUCCUUUUACUUUGGUUGGUUUUCUUUGAAACUUUUAGGGUAAUACUUCGCCUCUGGAUUACCUCAGUGAAUUUGAGCUGAUCGAUUUGAUGGAGAAACAUGGUACUGAAACAGAUGAAUCGAUCUCCCUGCCUAUUAACAACAUAUGGGAACACAGUUAUGUCCAAGUUUUGCUAUAUGCGUUGUUUUUCAAUUCUAGCUGUUACAGAUUGCAAGUACAAGUUGGCGAUGAUUGGUUCCAACUCCUCUAGAUAUCAGCUCGAUAAGAGGGCGCUAAUGCAUAGAUUCUAAUCUCUUUUUACCUUUCUUAAAUUUAAAAAACGAUAAUAUCCAUUGCUUAAUAUAGUUAUGUGCACAUAUGUUUCUGUAAGAAGGUGUGAGAGAUUGAAUAUAGUGGGUAUGAGGAUGAGUAGAAGUAGGCUAAAGAAGUAGUUGAGAGAGGUGAUUUGAUAGAUUAUGGAAGUCGUUGAUUAGGGUAGAGAGAUAGUAGGUAGUUGAGUCUAUCUAGAAUAUGUAUGAAUGCCAAUGCAACAUUGCGUACACAGUUUUUGUCUGGUGUUUCAUCUACUAUUGAAGACACCGAUCGAUGCUGCCAGCAAAAAACUUCUCCGUUUCAUUGACGAUAAGUUUUUUAGUAAAACAUAUAUAUUGAUGACUUACGUUGGGUGCUUGAUAUCAUCCAAUUAGCUAAAUUAAAUUCUGCAGAUUCUUUAGAUCUUGAGCAUGGUGCUUGUGGGAACCUUGAUUACAUAAUUGUUCCUUGUUGUGGAGAGCUGAGACAAUCAAAGAGUGGACACUACCACAAGGCUAUUGAGAUUAUAGUCGUGCAGGAUAAUAUCUUUCACAAGAGUACAUGGCAAGGACACUGCCAGUGGCAAAACUAGAAAUUUUGUUUGAGGUGUUUAAGAUUUAAUAUAUAGGUAUGAAAAUAAUUUUAUCUAAUUCUCAAUCUACAUAAUAUAAUUUUUCGAUGAAAGGUGUUCAAGUGACCAACCUAAGUAGCAUGUGGCUAUGCAACUAGACAUUGUGACAUAUUUUGUUUGGACUGACAUUAUUCAUGUACUUAUGAUAUUAUGUUCAUGUUCAAAUCUCUGUCACUUAUACUAGGUCGACAAAUCGUCUUACUCUACAUGAAAAAAGAGAGCUUCCAGUAUAACAAGCAUUGAUUCCCUUGAAAAGCUCAAGACUCCUUUCGAAAAGUUGUUGAAAUUAUUUUGGGAUGGAAAAUCACUAAAGUAAUCCUUUUGUGUAGCCAUUAGAUGUUCCUGGGAUUGGUGAAUUGGCCCUUGGUCCUCUCAUAUUUGGAGCUUCAAGUACACUGCUGGAUGCGGACCAAAAUGAGAUCUACCUCAAAGGAAUGCCUAUUUUGAAUGGAAAGGUAAUGCAAAUAUUAUCUCAUAGUCUAGGUUCGGUUUUACUAACAUCUUGUUUGGCAGUAUUUGUAUCACAGGUUCUAAGAAGGCAUGGGGAUGUGUUUGAACGCACUUCUAAAGGAUAUUACCAUGCCUAUGGUCGUCCAGAUGAUACAAUAAACCUUGGUGGUAUAAAGGUCUGCAUUUAGCCUUGCAAUUAAAUCCUUAAGUAUUUGUUUAUUAUUAAGAUCCAGUAAACUAUGCAUAUGAAUGGGCAUUUGAGUUGCCAAGCAUUUAUCUAUACUGGAUUAUUUCCUUUCCAAGAGUCUGCUAUUCCAUUUUUUCAGGUGAGUUCAUUUGAGAUUGAGCGCAUAUGCAAUGCAGUCGAUGAAAAUAUACAAGAAACAGCAGUAUUUGGAGUACCACCUAUUGGAGGUGGGCCUGAGAAGUUGGUAAUUGCAGCCGCUUUUAAGGAUUCAGAUAACUUGGAACAAAACUUGGUUAAUUUGAUGAUGUCUUUCAACAUGGCUUUGCAGAGGAAGUUGAAUUCAUUGUGAAAAUGUAAAACAUAUUGCAGAAGACACUCAUUCAUUGAGUGAUUUAAGACUUCCUCUCGCUACUAUUAAUUAGGACUAUAGAAAUUAGACAUUAUAGAAUUAUGAAAGAAAAAUCAUACACAAGAAUUCACCUCCGAACAUGGACGAAUGAGGAUAGCUUAGCGGUACUCUUAUUUUUUACCGAUAUACAUUUUUAGUGGAAAUAUAUGCUUUAUCAGUGGUUUGGUACACGAGAUUGAAUAAGUAGGGAUCUCCUAUUUUGCUUCACAUAUGCACCAUAUAUUGACCUACCACCCUUCCUCCCAUAGAAGAAGCAGGUAUUAUAGGUUUUAUCUUUCUGGAAUUUGUAAAACUAAAGACAAUCCUAAAGGAACAUACAUAUAUUACAAUUUACGAAAAAAAGUAAAUUACCACUUAAACUAGGCGCCCACACAGUAGGGGUACAAAUUUAGAUUUUAUAUGUUUGUCAUAUUGUUUCAUAUUUAUAGACUUCAAAUACAAAUUAAGAAGAAGAAAAUUUCUUUUACUUCAGGGUUUUCCUAAUAAAAUCCCACAAAAAAUGUCAAAGGAUCACAAGAAAAGACUGCUUUCCUAGAGAACAGUAAGAAAUAACUAUUACUCAAAAGUAUAUAAAAAGAAAAAGAAGAACGGAAAUUAUCCGGUCAUCUCUCACUCUAAUAGACCUCGAUGAAUUACUCAGUUUUGUUAAUUAGAGAGUCUCAUACAUAUAAGUUGCAAAAUAAUUUUCUUAAUGGUAAAAAUAUUAGCUACUCAGGCAAUACUCUUUAUGGGUUAAGUGAGUGCAUGGAAUGUAUAUGCAAGAUGAAGAGGAUAUUGGAGUCACAGAGCUCCCUUGGAUAGCAGCUGGUACUGGUGGAGAAGUCACUCCCUAAAAGAGAAGAUGCAUAGCUGGUCGUAUGUGCUCAUGAAUUAGAAAUAUUUCAUUCGACUAUUUUAUCUCAUCUUUAAUGUAGGAUAGUAUUCCACCAUUUUAGUACAAAUGGUUGGAUAAAAUAGUCUCAAAAUUAGCUAAUACCUUACGCCAAAAUGAGAUAAAGCUAAUCACAAACUCUAUUUCGAAAUUAUUAUCCUACUCAUAUUCUAUGUAUUUGAUGUCAUGUGUAUUACAUUAAUUCUUUCACUGCACUUUGAAAUUAUUAUUUUUUCAAGAUACCUACACAUGAAUGUUGAUUCUCAAUUUAUAUAGAAAGUGAUAUACUUCAAAAUUAUAAAUUCAAAUUUGCAAACACAAUAGAAAACAAAUGGAAGAUUGGAGAAAAAAUUAAAGGAGCAAGAAGCUAAAUUUCUUCUAUUGUGGAAGAGGAACAUCUCGUCAGAAGUCUCACACCCCAUCAAACAUCUCAUUAACUUCUUCUUUCAAUAUUCUUCUUAGUCAAUUAAUGUUUACUUAUCUUAAUGUGAAAUUGAACCUCAAAAAAAAAAAAAAAUCUUUCUAAAGUCAUUUACUAUUCUUCAAUAAUUUAUUAUUAUUGUAUAUAUUUUGUAGUGAUUAAUGAUGUGACGUGAAGCAUAUGUGCAACACAGUGAUGGUAGAACUGGUUAGCCGCAUAUUGAGUAUUUUCUGAAAAGGAUUUGAUGGCCUGUAUCAUCCCUUAGCUUUGUAAAUAUUUCACUUGGUAAUUAAUAAAGUGAUCUUUAAUUGCCAAAAAAAAAUAAAUUUAAAAAGUAUAUAUUUUAUACUACGUGCUCCUACAUUGCUAUAAAUAAAAUAUGUAUGUCAUUUUGAUUUAUACUAAGAGAAACAAAUAUACAAGAAAAUAGUGUUUGUACGAGAAAAUCAUAAAAAAUGUUUUGUCAUACAAAAAUUGAAUUGCUAUAAAGAUUAGAAACAAAAAUUUAGCUUGAAACAAACAUUAGAUACCCAAAAUAUUGUUAAGUUUAUCGUUAGAUUUUAAUUCGUCAAUCACAAGUAAAUUCAAGUCCAAUUAUUUUCUUACUCCAAAUUUUAUAAACCAAAGAAAGUAGUUUGCAGCCCUUUAAUUUUUUGUGAUAACUAUAUCAUCAAGUAGUAUUGUCUUGAACAAGAAAAAUUGAAAGAAAUGAAAAAACUAAGAUCAUUAUGAUUAUUCUAUUUUUGCUUUUAAGUAUGGGAGAUAUGAAUUUAGGAUUUAGAUUGGGUAGGAUCAAGAUUGAAUAUUUGUAAUGUAAGCUUAGUGAUGUUGCACCUAAGAUCGGUUUGGAAGUAAGGCUUGAGUCCAAGUUAUCCCCGGUGAGGAGGUGUAAAUGGUUAGCAGUAGCGGGCAUUUGAAGAGAUAGAGGCAGGUCGAAGAAGUAUCUAUACUCCCUCUGUUUCGAAUUAGUUGGCCCUUAUAACCUUGACACGUCCAUUAAGAAACCAAUAAUUAGAGGUACAUUUUACUCUCUUACCUUUAUUUGCAUUAUAAAGUUUAAUGAUUAAUGCAAUAAAUAAACAUAGAAAUUUGGUGCAAUUACUUCAUUUCAUGCAUGCAUCAAGUCUAGAACCUACAAAUUUAAAGUUGAAAUUAUAAAUCAUUAACUUUUUUUUGGAGAAUUGAGAUCUUGAGCACUCCAUUCCAUUACUACUCUAUCUAAGCAUAUGCAUGAAAUUUGAACGUUCAGCAAGACUAUUCUAUUCUAACUACUAAGCAUAUUGAUCUUCAUAUUUUAGGUAUAGGUGUACUUGUUGGAAUAGAAAAUUUGAUUAAAAAAUAUUACUAUGUAUAUGUGGAAUAAGUGAAAGAAAAGUAGUAAAAGAAAAGAAAAGAUGGAGAAGAAGUAACGUGUUGCGUGCAUGGAGUUAUGCUUGUUGGAGUAGUAGUAUUCUAGAAAAGAGAAGAAAAAGUGAAGCUUAAUAUUUAAUGGUAGUUGAAAAUGUAAAAUUAUUUACUUUCAAUAAUUUUUAAAAAUGUGGAUGUACUUAAUACUAUUAAGGGUAGAAUGAUCAACUUUGACAACUAAAGUGAAGCAAAUAAUUUUAGCAAGAAGACCAACUAACUCGAAACGGAGGGAGUAUUUUGUAUUUGUAAAAGGGGUCUUAAAUUUUUAUUUUUGUAUGUUGUCAUUUCUUAUCCCUUUUUUUAUUUUAGUUCAUAUUGAUAUUUUAUGUUAAUUUAUUAUAUUUGAUUUUUCUCAAUACUCAAUGAUAAAUAUUUCACUUGAUUUUUUGAGUCUUAUUAGCGAAAAAAUGAGUUGUAAUAUCUUAUCUUACAGAAGAAGUGAAAAUUAAAAUAAAUGCAAGUCAUAUUUUUGUACGUUUUUACUAACAAAAAUGCAUAAUACACCCUUAGUUUGAUAAAACUGACUUUUAUACUAUUGAAAAUGUAUAAAACCUGAUUGUCAUUAAUUCUGAACAUCUCAACUUAUAGAAAAGAUUACAUAAUAUAAAUUUAAAUAGAAAAUAUAUUUUUGGCUACAUCUAAUGUGACAGUCAUACAUCAUGUUCCUUUUUAUACACUUUUUUAUCUUUAAAAUUAGGUUAUAUUUUAAAAUUUUUUGCACUUGAUAAAAUAAAAUACACACAAUAAUUUAUUUUAUAUAUAUUUAUUCUUAAUUAACACGUGAUACACGUGCAACACAGGUAUUCUAAAUUAAAACUACCACACGUAUAUAUAUAUAUAAUAUCCAAUUUACCAAAAAAAAAAAAGAAAUUAAAACUACAUCAUUAUUAAAGUGUAAAACAUUUCAUGAUUUUAUCAAAUUAUACUACGUUCAUUAUAUCUUUUGCACAUAUUAAUUAGGCAUUUUUAUAUAUAUAUAACUUAUCUAGGUGACGGCCUUAGUCUAUAAAAUCACAUCAUAUUAUACAAGUAACUGGGCAUUAGAUUAAUUAGAUUGUACUUUUAUUUAUGAGUAUGGAGCUUACUAGUUGCUAUAUCUAAGAUCUAACUAUCUAUGUAACUAUAUGUUUAUUUAACUAAGGUGCGAUUUAAGUGAAAGGGAGCAUAAAUAGUUGAAUUAGAGAAGGUGCCUUAUAUAAAAAAUCACUUAUACUAUAAAAGACACCCUCAAGAAGAUUGAAUCUUCAAGCAAGCAAUUCCGGCAUUGAAUAUAAACAAAGGUCUUACCCCCAACUUUCACAAGAGUUAUACACAUAAUCUCAAUAUCAGAAAACAAUCUAAAUUUAAAGGAGUUGUUCUUUACUAUUUAUAGUCUAAUCUAAUUAGUAAUAAAAUGUCCUUAAUGAAAUAAGGGUCUUCUUAAGCAUGAAACUUGUAUUUGAAGAAUAACUUCUUUUCGCACAUAAAUAUUUUCUUCAUACUUUUAUUUUCUUUAAACUGGAGCCUUGUACUUUCACUUUAGCUUGCUAGUGAUUGUCAAGUCUUCCUUCCAAAUUCCCAACACAAUGACUUGAUGUGAUGUUCUUGAGCUCUUCAGCUUUCCUUGACGUGCAUGCAUCAAAAGACGAGAGCUGAAAACGAUACAUUAAUUGUGAACAGGGUUAAAAAUCUGAAUUACCAGCUAAUUAUAGAGGACAUGAAUAUCAAAGAUAUGGCAAAAGAACAUGUAGUACCUAACCUCCAUGCUAAAUCAUUAAUGAAGUUUCGGACAAUGUCCAGCGAAUGAAUCAUUGGAUAGUUAGUCCAUUAUUAGCAUAUCAGCAAAAUACUUCAUUCCAAAGACUUUCAAGGUACUUUUAAUAAAGAGGGAACGUGAAUCUUCAAUUCGAUCCUAAUUUUUUGUCUCAUGGAUUUAAGACAACUAAAACCUCAGAGAAAAUUCAUACCCUACAUAAACAACCUUAUUAUGUUACAUGAGCUGAAGGACUAAUAUGAUUGAUGAUAUUGUCGAUGGAUGUCAAGUAAAAAUACCUUUUUGUGUUCUGUAUUGAAAUAUAUGUUCUUUCCUUAAUUUUGUUGUUGUUGCUUUGUUUAAUGUGGAAUUGAACAUCUUUCAUGUUUUUUUAUUUGUUUGAUUUGGAUGACAAAAUAAAGAGUCUUUAUAAUUAAAACUCUGGAAGAAUUACUUAAGGCAUUCAAGAAGCAGGUUGCUUCAUAGAAUCCUUUUUUGUUCUCUUUCUUUUUUCUAAAUCAACACUAAGUUAUUUGAAGUAUUUACUCUGUCAUCCAAAUCAAGCAAAUAAAAACUCAUGAAAGAUGUGCAAUUCACAUUUAAAAAAGUAACAACAACAAAACUAAGAAGAGAGUAUAUACUUCAACUAAAAACACAAAAAAGAUUUACGAGUUGACAACUACCAACAAUAACAUCAAUGACACUGUUUUGCGGAGAAAUUUUGACUUUUGAAAGAGAGUUGUCACUUAAUUUUGAAAAGAAAUUAAGAAACCUUUAUAAAACACUUUAAACGAUCUAAAACAGAAAAAUCGUUUAAGUUAAGAGAUUCUAGAUAAGAGGUUCCUAUUAACGUUUUAGGAAGGUGUUAGGCACCUAAAACGUCCGCUAACUUGCGGUUAUCCGGACUGUUUGAAAAUUGUCUUUGAUUAACUUUGAAAAAAGUUUAUUUUUUAAAAAUAAAGAAAUUUUAAAAAUAUUUUGACGUUUAUGCAAAACUAGUUUUUAACGACUUGAAUAGGGGAUUAACUAGGUUUGCAAGAAACAUGCAAACAAGUAAGCAAAAAGGAAAGAGGAAAGGGGAGAAGGGAUUCAGGCCAUUGGGUCCAAAUCGAUGAGACCUGUCCUAGUCUAAUAGGGCCUUUAACCCAUUUCACCUGUCCUAAUCUAGCUCUCGAGCCUUUAGCUCGACUCUUGCUCCACCUGUAUUAGAUACAAAUUUGAGUUCGAGGCCCAAAUGAAUAUUUAAAAGAAAUGAAUAAAAUGAAUGACGACAAAUAAAGCAAUAAAAGUGAUAUUUUCUCGAAUCUCCUAGCUAUAACAAUAAUGGAUAUCCGCUUACUUCCUUCCAUUGGCAAAUUCUUUCUCCAAAAUCAAUCUCACUGGAAGGACUCGAGGGGGUGACUCAAAUGCGAAGUGAACUAUGACAAACCAUCAUUGAAAUGCACAUGGGAAGAGUCCCUUUUGGGACUCGGCAUUUUUGCAUGUCAACAUAAGAAGGAAAAAGAGAAAGAUUAGAAUCUGUUCAAAUGGAUGAUAAUUAUUUAACAGUCAAGCUUAUGCACCCAGUUAGCAAAACAGAACAUACUAAAGGUCGGCGAUAAUCCAGAAAAAUAUAAUCCCUAUUCACCACAAAGAAACCAUAAGACUAUAAUUGCUAAAAAUCGAGAUGAGGCUGUUUCAAGCUCUUUUAACAUAUUAAUGCGAUCGAAGCUACAAAAGAACUCAUAGAUGACACUCGGAGUGCAACAAGAUGUAAUUAUUUUUUACAAAGAGAAUAUGUAUGCAAUUUGAGAAGCUAAAAAAGAUUCUCUUAACUAAGAGACAAAUGAUGUCUUCAAGAAUAAAGGCAGAUUCAGAGUAAAGAUAAAGAAAAUUGCAUAUUUCUAACCAUCCUGAGACAAAUGCUAAUACAUACAGGUAUGGGAGCAAAGAGAAAUCAUGAUCGAUUGGUACGGGAUCAAAGACAAAUACACAGGAAGGCAAAAUUAUGAACUUGCAUAAAUUUUGGAUAAGCUUCUAUCUACUAGUUUCCGAGAUAGUGGCAUCCAUUAUUAUAUGUAAAAGCUAAGUCCAAUACUUUUAUUCAAAAGAAAUUGAACCAAACAAAACUAAUGUACCUUUGACAGAGAUUGACUGCAGUACCAUGAGAAAAAUCAAUUCGAAUAAUCUGGUUCAAAUAUUGAGGUUCAUGACAAGGGUGAUAAAGCUCCUAAUACAUGUAUUGAGACACUAAUAAAGUGAUCAAGAACUUUUUGCAAUUAGCAGGUAUACUAAGCAAAUAACAUGAACUCUUGGGACUUAGCAGGUAUGAAUUGCGCGAACAACUUUGCUAUCAAAGCAUCACUGAAGUGUUGACUAAUUAUGAAUUUAGUUAAGACACGACAAAUUAUAAUAACCUUUUUUACAUAAAUUCUUACCAGGAGAAGAUUAAUAUAAAGGAGAAAAAUAAUUUUUCAAAAGGUAAAUGGAUUGAAAUUCAUCUUUACAGAUUUACACUCUAAAGCAAAACAUGAUUCUAGGGACGGAGGUUGACGAACUAGAAAUGCCCAUUCUCUAUUUGACCAACUGAGAAUGCUAAUUUUCUUAUGGGGAAAUUUUGAACCCCAUUUAAACGUAAUAACUGAACUUCUAUUUACCAAACUCAAGAAAACUCAUGGAACAUGUAUGAACCUAAUCCAAGCAUGAACACCCAUCCCCUAUUUACAAGUUGAAAUUUAACCAAACAAUCAUGAGUAUAAUGCGUUACCAUGAAUAGUGAGAUCACAGAUAAACAAAAAGGGAAUGACUAUAGAGACUAAACAGUAAUCCGGACAACUAUGCAAGGGUAUUAUCUCAGUGAAAGUAAUAUAACGAUUACAUAAUCCUGUAACCUCCGAAGCUCUCUACAACAAAACAACCCAAGCAACAUUAUUGCUAAAAUAUUAUUAAAGCAAGAAAUGAUUAGUAUGAAGGGCAAGACGAACGAGAAAACAAUAGAUAAAAUUAAAAGGGCAUAAUAUGUUUACCUCUUUCUUAGAAGAAAUUUCCUCUCAAAUUUUCGAACCUAGGAAAUUUCGGACCCCCUGUUUCGAUGCAGCAAACGGGACUCGAGCUAUCAAUAAAAUUUCACCACUGGGAGCUGAUGUUGUCGACUCGGGAACUUCCAGUUGAUCGACUAGCUUCCCAGAAAAAAUGGACGAGAAAGUUUUUGCAAAAUACACUCUUUGAUUUCGGAGUUCCCAACCCAACUUUCAAAAAAAAAAACCUCGUCUCUUACGACUCCUAUCUUCCACCUCAAAGCUUGGACCCCAUAAAGAAACAAGACUAAUUCCCGAAAAUUUCUUUGAAAGAAACCUAACCCUCCAAUCUCCAAUCCCUUUCUCGACUCUCUGUGAGAUCUUUUAUAGAAGGGAUUGAGGGCAUUCCAGGAAUUUUCGAAAAUAGCCCAUUUGAAUUUUGAAUUCCCCUCCUCCAGCUCUGUUUUUGUCCUCAAUCCACCCAAAAUUAGGUUUGGUGGACCAAUAGAAAUGGGAGAAACGAAUUAUUUUCCAGACCCAAUGAAAAAUUGCCAAAUAUGUACCUAAUCUGUACCAUUAUCCCAAAAUAUGUGAAAUAUAGUCAUUAGAUGCGAUAACUCACGCUUUUCUAGAAGCUUCUCGGAUCGUCCAUGGUACAACAUCGCGUAGGACGUGCAAAGAGGAUAAAGGCAAGCUAGUUGCGGGUCGACUCAGGGCUGGUCGAGAAGGGUUUGGAUUUUGGAUUGAAUGGUUGCUGUUGUUGAUGUUGAAUAUCGGGUGUUUUUAUAAAGAAUAAGGGAUAAAGGGGAUUAUUGAUGUGGGCCGAGUUAGGGGUUUUGGUUAGGCUGAUAUUGGAUUUGUUUUAGGCUGAUGGUUUUUUAAAAUAAAAAAUGGGCUGCUGGGCAUCUAGCUGUUGGGCCGAAAUUGAUAUGUUGUUGGGUUAUAGUGGGUAGAUUAGGGAUUUGGUCAUAUAGGGAUUUAGGCUAUUUAUCAAAUAGCCAACGAUUGAAGAGUUUAGACAAUCAUAUUUAAAUCUUAGCCUAAUUCAAAUUAAAUUGACCAAUUAUAUUACAAUUAUGGUCAAAUUAAUUUUAAUAAAGGUCUAAUUUAAUAAAUUGUCUAAAUCAAAACGUCAUUUGAAAUGAAUUAACAAUCAAUUCAGUUCUGAAGUUUCUUGAUCCGAUAAAAUCGAACUCCUGUUCAUCCAAAUAAAUUAUUUUUGCGAAUAAAUAAUAAUUAAAUUAAGAUUUUAAUCAUUAUAAGUUUACUUCAACAUAAGCUUUGAUCAUAAUCCGCUAUUUGUAAAACCAAUAUUCAAGCCUCAAAAUUGUAUAAUUUCAUAUAAUUCAAUACAACAAUAUACAAUCGCUACUUAAAAAUGAUAAAAUUACGUCCAGGAAAUGUUUUGAAAAUCCUUUAUUUCGGAUAAGAUAAACGUUGUAAUUUUAUUUGAGAAUCGAAGAAACUCUGAAUUAAACUGAGUUAUGGAGGGCACAAAUUAGAUGUCAACAACUGCCCCCCCCCUUUGGGUAGGGUGGAUGCACGUAACCCUGGGCAAAGUGAGGUUGACACUCUUAAUUUUUGUCCAACCACAAAUUUAUAUCUGAAAAGGGGUUGGCUUUUGCAUGAGUUUAUGGAGUUAUUGCUGGACCUUGGUAUCAGGCUUCCUACAUAUCUCAGGUUACAUGAGAAUUUAGGCCACUUGUAGUUCAUGAAGCUUGACUUUAAGCAUGAUUUUCAAGAAAAUUCACCAACUAUCACGGUUUUAGAGUGUUUGGUUAAACUGAGAAGCUGGGGAAUAAAGGGAUUUGGGGAAAGUUGGAAUGUAGUCGAGUUUUGUACAUAGAGCCUAGCCUACAUAUCCCCAGGACUCAGGGAAUCAGAUUACCUGUAGUUCGACUCAAUCGGUGGAAAAGAUGGUCUUUUAUUUCAGACGAUCUUUGGCUCAAGAUGACUGAUAAGUUGAUUGAGUUGCGGAAAAGAGGCUUGUAACCAAUUAACCAUGAACAUGGAGAUCUUCACAUCCAUAGGUAAGAAUUUACCUGGGCAUAAUUUCCAAAACUCUAGGAGUCUUAUCACUCGAAUUUGAAAGAAAGAGAAGGUUACCCUCGGUAUGAGUUUAGAAAUAUCCCGAAGGUGAAGCUGAGACCAGAAUAUCCAAAAAUACCCACAAUCCUUCUAAUAGAUGCGUGGUUAGAUGGUGGUGGUGAUCAUCAUUUAGCUCGCAUCUAGAGAGUUUGACAUCCCUCUGCAGACUAUGUCCCGUUUUGCUGCUAAGAAAGAGUUCCACGUUGUGUUGUAUCCUAUUUGAAGUCGUCCGAACCUAUGGUUUUGAUUUGAGAUUUUCAUCCUCUUGGAUGCUCUGACAAUGCUUCAAGCGAAAAGUGUUAGUGCUAAACAUAAUUCACGAAAGAGGUAUGUAGUCUUUUACCAUAUCUCCACGCGAGUUAUGGCUUGUAAAGCAGAGUCAUCUCUUUCUAUACCCGUUUGGAAUGAAAUAACCGGCGAUAACAAACACAAAAACCCUCUUGGUUGUUAUAUAAUUAUGACAUUUAUUGGUUGAAUAUGUCUUCAAAGUGGGGUGGCCCUUUUGGACACCGGCGAUACUUUAUGCAGAACUAUCCCUACAACUGUGUAAUCUUAUGCUGGUGUGGCAACCCUUUUGGUUACCUGUAUCACUUGUUGUAUGUGGAAUGAUAACCUCUUCGGUUAUAGCCGAUGAUCGAUUUAUAAAUUUUCCUUAAAUUGUCAAUCUUUGGAUAAUCUUGCACACUAUUUGACAUUGGAUACGAGGCGACUUAUAGAUAUCCUUUGAAUUGUUAGCUUUUAGGUAAUCUUGCACAUUAUCCGACUUUGGAUAAGAGAUGACUUACAGAUAUCCCUCCAAUCUCUAGCUUUCAGGAGUUCCUGCACAUCAUCCGACCUUGGAUACAAUAUGACUUAUAGAUAAUGUCUCAAAUUGUUAGUCUUUGGGUAAGCCUACACAUAAUUGAUCUUGGAUAUGACGCGGAUUAUCGAGAACCCUUGGACGUAUCAAUUUGAUAAUCUUGCAUAUUCUCCAGUAAGGAUUUAGUUGCGACUUACGGAUAACCUUUGAACUAUUGAUUUUUGGGCGAUCUUGCACACUAUCCGGUUUGGAUGUUGUUGUGGCUUACAGAUGACCUACAGACUAUCAAAUCAUAGGUGAUCUUCCACACUAUCUUAUUUCAAAUAAUAUGACUUAUAGAUGAUCCUCAAAUUGUUAAUUUCUAGGAAAUCUUAUAUAUCAUUCAUCCUUAGAUAGCGACUUAAAGGCAUCCCUUCAAAUCGUGCUCUUGAUGCAUUUAGAUGCUGAUUCAUAAAAUGAUGUGAUAUCCUCAACUCCAAUGUUUAUGUCUUGCGUGUCAACAGAUCUAAAAUAAUGAUGAUAUCCUCGACGCCAACGUUGUGUCUUGCGUGUCAACAGAUAUAUUGAAUACUGAUGAUAUCCUCGAUGCCAGCAUUGUGUCUAAUGCGUCAACAGAUAUUGAAUGAUGAUGAUAUCCUCAAUCCCAGCAUUGUGUCUUGCAUGUCAAAAGAUAUAUUGCUGAUGAUAUCCUCGAUGCCAGUGUUGUGUCUCAAGAGUCAACAGAUAUAUGAAUAUUGAUGAUAUCCUCGAUGCUAGCAUUGUGUCCCACGUGUCAACAGAUAUAUGAAUGUUGAUGAUAUCCUCGAGGCCAGCGUAUGUCUCACGUUUCAAUAGAUAUAUGAAUAACCUUCUUGGGCAAUGGUAUGAGAUGGCCUCUUGGCAAUGAUAUGCAAUGGCCCUUGCAACAAUGAUAUGUGAUGGCCCUUGCGGUAAUGAUGUGCAAUGGACCUUGCGGCAAUGAUAUGUAAUGGCCCUUGCAGCAAUGAUAUGCAAUGGCCCUUGCGGCAAUGAUAUGCAAUGACCCUUUCGGCAAUGAUAUGCAAUGGCCCUUGUGGCAAUGAUAUGCAGUGGCCCUUUCAGCAAUGAUAUGCAAUGGCCCUUGCGGUAAUGAUAUACAAUGGCCCUUGCGGCAAUGAUAUGCAAUGGCCCUUGCGGCAAAUUUUAAAGUAAUUUUACCUGACUUUAUUUGUUAGCGCCUUGCUUUCUACAUGUACCUGUACUCAAGUUAGACGAUUAGUAGACACAAAGUCACUUUUACUAGCGACUAUUUUUAGGAAACUUCUAAAUACAAUGUUUGUGAAGAAGACAAGGCGCUUUUGUUUGUCGCCCAUGAUCUCAAGAAAUGAGAUGGAUAAAUUAGAAGGUCCUCAAUAAAUAGGUAUUAAACCUAUUUUUAGGGCUACCCUAAAAUACCGUUGUUGGGCAUUAAUGCUCUGUUGUGGCUCCAAUUUGCUCGGUGAUUUUUUAAAGAGACCCUCACUUUCGUGUAUUGAUCCCUGCAUCCACAGAAAGAUGAUUAGUUUGAAUGAAAUUACUUCGUGUUGACCUUCUUCGAUCCUUGAUUUGAUGCUUGCCAUCUCUUGGGCAUUCCGCUAUGUCGGGACUUCCAUCUUGACACUCCAUCCCAAGUGAUGUCUAGGCAAGUACUAAAUAAGUGAGUUGUAAGAUUUUUUUUUUUGAAAAUAGUCUUAAUUUUUAGAAAUUAAUUUCGAAAGCUUCUGUAAAACUUUAGAAAAUCUCUGCCAUUCAUGUCAUGUACUAGCUCAACGACCAUCUUUCUCUUGAUUUUGACAAUAUCCGACAUUUGACGGAGGAUUGCUAGGGAUUCAGCUUGUCGAGGCUCUCUACCAGAAGUUUUAUCAAAGACGGGGAUUCAGUCUUCCUAGAUUUUAUCACAGGUGGUGAUUCUCAAAUCUCAACUUUGACCUCUAGUGCUGGGGGAUUUAAAAUAUAUUCCAGUAUUUGAUUGAAAUUUUGAGGCCUCUCUCAAAAUUUCUGCCCUAGUUUAAAGUAGUCUGAGAUGAUAUCAUCUUGAGUGGAUCUGAAGUCUUUGCUGAUCUUCAUUCUCUUUGUUGGAUGUUGAUCUUCUAUUGUGAAUUUUUGAGAUUCCUUCUCAAAAAUUCUGCCCCAGUUUCUAUUUCCUCGGGUUAUAUGACCGAGCCAUUGGGGCUCCUACGUAUCCCUUUUUUGGGAGGUCAUCACGUAGUUCAUACAUAAAGGGAAAGGAUAAAUUUUCCUAAAGGGUUGAUCGAAGAUGACAUAGGCUGCCUACGUAUCCCUUUUUGGGAAUUCAGGUCAAACGUAGUUCGUACAUAAAGGGAAGGAAUAGAUUUUCCUAAGGGGUUGACCGAAGCUGACAUAGGCCUCCUAUGUAUCCCGUUCUUGGGAAUUCAGGUCAAACGUAGUUUGUACAUAAAGGGAAAGGAUAAAUUUUCCUAAGGGGUUGACCGAAGCCGACAUAGGCCGCCUAAGUAUCCCUUUUUGGGAAUUAAGGUCAAAUAUAGUUCUUACAUAAAGGGAAGGAAUAGAUUUUCCUAAGGGGUUGACCGAAGCCGACAUAGUCCACCUAUGUAUUCCGUUCUUGGGAAUUCAGGUCAAACGUAGUUCGUACAUAAAGAGAAAUGGUUCUAGGCAAUUACACAUCAUGAAAUUGAUACUAUUAUAAAGGUGAUUACAAAUAAAUCAAGAAACAAAAACUAUAACAUCUUUCAAGAACAAUAUCUUUACUGCAUCAGAAUUGAUUGGUUUGGUCCACUCCUGACCAUCCAUCUCAGGUAGGAUUAGGGCUCCUCCAGGUUGGGCUUCUUUUGAUUUUCACAUUCCUCUAUAUCUACUACUAACCGCUCCUCAUCAUAUUUUCUAUUCAUCAUUAUUUCCUUCGUUUUCUUCGUCUAACCCUUGACAUGUCAUGACAUUGGUAGGUUUUUAAAUUAUUGCUACCAAAAUAAACCAUGCUAGAUAAUCAUAUUUAAAAAAUAACUUCUUAAAUAAAGGGAUACCUUUUGCAAAAUAAAUAAAAAAUAUGACUUAUGACCCACACAAAUAUGGGCCCAUGCCUUUUUGAAAGUUGUAAAACACGAGACAAAAAUUUAAGACAUAAAAAGGUGGAUCAUGGGGCCUCCUCCGGAUCAUCACCGAUUGUAAACUAUUAGUAAUUGCCCUUUUAUCUACCGCGACGGGCGACAAAUUAGGAGCGGAGUGGAAGUCCAAUUUUGUAAAGACUCUCCUGGUGAAACCUUCUUUACCCCACUGGGCUUUGAAAAAUCUUCUGGUACAGCAUUGCAUCCCUUGAACAUAUUUCCUAUCCCAUCCCCAAGACUAUUAUCAUUUGACAUCUCAUGUAUGGGAAAUGAUUGGGGCAGGAGUGGCGAUGGUUUAGAUGGACUCUCCUUUGAAUUAUCUUCAAUCUUAUCUUCUUUUCUUGGCUGGUACUCUAUUCCAUGCCUAAAUGCUUUUUCUGGGACCAUAACAGGCUCAAUAAUUCCUUCCAAAUCCUUACUUAAGUCGGCCACAACUUUCUCUAUCUUCUUAAUCUCUUUUGUUCUUUUGAAUCCUUCUGAAUUUACCUUAGUGAUGACCUUGCUAGAAGCCCAUUCACCCUCUAUUUCAAUCAUGUUAACUGUAGGUCCCCCAUGGGUAGGCAAUGGAUUACUGUUAAUAUUUGGUGUCGGCGACUGAAGUGUGAUGACCUUCUGAUCGAUCAAAUCUUGGAUCUUAUGUUUCAAGUUAAUACAAUCCUCGGUACUGUGCUCCGCUGCUCCUAAAUGAUAGGCACAAUUUUGAUCGUGCUGAUAAAAUUGAGAGUUGUGAUUGAUAGGCUUUGGCUGGAUCAGUUGUAAAUAACCAGCUUUCAUCAAUCUUUCGAAGAGCUGGGUACGACUUUCAGCUAGCGGUGUGAAGUUUCGGGGAGGUUUCUUUUUGAAGUUCAGACGUGGAGGGUUAUAAUGGUUAUGAUUUACAGGAGGAGGUACUUGGUGAUAAUUUGGAAAUGUUUGGACAUUUAUUUGGUUAUUUGGAAAAGUAGCUUGAGUAUGAGGCUGAUAAUUUGGCUGUAGAACUUGGCACUGGGGUAAAAUAUUUGGAAUUGGAGCUUGACAUUGGGGUUGAGCAUAGAAUACAGGCUGAAAACUUGAUGACAAUGAUGAGGAAAGAAUAUUCCUAGGCUUGAAUUUCCUCUUUAACUUAUCAACAGAAUUAGCAGAGACUGCAAUCGCAUCCUCUCUUUUCUUUGUUGGGAAUGCAGAAGAUUCAGAUGAUGUUGGGGUUUUGACAAUUGUUUCUGGAUGCCUUCCUCUAACAAUUCCCCAAUCUUUACUAAAUCUGCAAAAGUUGCUCGGACCUUGGAUACCAUCUUGGUAUAAAAUUCUCCUUCCUGUGCAUGAGAAAAAAUCAAUACCAUUUCUUCCUCAGACAUGGGAAGUUGUACUUUAGCAUCCUUUUUUCUUCAACGAAAAGCGUAGUCUCAAAAACACUCAUUAUUCUUCUAUUUUAUCCAAUCUAGUGAGCAUCGGUCAGGGACUAUCUCAAUGUUAAAUGUGAACCUGUCGAGGAAACCCUUGGCCAAUGCUUUCCAACCAGUCCAUCUUUUCAGUUCCUAAGACAUGAACCACUCUAGCGCUUCGCUACUUAAACUUCGACUGAACAGACGCAUCAAUAACACCUUAUUUUUCCCUACCCCCACCAUUUGGUCAUAAUACCUUCUCAGAUGGGCCAUUGGAUUUCUGGUUCCAUCGAACUCUUCAAAUUUAGGGACCUUAUACCCUUCUAGUAGAUCUAUUCCAGGGUGAACACAUAAAUCAUCAUACCCUAAAUCGUCGUGGUCCCUUACUCCAUGAGAUUCUUUGAUCCUCAUGAUCUCUUCAUUCAUAUCUAGCAACUUCAUUUCAUGCUCGGUCCUCCACUCUUUCUUUUUUUCCUCAUAAUGGUCCAUCUCGGGAUUAGGAAGGGGAUUAUAAAUAUCAAGGGAUAUAAUGGCAUGGAGAGGAUUUGGAAGGGAGUCUUGAUUUUGCGGAUGAAACGAAGUGGAUUGGUAGGUGGGGCGGACGUUAUGAAAAUUAGAAAGGUUUUGUGGAAUUUGAGAGUGGUUAGGCGGAAUCUGAGAAGGAUUUUGCGGAUUUGGAAAUGAAUUUGGGGGAUUCGAAGGUAGGUUAGACGUAUUUUGUGCAUUUGAGAGUGAAUCUUGCAGAUUUGGGAAUGUAUUUUGUUGAUUUGAAAAUGUGUUUUGAGGAUUUAGGAAUGGAUUUGGAGACGGGUUCUGUGGGUCAGAGAUGGAUUUUGUGGAUGGUAGGCAUCUGGGUUAUUUUUGCGAUUGGUGUUUUGGACAAAUAGAGGAGUGGAGACUGACGAUAUGUUAUUUGGCUGAUUCUCGAGAAUAGGUGUACUGAGGGGAGGAAUUUGGAGUGGAGUCCCGUGUCCUCCUGGAGCGGGGGUAUUGACAGUGAUGGCCAAGUUAGCCAAAUCUCGAGUGCAAUUUAUUUCCUCCUGAAGCAUUUCUAACUUUUUUGCAAGUUCUGCAAUCAUCUCAUUUUGUUCCGUUGUUACAUUGUCCCUGAUGGUCAAUGUCUUUUCUUCAUCAUUUGCAGUCAUUAUUGAAUGAUUUUAUGCGCUUUUGACCGGGUGAAGUAGGGAUGUUCUUCCAGCUUAUAUCAACACGGAGUAGUUUCUAUUAUCUGUAAAGUAAAACAACUCAAAGACAGAUGUGUUAGUUUUCGUAUGUGAUAAGUAAUGCAAAAUAUUUGACAAGAAAUAACCACGUAGAGUUGUUUGAGUCAUAGCCAAAUUCAUCCAUAAGGAGUAUAGCGGAUAAACUUGCCUUUGAUCCAAAAAAAACACAUAAGUAUCUAAGACAAUUAUAUUACACAAAACAUUAUAAUAAUGCGUAUCCUAACUGGGGUGACCCUUUUUGAGCCAAGGGUUCAGGCCUAACGAUUUUGAAGAAAAUAUAUGCUUCCUUAAAGUCAAUCCAUUAUCCCUCAACUUAUAUAGAUACGAAAAGGGCAUAAAUACCUACAAACGAUAACAAAAGAGGGAUACAAUCUUUAGGGAAAAAGGGAAAUAACAUGAAAGAAGAUAAACUCCCACGCAGAGGAUAGAAAAUACUAAUUCCUGAGUGCUUCUUCUAUCAGCCUUCGCCUUCUUAGCUUCGUCCAGUUCUUAUAUUGGUGAUAUCCAUUGAUGUUCAAAUUGUCCCUUAGAUGCAACCUCCUAAAUCGAACAAUUUCUUGCUUAACUUGCUUCAAUUAUUCUCACGAAAGUAAGCAAAUCAAGCUUUUUCCCGACCCCCAAAGGAUAAUGGAUUGAAUUAGACAGGUAUACAUUUUCUUCAACACAUAAAUAUGGUUCAUCUAUAAUUGACUCGGGGUCAAUAGACGCAGGGCAGGUUUUCUAAUGGGCCCAAUACCCCGCUCGGGUAUUGGGUUGUCCUAGGCUUAUGCCUAAAAUAGGGUUUUGGUUUCGUUCUAUCCUAGGUGUCUAGAGUGGGUUUGAACACUAGUUCUCAAGUGGACAACUUGAGUUUGAAAAUACGAACAGCCAUCAAACGAAUCACGCGCUAAUAAGUCGUUCGUAUUUCCAACACAUUAUUGGAAUUAAACAAUAGGGGCCGGGACAUCCACGAAACCCCAAAACAGUUUAAAUAAUGCAGGAAUAUGCCAUGAGAUGCGAUAGUAAAACUUUGCAGAAUCAAAACAUAUAAACACAUAAACAGUUAAUCAAAAGACAAAAUCAAACAUUUGGUUAGAACUUAGUUCAAGUUCCCCAGCGGAGUCGCCAUUUCUGUUUUGCGGAGAAAUUUUAACUUUUGAAAGAGAGUCAUCACCUAAUUUUGAAAAGGAAUUAAGAAACCUUUAUAAAAUACUUUAAACGGUCUAAAACAGAAAAAUCAUUUAAGUUAAGAGAUUCUCGAUAAGAGGUUCCUAUUAACGUUUUAGGAAGGUGUUAGGCACCUAAAACGUCCGAUAACUUGCGAUUAUCCGGACUGUUUGAAAAUCGUCUUUGAUUAACUUUCAAAAAAGUUUAUUUUUUGAAAAGAAAGCAAUUUUAGAAAUAUUUUGACGUUUAUGCAAAACUAGUUUUAACGACUUGACUAGGGGAUUAACUAGGUUCGCAAGAAAUAUGUAAACAAGUAAGCAAAAAGGAAAGAGGAAAGGGGAGAAGGGAUUCAGGCCAUUGGGCCCAAAUCGAUGAGACCUAUCCUAGACUAAUAGGGCCUUUGACCCAUUUCACCUGUCCUAAUCUAGCUCUCAAGCCUUUAGCACGAAUCUUGCUCCACCUGUAUUAGAUACAAAUUUGGCUUCGAGGUCCAAAUGAAUAUUUAAAAGAAAUGAAUAAAAUGAAUGACGACAAAUAAAGCAAUAAAAGUGAGAUUUUCUCGAAUCUCCUAGCUACAACAAUAAUGGAUAUCAGCUUACUUUCUUCCAUCGACAACUUCUUUCUCCAAACAAUCUCACAGGAAGGACUCGAGGUGGUGACUCGAAUGCAAAGGAAACCAUGACAAACCAUCAUUGAAAUGCACAUGGGAAGAGUCCCUUUUGGGACUCGGCAUUUUUGCAUGUCAACGUAAUAAGGAAAAGGAGAAAGAUUAGAAUCUUUUCAAAUGGACGAUAAUUAUUUAACAGUCAAGCUUAUGCACCCAGUUAGCAAAACAGAACAUACUAAAGGUCAGCGAUAAUCCAAAAAAAUACAAUCCCUAUUCACCACAAAGAAACCAUAAGACUAUAAUUACUAAAAAUCAAGAUGUGGUUGUUUCAAGCUCUUUUAACAUAUUAAUGCGAUUGAAGCUAUAGAAGAACUCAUAGAUGACACUCGGAGUGCAACAAGAUGUAAUUAUUUUUUACAAAGAGAAUAUGUAUGCAAUUUGAGAAGCUAAAAAAGAUUCUCUUAACUAAGAGACAAAUGAUGUCUUCGAGAAUAAAGGCAAAUUCAGAGUAAAGAUGAAGAAAAUUGCAUAUUUCUACCCAUCCUGAGACAAAUGCUAAUACAUACAGGUAUGGGAGCAGAGAGAAAUCAUGAUCGAUUGGUACAGGAUCAAAGAAAAAUACACAGGAAAGCAAAAUUAUGAACUUGCAUAAAUUUUGGAUAAGCUUCCAGCUACUAGUUUCCGAGAUAGUGGCCUCCAUUAUUAUAUGUAAAAGCUAAGUCCAAUACUUUUAUUCAAAAGAAAUUGAACCAAACAAAACUGAUGCACCUUUGACAAAGAUUGACUGCAGUACCAUGAGAAAAAUCAAUUCGAAUAAUCUGGUUUGAAUAUUGAGGUUCAUGACAAGGGUGAUAAAGAUCCUAAUACAUGUAUUGAGACACUAAUAAAGUAAUCAAGAACUUUUUGCAAUUAGCAGGUAUACUAAGCAAAUAACAUGAACUCUUAGGACUUAGCAGGUAUGAAUUGCGCGAACAACUUUUCUAUCAAAGCAUCACUGAAGUGAUGACUAAUUAUGAAUUUAGUUAAGACACGACAAAAUAUAAUAAUCUUUUUUACAUAAAUUCUUACCAGGAGAAGAUUAAUAUAAAGGAGAAAAAUAAUUUUUCAAAAGGGAAAUGGAUUGAAAUUCAUCUUUACAGAUUUACACUCCAAAGCAAAACAUGAUUCUAGGGACAGAGGUUGACGAACUAGAAAUACCCAUUCUCUAUUUGACCGACUGAGAAUGCUAAUUCUCUUAUGGGGAAAAUUUGAACACCAUUUAAACGUAAUCACCGAACUUCUAUUUACCAAACUCAAGAAAACUCAUGGAACAUGUAUGAACCUAAUCCAAGCAUGAACACCCGUCCCCUAUUUACAAGUUGAAAUUUAACCAAACAAUCAUGAGUAUAAUACGUUACCAUGAAUAAUGAGAUCACAAAUGAACAAAAAGGGUUGAAUCAAUGACCACAGAGACUAAAUGCAAGGGUAUUAUCUCAGCGAAAGUAAUAUAAUGAUUACAUAAUCCUGUAACCUUCGAAGCUCUCUACAACAAAACAUCCCAAGCAACAUUAUUGCUAAAAUAUUAUUAAAGCAAGAAAUGAUUAGUAUGAAGGGAAAGAUGAAUGAGAAAACGAUAGAUAAAAUUAAAAGGGCAAAAUAUGUUUACCUCUUUCUUAGAAGAAAUUUCCUCUCAAAUUUUCGAACCUAGGAACUUUCAGACACCCUGUUUCAAUGUAGAAAAUGGGACUCGAGCUAUCAGCAAAAUUACACCACUGGGAGCUGAUGUUGUCGACUCGAGAACUUCGAGUUGAUCGACUAGCUUCCCAGAAAGAAUGGACGAGAAAAUUUUUGCAAAAUAUACUCUUCGAUUUCAGAGUUCCCAACACAACUUUCGAAAAAAAAAACCUCGUCUCUUACGACUCCUAUCUUCCACCUUAAAGCAUCGACCCCUUCCCCCCUCAAAAGUGAAGAGAGCCCCAGAAAGAAAAAAGAUAAAUUCCCUAAAAUUUCUCCGAAAGAAACCUAACUCUCCAAUCUUCAAUCCCUUUCUUAGCUCUCUGUGAGCUCUUUUAUAGAAGGGAUUGAGGGCAUUCCAGGGAUUUCCGAAAAUAGCCCAUUUGAAUUUCAAAUUCCCCCCUUCUAGCUCCAUUUUUUCCUCAAUCCGCCCAAAAUUGUGUUUGGUGGACCAAUAGAAAUGGGAGAAACGAAUUCUUUCCCAGACCCAAUGAAAAAUCGCCAAAUAUGUACCUAAUCCGUACCAUUAUCUCAAAAUAUGUGGAAUAUUGACGUUAGAUGAGCCAACUCACACUUUUCUAGAAGCUUCUCAGAUCAUCCAUGGUACAACAUCACGUAGGACGCGCGAAGAGAAUAAAGGUGAGCUAGUUGUGGGUCGACUCGGGGCUGGUCGAGAAGGGUUCAGAUUUUGGAUUGACUGGUUAUUGUUGUUGAUGUUGAAUAUCGGGUGUUUUUGUGAAGAAUAGGGGAUAAAGGGGAUUAUUGAUGUGGGCCGGGUUAGGGGUUUUGGUUGGGCUGAUAUUGGAUUGAUUUUGGGCUAAUGGUUUUUAAAAUAAGAAAUGGGCUGCUGGGCAUCUAGCUGUUGGGCCGAAAUUGAUAUGUUGUUGGGUUAUAGUGGGUAGAUUAGGGAUUUGGUCAUAUAGGAAUUUAGGCUAUUUAUCAAAUAGCCAACGAUUGAAGAGUUUAGACAAUCAUAUUUAAAUCUUAGCCUAAUUCAAAUUAAAUUGACCAAUUAUAUUACAAUUCUUAUCAAAUUAAUUUCAAUAAAGGUCUAAUUUAAUAAAUUGACUAAAUUAAAACAUCAUUUAAAAUGAAUUAACAACCAAUUCAAUUCUAAAGUUUCUUGAUCCGAUAAAAUCGAACUCCUGUUCAUCCAAAUAAAUUAUUUUUGCAAAUAAAUUAUAAUUAAAUUAAGAUUUUAAUCAUUAUAAGCUUACUUCAACAUAAGCUUUGAUCAUAAUCCGCUAUUUGUAAAACCAAUAUUCAAGCCUCAAAAUUGUAUAAUUUCGUUUAAUUCAAUACGACAAUAUACAAUCGCUACUUAAAAAUGACAAAAUUAUGUCCACAAAAUGUUUUGAAAAUCCUUUAUUUCGGAUAAGAUAAAUGUUGUAAUUUUAUUUGAGAAUCGAAGAAACUCCGAAUUAAACUGAUUUAUGGAGGGAAAAAAUUAGAUGUCAACAGACACUAAUUCUUCGGCUCAUGAAACAUAACAAAACUAUUUAUGUAGGUAUAAAUCUUCUCUGAAAAUUUAGUUGUUCAAGGCUCAUGAAACAAAACUUUAGAAUUAGAUUGAAAAUUCACAUUUUCUCAUUGAUAAAAGUAGCAUUAAAAUUUUUUGAACAAAGUACUUUGCUAUUAUGAUAAUAAUGGAGUAACUAUUCAGUAGAUUUAUUCUUUAGACACUGCAUGAAACUUUAUUAAUGACUUAGCGAGGAGAAAAGACACUACAUAUUUCUCGGCCACAUAUUUGAUAUUCAUGUCCUAUAUAAUCACCAAAUAUUUCAAAUUCUCCAUUUCAUUACAAUGACUAUAUUAUUAGAGGCCGCUUAUUAGGUUUCUUAUGUUAACUCUUGAACUACUUCCUGACACAUCUAUAAUAAUGGAUAAAUCAUUUGCAUUUAUUUAAUUACCACAUAAUAAUUUUAUCACUAGGUAUAUUUUUUAAGAUAAUACUACAUUAAUUAACAAGAGCUCAAAUCAUAAUAUGUAAUUAAAAACUUUAAUAUACUUACCUCAUUGUCAUCGACACUUGUCAACCCAUGAAUUUUUGAUGAAUCACCUUCAUCAAAGUUUUUAGUGGAUCUAACAAUUAUCAAAUGAAUACUACUCUCCCCUUUCAAAUUAUUUUGCUUGAAUCAAAAAUUAAUUAAUGUUCGAUGUAAAAUUUGAUCAUAGAAUCUUUAAUUAUUUAUCUUAAAUUUAAUAUCUAAAGAUUCAUUUAAAUUCAAAAGGUAAAACUGUAUAUGUUAUUUCUAGGAUCUAAGAAUCGGGUAAAAAGAUUAAGUGAAAAUUGCUCUUUUAUAUUUUUAAGAUUUACAUUUUACCUAGUGAUCAUCAAACAUCAAAUCGUUCAAUCAAAAAAUUUGAAACCCUUAGAACCAUAAUCUUACAUGAUUGACCAAAUUGUAUGAGCCAUGUGAUAUAUAAGAAAUUAAAGAAAAGACUUAACUAGUUGGCAAAAUGUAAAUAAAUAAACAAAUCAAAUACAAUUCUACAAAAUGAAACCACAACAUUAAUUCCACAACUUAUAAGAAAAUUUAUAUAUAAAAAUGAAUCCUACUUUUAAAAUUUUUUAUUUUUAUUUUUGUCCGAAGCCUAUAUUGAUUUAAGGACAAGAUCAAAAAUUUUACCUUGAAUAAUGAUGCUAACACUCACAGAUAAAUUCAUUUCCAAAUGAAUUUUGUUACCUGUUAAAGAAUUACAAAGAUUUAAUCAAACUCAAUGACAUUGAGCGAUGAUAAUAAUAUAAACACACACACACAUACACAAACACAUAAUUCAUUAAAAAUAAAAGAAUAUAUAUAAAUUUAAAUGCCGUAUACCUUUCACUGAAGAAGAGAAGAAUGAAAAUGAAUUACAUCUUCAUAGGUUUUAUAGAGGAAACUAUAUGUCUAGAAAAGAUUACAAUAAUUUCUAUUUAAUUUACUUAUGAUUUUAAUGACAUACUCAUUAAUUUUAGUUUGACUCACUUUUAAUUCUAAUUGAUAUUAAUAAAAUAUAAUAAAGGCAUAGUCAUUAAUUUUAUUUGACUCACUUAUAAUUCUACACUUUCUUAAGGAAAAAUUAAUUACAGGCUCAAUCGACUAAAUCGCCCUUAUUAAUUAAUUUUCUCUGUUUAAUACUUUUCUUUUUUAAAUUAUACUGAAUAUAUUUUUCUAUUUAUGACUAAUGGUAAAUAUGAAAAAAAAUAAAAUUCUAUCUUGAUUUUUUAAAAUGACAGGUAUUAUGAAAUUUUUAUUUUAAUAAGGAAGACAAGUAUUUAAGAAGGGGGAGUAAUAAUAUACAAUAAAGCCAUAAUUGUCACGACCUAGACUAACGGACCGUGCGGGCACCUACAUUAUUCUAAGUAGUUAGGAGAACCCUUAUUACCCAACUAAAAAUAUGCGGAAGACUUCUAUUUUUAAGAAAUAAUGGAUUAAAUAUAAUAAAGUAAAUUAAAUACUAAUAAAUAAUUUUUUUUUCUAAAAACUUCUUACAAAUGUCCUUCACUAUCCCUAGACUUGGCCACACAUGUACAAGAGCUAUCUACUACAACAUAGACUGACAAUAAAAUAAAUUAUACAAAGACUCUAACAUCUGCCAGGAAGAGAGUGCAAAAGUUAGUACUGAAUAUCGUCAUCCAUCUAGUAACUGCAACUAACUUGCAUCCAGUCUACACUCCAAGAAGCAAUGUAGAAGAGUAGGGUCAGUACAACCAUACCUACGGGUAGGCAUCAUUGGCCAACCGUGUUAGUUCAUAUAAUCAUAAAAUAGAAUUAACAAAAAUAAAUCAUGACGUCUUGAAUGAAAUAUAAUUGACUAAGGUUGUAAUAAUAUUAUUACUUUACAUAAAUAAGUUACAACAUCCAACUACUCUUCCAACACCAUCAAUAUUAAAUUCGCUACUAACAUACUCUAGCCUCAUUAAUUCACUCCAUCAACCACAAUCCAACGCUAAUACAACACUAUUCCUCUUUAUUCACCUUAUCUUAUUCAUUACUCAUAUUCACAGGAACAAAACCGUAAUCAUAGACCACCCACACUAAAUUCUCGGACUAACAACCAAAUGCUCUAUUAUAAUAUUAAAGAAUGAUUACUAGCCAUUCUAGUAAGCUAUCAUUAAAACACGUAUAAAUGAAGCAAGUCAACCAACAUAUAAGCAAGUAAGAAGUUUUACUUUUUCAAAUACAUAUCACACAAUCAAAUACCCAAUGAAUUAACAAUAACAAUAACAGAUCAAACAGUGCUCACAAACAAGCGACAUAACCAUCAAGAGUAUCAACCAUACUGUAAACAUCCAGUGACUCAACACAAAUAUGUACACACAUGCUAUGGGACUUAUUUUUGCCCAAAUAGUCAUGACCUGCAGGGAACAAUCUAUGUUCAUGUACCGUGCCAGCGUGGUACCCGAUCCAAUAUAUAUAUCUUACCGCGUGGUACUCGAUCCAACAUAUACAUAUUCGUACCAGCGUGGUACCCGAUCCAACAUAUACAUAUUCGGACCGGCGUGGUACCCAAUCCAACAUGUACAUAUCUGUACCGGCGUGGUACCCGAUCCAAUAGAGCUGUCAAUAUGGGUCGGCCCAGCCCAUUCGGGCUAGCCCACAUGGGCUUUAAAUUUUAUGGGCUAGGCCGGGCCGGGCCGGCCCAUCAAAAUGAUGGGCCAAAAAAGACCAAACUCACACCAUUACUCUAUGGACUGUGGGCCAUCCCACUUUUUAAAAAUUAAUAUUUUAUAAUUUAAUUUUAGAAUGUUAAUAAACAUAAAUAUUAUCAAACAAUAUUACAUAUUGUUAAUACUUGUUAAUCAAAUUUCCAACACCCUAAAAAAUACUUCUAAUAGCGAAAUUAAAUAACUUUUGAUAUGAUAUCCUUCGAAUCAAAUAAAAAUACUAAUAAGCAAUCUAAAUAGUUGCAUGCAUUUGAUUUACGGGUCGGCCCACGGGCUAGCCCAACCCACAUUGCUCAAGCUCCAUGGGCCACAGGUUAUUCGGGAUGGGCUAAAAAACCAUGUUCUUAAAUGGGUUGCAAAAACUGAAGCGCAACUACAUCAAAUUAUAGGUCGGGUCGAGCCGACCCAACGGGCCUGACCCAUAUUGCCAGCUCUACGAUCCAACAUAUACAUAUUCGUACCAGCGCGGUACCCGAUCCAACAUAUACAUAUCCGUACCACCGUGGUACCCGAUCCAACAUACACAUAUCCGUACCGGCGUGGUACCCAAUCCAAUAUAUAUAUAUAUCCGUACCGGCGUGGUACCCAAUCCAAUAUAUACAUAUCCGUACCGGUGUGGUACCCGAUCCACCAUAAACAAGUAUUAUCAAUAUCAAAUUUACACAACGUCACAACAUACAACAAUGUACCAAGUUUACAAGUACCCUUAAAGUCAUAAGAAAAUUUCAUCAAGUAAAUUUUCAAUAAUUAUUUAUACACACAUCAACAAUCCAAGCAUCAACAAUUUCAAGUAUGUCUGAAUACCAAUCAACAAGUAUUCAUAGAGUUACUUUAAGGAGUUAUCAUUAUCAAACAAGUCACUCAUAGACAUAAUUCAGUAAACCAUCAUUAUCACCAAUUUAGCCUCUCAUGGGCAUCCAAUAGAUAUAGUAUUUUUAUCAAUAUCAAAACAAGAAUAUCAUAAAGUAAAUCACAAUUUAAUUCUUACGCAUGCAAAUCACUAUUGGAGUCUUAAGUACUCAUUAAUUAUUAAAAAUAUCAUUACAUUCUUAAAUACCGCAACUUGGGUGCUAAUAUCACCACAUAUAACUAGCACAUUCACGUGUAUCAUUAUCCUCUACCUCUUUCCACAUAAUACAAUCAUCACACUAAUUCAAGUCAUCUAUCCCUUAUAUAUUACUAUGCUCAUCAAUAUUUGAUCUUAGCAUAAUUUUCCUCAUCAUAUUAUUGCACAAACAUACAAUCUAAUACCAUUACAACUCAAUUAGGUUCAUCACUAGAACAAUUAAAAAAAAUAUCAUUUUUAUAUAUUGCGUUUACAACAAUCUCCUUUCGGGUACAUAACACAUAAUAUCAUAAAUAUCAUAUAAUUUAUCAAUAAUAUAGUUUUUGGGAUUAAAGUUAAGUACUCGUGUCUUUAUCCACCUCAACUCCAUGCCCGCGGGCCUAGACAUGCUUUGUCUCAUCAAUUCUAAAUCAUGAAAAUAUAAAAUAACACAAUCUUUUAUUCAUUAAACCUAGCCUACCUGGACGCCAAGCUUUUGAAAGAAGCAAGCUGCAACAAGGAUUCUCUUUCCUUUCUUUCAUGUCUUGAAACAAUCAAUCAUCUAUAAAUCAAGCAAUUAUAAGAGUAAUUAAAUAUUUAUUCUUCAAAAAAAUAUCUUGGGAUUCAAACCCACUAAUUCAAUCCUUAAUUCAAGGUCUACAUCAUUCCCCAAUGUCAAUUAGCCAUUAAUUAGCCCUUUCAAACUUAAUCCAUUUCCAUUAAUGGAGUUUUUAUGCUAAAGGUCUCAUCUUUACGGAAUUCUUGGUUCCUAACCCUCAAAAUUCAUAAUCUAGUUUAUAAAAUUCAUAUUAGGAAUCUUUAAUUUACAGUUUAGGAUCAGAUCUAUGUCAUAUUAAAAACACGAUGAGUAUUUCCCAAAAGGAUUCCACCAUUAAAGGUCUUUCGUAGGAUUCAAAGAUGUUAAAGGAUCAAAAGACGAAGAAAAUAAUGGAAAAACUUAUCUCAACGAAGGAAUUUCAUCUUAAGCCUUGGGAAAUCACCUCUAUAGGGUUGGGGAAUGAAAUUUGAGGUUUUAGACUUAAAAUACGCUGAAGCUGAUUUAAAUACCAUCAGAAUUUUCACUACAGGGAAAUCACGCUUCAACUCGGAUAGUGCUCAGUAAAACAGUCAUAACUUUUUACUCUGAAUUUGGAUUGAGGAACGGUUUAUUGCGUUGGAAAGAGGACUCAGAUAUCUUUAAUUAGGUAUUGGGUUUUGUAACUCCUAAUACUAUAAGAGAUAUUAUCAUUUGAAGUUGACCCUAAUAAAAACCCAUAUCAAAACUCUAUCGAAAAUAAGCUUGUAAACUUAACCUUGUGUUAGGGAUAUUGUAUGACCUUAAUUAAUAGAUAAAGAAAUUUCAAACUAAGUUAUUGAUAUUAUAACUAAUGAAUAAUUAAAUUCAUCGGGCUUUAGUCUAUCUAGACACAUCCGAAGGCUAAAAUCUUUGCCGAAAAGUUUAAGGUGACAUAAUAAAUAAAAUAUUAUCAAUAUUGAGGAAUAAAAUUUAAGAAUUUUCAUGAAUUUAUUAUGAAUAAUUUAGUAAUAACGAAAUGGGUCGUUACAAUAAUCAUUAAUAAAUGUGUUAAAUUUGAAAAACAUAAUAGAAUCUCGCAUGAACAACCAAAAGCCUUGUAUGAUAGAUAGAGCUGUCAAAAUGGCCUGGCUCAACCCAACUCAAGCCUAGUGGGCUAGAGAAUUAAAUGGACUAGGACGGGCUAGCCCUUUUAACUAAAGGAUCUUUAAAAUAGUAGCCUAACCCAGCCUUAAGCGUGCCGCAGGUUGUGGCGGGUUGACCUUCAAAAAAAAUAAAAGCAACCCGAAACAUGAUAAACAAAAAUAUUGUAAGUACUCGAAUAUCACUAACUUUUAUGAUUUCACUUUAAUACAUCUCCUACUAGUUUUUAGUAUGUUAUAGGCAUCUUACUAAUACCUUUAAGGAUUGUUAAAAAAAAGAGUUAUGCUGGGAUAACUAUUGGGUUCAAGGUAUAUAUGUGAAUGAAAAAUGAAGGGAAAAUAAUGGAGAAAAGAGAGACACCCAAUUAGAAAGUGUAUCCUUAAAAUUGGAAAGUUAACUAAUUCUCCCACAUUGAUGGGAGAACGGAACUUUGGAGUGUUUUUAAUAAGGAACACUAACUCCACAUGGAUAGUGAGGCAAGAACAAAGUGGUGCCUCACACCGUCGUCGUCACUCGCUCGACUUCGGAUUUGGAUUUGGAUUUGGAUUUGAAAAAUGAUCGAUCAAUGAGAUCUAUCUCUUUAGAUGAAUUUUAUUUGAAACUUGUGUUACGAGUAAAAAAAUUAAUCCAAAAAUAUGAUACAUUUAUUUUUUAUCUGAUACAUUUAUUUUUUCUCCAAGUGUGGGCGUAUUAUUGAUGCCAUGCAAAUGCAUACGCAACGCAUCACGAAGGGAUGCGAUCCUUUGAGGGAAAAGGCACUCUGUUCCGCAUUGUAGGGUGACCUGCAGGCACAGAUGCUGCACAGGUGUGUGACCUGUGGGCGCAGAUGUAGCGCAGAAGCUACUGGAAUUCACAAAACAUCACCUGCAGCCACAGAUCAGGCGUAGGUCCAGCACAGACUGGACACAGAGACGUGAUUGCUACUAAAUAGGUGCCUUUCUGCUGAACCAAUGCAUCUUUUCUGAAAGGACACAUUAAAGACUAUAAAUACCUGAUAUAUUCCUCAGGUAUAGACAUGAUUUUGACAAUAAAAACAUUCUUCUUCUAUGUAAAAACUCUGUGUGAUCAUUAAGCUGUUGAGUGAGUUCAAAGAAUCCAACAAUUUGAGGUACCACUAUUGUUUGGAUUGAAAGUCAUUUUAUCCUGGGAGAAAGAUUCCACAACUCCGGGUAUAGUGAGGGAAAUUAUUCCUUAAGGACACUCCGUGAAAUCGAAGGACUUGGCUUUACAUUUCUAUUUCAUCUCAUUUCUGAAAAAUAAUAUACCUCUUGGAUAGAUUAUUCAUAAUCUUGCGUUGAAGGUGUCAAGGAACUUCAUAAGUGUUCUUGUCUUAGACUUAAACUUGGGUUGAAGUUGUUGUUGCAUAUAUAUAUAGAUUCUUGUACCCAAAAAUAUUGAAAAUAAUAAUCUUAAGGAAUAAUCUUUCAGAAUCUAUAUUGCUUCUUUUCUGGAGAUUAAAGCUUUAAGUUUUCUACUCCAUUUUAACUUAACUAGUGAUUUGAAGACAUAAAAUCUUCAUCACAAGUUAAAGAUCACUCAGUUGACGAUUGGAAGUCAUAAAAACUUCAUCGCUAAACUAGAAACAAGAGGUGUUUAAAGUUACUGCAACUUUUUAAUAAGUAUUUUGAUAUACUAAAUACACUGUCUUAUGGUGACCAAAAAAUGAUGAUUCAUAGUCAAAUGCAUGUUGCUGAAACAACUAUGGCGGCAACUAGUAUUGCCACAACGAGUUGUACUAAUGCUCCGUAAGCUAUGGCACUGGAGGAGAAACCCAAAAAGUUUGCAGGUAUUGACUUCAAGAGAUGGCAACAGAAAUUGUUCUUCUACCUCACUACUCUUUGUCUUCAAAGGUUCACAUUUGAAGAAGCUCCGGAGGUGCCCGAGAGAACCUCUUAACAAGAGCGCUUUGUGAAUGUGGAGGCUUGGAAACACUUAGAUUUCCUUUGUAGAAAUUAUAUCUUGAGUGGUCUCCAAGAUGACCUCUACAAUGUGUAUAGAGAAACAAAGACUGCAAAAGCGUUAUGGGGAGCGCUAGAACAAAAGUACAAGACAGAGGAUGCCGGAACUAAAAAGUUCUUAGUUGCAAGAUUCCUGGAGUAUAAAAUGAUAGACAACAAGUCUGUUGUUUUUCAAGUGCGGGAACUGCAAGUGAUCAUCCUUGAUCUCCUUGCAGAAGGUAUGAUUUUGACAAAUACCUUUGUUGAACAAUUUUAAAUUAUUCUUAGUAUUCACAUGAACUUUAUUGUAGGUUUGAUUGUGAAUGAAACAUGUCAAGUAACAACAAUAAUAGAGAAGCUACCACCUAUGUGGAAAGACUUCAUGAACUAUUUAAAAUACGAACGUAAGGAGAUGUCAGUUGAAGAUGUGAUUAUACGACUACGCAUUGAAGAAGAUAAUAAGGCUACAAAAAGAAGGUCGAGAGGUAAUUCUGCAAUGAAUGGUGCAAACAUUAAAGAAAAUGACCAAAACAACUCUAAAAAGUGAAAGAAAGCUGGUAAUGAAAGCAAUCAACCCAAGAAGAAAUUCAAGGAAAAGUGCUUCAAUUGUGGCAAGAUUGGCCAUAAGUCCAAGGAUUGUCAUGCUCCGAAGAAAUGGAAGAAUAAGGACCAAGCAAAUCUGGCUGAGUCUAAGAAAUAAACCGAUGAUCUGUGUGCUAUGCUUUCCGAAUGCAACUUGGUGGAAAAUUCUAGCGAAUGGUGGAUGGAUUUUGGUGCCGCCCGCCAUGUUUAUGCUAAUAAGGAGUUGUAUUCUACGUUCGCUCCAGCUCAAGUAGAAGAAAAGAUCUACAUGACAUACUCCACUACUGCAAAAGUAGAAGGAACAGAAAAAAUGUGCUUGAAGAUGACUUCCGGCAAAGUGUUCACACUUACUAAUGUCUUGUAUGUUCCGGAGUUAUGGAAGAACUUGAUUUCUAUUUCACUUCUAGAUAAAAAAUGGAUUCAAAUGUGUAUUUAUUUCCGAAAAGAUUGUACUUAGUAAAGGAGAAGUGUAUGUAGGAAAAGGAUACCUCAAUGAGGGCCUAUUCAUAAUGAAUGUAAUGAAUGUUGAAAUCAAUAAAAGUUCAAAUUCUUCUUACUUGCUUGAGUCUUACAAUUUGUGGCAUGAAUGAUUAGGCUAUGUUAAUUAUAAAACAUUACGAAAACUGAUUAACUUAGAAGUUUUACCAAACUUUGAGUGCAAUAAAUCAAAGUGUCAAACUUGUGUGGAAUCAAAGUAUGCUAAGCAUCCGUAUAAGUCCGUUGAAAGGAAUUCCAAUUCCUUAGACUUAAUCCACACUGACAUUUAUGAUAUGAAGUCAACACCAUCACGUGGUGGAAAAAAGUAUUUCAAUAACUUUUAUUGAUGAUUGCACUAGAUAUUGUUAUGUCUACUUGCUAAAUAGUAAGGAUGAAGAAAUAGAUGCGUUUAGGUAAUACAAAACUGAGGCUGAAAUUCAGUUAGAGAAAAAGAUCAAAACUAUAAGAAGUGAUAGGGGCGGAGAAUACGAAUCUCCUUUCGCUGAAAUAUGUGUAGAGAAUGGAAUUGUCCAUCAAACUACAGACCCAUAUUCACCUCAAUCUAAUGGAAUUGCAGAAAGAAAAAAACAAACUUUGAAGGAAAUGAUGAAUGUCUUACUUUCAAGUUCAGGUUUACUGCAAAGCUUAUGGGGGGAGACUAUCCUUAUAGCCAACCGAAUACUCAGUAGAGUUUUUCAUGUUAAGACACAAUCAAUUCCUUAUGAAAAAUGGAAAGGAAGGAAACCCAACUUGAAAUAUUUCAAAGUGUGGGGGAGUCUAGCAAAGGUCCAAGUUCCUAUUCCUAAAAAGGUUAAGAUAUGACCUAAGAUGGUGGACUGCAUGUUCAUAUGAUAUGCUAAAAGUAGUAAAGCAUGUCAAUUUUUGGUUCAUAAAUCCGAACAUCUGGAUAUAAAUACGGUAAUUGAAUCAGAUAAUGCUGGAUUCUUUGAAAAUAUUUAUCUGUAUAAAACAAGACAUGGACAGUCUAGUAGGGGUCUAAACGACCUCGAGAUGAGCCAAGUGAGAAUGUACAUAAUGAUGAGAAUCCAAGACGUAGUACACAUCAAAGAACGUCAACUUCAUUUAGAUCAGAUUUUAUAACAUUUCUCUUAGAAAAUGAGCCUCAAACAUUUAAGGAAGCGAUGGUGUCUUUGGACUUAUCCUUUUGGAAAGAGGCAGUCGAUAGUGAGAUUGAUUCAAUCUUAAGCAACCAUACGUGGGAGUUGGUUGAUCUUCCUCCAGGAAACAAACCUUUAGAUUUUAAAUGGAUCUUCAAAAGGAAAAUGAAAGCGGAUGGUACUAUUGACAAAUACAAGGCGAGACUUGUAGUAAAAGACUUCAAACAAAAGGAAGGCCUUGAUUACUUUGAUACAUACUCACCAAUAACGAGGAUAACGUCAAUUCGGAUGUUAAUUGCCUUGACGGCAGUAUAUGGACUUGAAAUCCAUCAAAUGGAUGUGAAAAUAUUAUUCCUAAAUGGAGAAUUGGAGGAAGAAAUUUACAUGAAACAGCCUGAGGGUUUUGUGGUUUCAGAAAGAGAAAAUAAGGUGUGUAAACUUGUUCAGUCACUUUAUGGACUAAAACAAUCACUUAAAUAAUGGCAUGCAAAGUUUGACCAAACCAUAUUGGCAAACAGGUUAAAGAUUAAUGAAUGUGAUAAAUGUAUUUCUAUUAAAGACACUCCAAAUCACCAAGUCAUUGUUUGUUUAUAUGUGGAUGAUAUGUUGAUCAUCAGUAGAGACAUUUAUGACAUAAAUACAACGAAACGAAUGCUCUAGAGCAUGUUCAAUAUGAAAGACCUUGGAGUUGCAGAUGUGAUCUUAGGAAUAAGAAUCUAUAGAACUCCACAAGGGUUGGCAUUGUCAUAGACAAAGCUUGUGGCCUUAAAGGAGGAUAAAUCAUUACUUCUUUGAUUUGCUUGUUUUAUUUCCAUCUUUUUGAUUGAUCAUACACAAAGCUUUAAAGGAGUUCUCCAUUGCCUCUUCCAUUCUCAUAACCAUGAUCUCGUUUUUAUCUAACCUAGGGAGAGGUCUCUGGAAUUAUCCUUUUACUUAAAUCACACAAAUUUGUACUAUCUUAUACUGGCAGCAUAUGAGAAAACAAAUUUAAGGUCACAAGGCUAAAUGACAUAGUGGCCUUCAUGAUCAAGGGAUUCCAUAAUUCGGGUCAGGCCACUUAGUAAGUAAAUUCAUCAGCUAUAGCUGAUUUGAUUAUCAUUUACACGGGUUACACCUCUAUGGACUUGCACGUGUGUAAUUAUACAAUGUUGCUUUGGUCUCGUUUGAGUAUCUUGCUCUUAUUUGUUCUCUCAAUUUUCAAGUACUAAGUUACGAAGACCGUAGGAAACUUCUCCUAAGCAAAACCAUUUUUUGACAGGCAACACCUAAACCAGUGGCAGUCGGAUUUGGCAUUUCAAAACCUGAACAUGUUAAGCAGGU